rnacentral:lncRNA from 1 species
GAAAAAAAAAAGUGGUAAUGAAUGUUUACUUUUUCGUAGUUAAUAUGACUUAGAAUCUAGAAAAAAAAUAUCGAAUAACACAUCAUAACAAUGGGGAUUGGGAUCAAACUUGUAUAGAAAGAGUGGCUGAUCGUGUGAAUGUAUACUUAUUGUUGGGUAAUAACAUAUCUAAAGGCCCAUCGGAAAGAUAUGAGUUUUCCAUCUCCAUUUGAAUUUUCAAAGAAGUAGAAAAACAAAGUCUGAAAAUGGAGGCCCGGGGUAGACAAAGUGGGCGCCUACAAGAGAGACAAAGAGGGAUGACUUGAGAAAUCUCACCAUCAUUAAAUUUGGAAAAUUCCUUACACGGAUUUGAUUGAAACGUGUAAUCAUUGUUGCAUGGAAUUCAUAUCCCCUAUCAUAUAAUAUAAGCUUUAAUAUUCCCCUCUUUGUCUCUUUACUCAACCUAUGACCUUACAAUUAAUUGAUGUCUUUCAUCUUUUAGUUUCUCCAUUUCAUUUGUAUUUUGAUCCUUCCUUAUCUAGUAUUUCUAUUUGCAUAUACAUACGCGCGAUAACUAUGUUUCCAGUUUUCAUAUGAGAUUGAGAAAGUGUUGUUAUAUAUAGAAGUUGUAAUUUCUUUUUGUGAAAAUCCCCUUAUUAUUAAAAAGGAAGCAAAAACACAGAGUAACCUUAAAAUAGUAGUAUAUUUACAGGCGUGCCAUUAUGGCGACGUGUCAGACAGAUAGAGCUUCUCAGAUCCCUUUUGAAAACAGCUACACUCACCCUAGCAAUUUACUAUUAUUGCCAUUGGACAGACAUUUGAUAUUCGCAUCGCUCGAAUUCUUAAAAUUCUCGAGGCUCUUUUAGGCAAUGCUGUAUAUACUUCAUAUAACUUUAUAUGAUAUAGUUUGAUUUAGUAAAUUGGAAUAAUCGCUGACCAAUAAUCUCCUAUCUCCUUUUUAUAUUAGUUGAACUAUGUUACACACAUCAUCUACUAUAUCAAUUGUGCUUAAUCAAACUAUGUCUGUUUCACGCUCAUCAGUUUCUAUGAUCAUUUCCACGAAUUUAAAACACAAAAAGUAAUAUACGCUUAUUAAAUUGAAUCAUAAACAAAUAUAUGAACAGUUUAAGUUGAGAUGUUUUUCUCAAUUAUGAUUAUAAAUAUUCUCUUUAAAAUUGGAGAAAGCUCUUUUUUUAAUAUUCAAAUGUUAUUAUGAUCAUUUGUAUUUACAGGUACAAACAAAAUGAUUUAAUUUCAAAAUGAUUUCCGUAGCCAUUUCAAAAAUUAGUCAGCGUGUUAUUUUUGUGGACACCCUUUAUUAUGCAACUUGAAUUUUUUUUAAAGAAAACUAAUUUUUCUUUUUGAUUUUAGACAACUAUGAAAUAAGGCCCAACAAAAUUAAAUUAUUCUAUACAUCAAAAUUCACCAAAUAUAAACAAACAAUUUUAAGAAUUAAUGUCUAUUACAUAAAGUCCACUAUAUUUCAUUUCUAUAAAAUAUAUGCUUUUAAGUUCUAUAUAGUUCACUUUAUAUUAUACCAACCAUUCAAAAUACAGUUUCAUAAUUUUAAUACAUCAUUUUUAUAGAUCAUUUUAAUAUCAACCUCACUCCGCGCAGGGCGCGGAUCCAAUCCUAGUAACUAAUUAAAGGCUAGACGAUAUGUGCAUUUUUUGCGGUUAAACUAAUAUAUGAAUUAGCUUCUUUUUUAAUAUAUGAAUUAGCUGUUGGAACGUAAAACAUAAUAAGGUUUUAAAUAAAUGUAUUCCUUAGCUUUUGAAACUUAACUUGGCCAUCUUGGUGUCGGUAAGAAUAAAACCAAUGGUAUUCUAAAUUCUAAUGGCUGUUUAAGAAAGUGUUCCUUAUUAAGUUACUAGUUAAUUACGGAGUAUAUUGAACCAGUAAAGUAAAUAUAAAAUUUUGAUUAAUCCACUUUAAUCAUGUUCUAUGAUAUUGCACUACAAAAAAAAGUGUGAAUUACAUCACAUAAAUUAUAUCACAAAAAUAAAUGAUGCUAUUUUAAAUUACUUAUUUACAAAUGAUGUGAAUAUACCUAUUUUUAAAUCAAUUAUAAUAACUGAUGUUUUAUUAAUUAAUUUAACAUCAUUUCAGAAAAAUGAUAUUUUUUUUUUGUUAAUUUGUAUCACUUAAAUGAAAUUGAUGCUAUCAUAUAAAUUUAUAUCGAUUAAAUAACUGAUGCAUUUAUUAUUUUAGUUAACAUCAGUUAUUAACAUGAUACAUAAUUUAGAUCAAUUAGAAAACUGAUGCUAACAAAAAUUUAUAAUAUCUCUCUCUCUCUCUCUCUCUCUCUCACACAUUAUUGUCAUGCCAAAUGAAAAUGUCCCAAACUUCUCCAUUAAAUUAAGAUAAAUAUUACUUCAGCUAAUUUCUUAAAAUUUUGAUUCCUUAGGUUGCUUCAGAAUCAGACCAAAGUCCAAACCUUUUUUUGGCCUCAUUAUGGGCAUUAGGUUCAGUUAAUGAUGCAAGUUACUUGCUUAAAUAAAUGAAAGUAAAGUCGUUAACUAUUUGUCAAUUUAAGUUGAAGGAUUUAAGAUAACAUUCCACACAUCAUUAUCAACUUAUUGUACAAUCGGUGCAGGAAAAAACCAAGAUAUAAAUUCAGAUAUUAAUAUAUGUUCUAGUAAAUAUAGCCGAAUAAAUUUUUGUUUUGUUCGCGAUAUGAUUAUAGAACUUAUAGACACUUCACAUGAAGUUGACUGCUAAAGACACGAACGGUUCAGUUCAAAAAGAAAAAUGACAGGAAUGCUUCAAAUGAUUCGUUUAGAGGGUUUUUGACACGUGCGGGGACGUACACACGAAACCCUACCACUCUAUAUGAAAGCAAGAGAGGAUAAACGAUCAAAGUAAUAUUUAUAUCUAAUUAUUAAUAAAAAGUAUAGACAAAAUUAGUUUGAUACACUAUUUAAAAAUUGAUACACAUUAGUCAACAAAAGGGGAGAUUGAGAUUUAAUAAAAUGGAAGGAGGAAGAAGAGUAGUGGUCAAUAACUACGAUCUACAACAAGUGACAUCGUCGGCGACGAUCCAAGAAAAUAUGAACUUCCUCGUUCCAUUUGAAGAAACCAACGUCUUAACUUUCUUCUCUUCUUCUUCUUCCUCUUCCCUCCCCUCUCCUUCUUUCCCCAUUCACAACUCUUCUUCUACUACUAAUACUACUCAUGCACCUCUAGGGUUUUCGAAUAAUCUUCAGGUGUAGCUAUAUAUGAUCUAUCUUUGUAUUAUGCAUAGCAUGUGAUUAUCUUGUUUUUAUAGUUUUUAAGUAUUGGUUGUAUCUUAAUCUGAAGGGGUUUAAUAUGGGUUUUGUAGGUUGGAGGACCCUUGGGAUCAAAGGUGGUCAAUGAUGAUCACGAGAAUAUUGGAGGUGGAAUCAACAAUGAUGUCCAUUCUAAUUCUUGGUAAUUAAACUGAUUUAAGUUGAAGAUGAAUCCACUCCUUUCUUCUUCUUUUGGCAUAAACUAAUGGCUAAUGAAGAAAGUUAUUAUUGUUACCAUAAUUUUCCCAAUAAAUUGAUUUUCUUUCUCUCGGGUGUUUUGGAUGUGGCCAAAACACUGGAAAUGAAUGAUUUGAGAUCUCAUAGAGCGAAGAUAGACUUAUGUACAAAUAAGAACCUUAUGACAUAAGAUAUAUAUUAAACCUAAGAUAUUAAAGUUUCUGAUACAUUAUAGAGUGAUUGCAUUUGCAGGUGGAGAUCCAGUGGAGAGAUGAAGAACAAAGUUAAGAUAAGGAGGAAACUAAGAGAGCCAAGAUUCUGUUUCCAGACAAAAAGCGAUGUCGAUGUUCUUGACGAUGGAUACAAAUGGCGUAAAUACGGUCAGAAAGUCGUGAAGAACAGCCUUCACCCAAGGUAAUUCAUCUAAGUACACCACCAUUUUAUGUUUGUUUAAUGGACCUUAUUAUUAGUCUAAGUUAACAUACCAAUAGUUCUGAUGCCAUAUGUUAUAUAUAAUGAUUCUCGUAUAAUCACAUUGAUUGAUGACUGUUGUUUCGUAAAAGCUUAGAAUGUAUCAUAAUAUUCUCUAUUUAGACUGUUGCCAAACGCUAGCUCAAGGACUAGACAUGACUGCUUAUACAUAAUGUAUACAUUUUCUACAAAUUAAGAUUAUUUUUUUUUACGUAUUUUGCAAUUUUAGUAUGUAUCGUACGUCCCUCGAGGGCUGUCAUCAUUAAGAAUGCAAACAAUAUCUUCUGUUUUUGUCUCUUUUAUUGUGCAAUGUCUACACAUUUUCCAACUAAAUUCCACAUGUUUGUUUCUUGAGUUCUUUUUCUUUUUUUCACAUAUGGUUUACUGGAUCCAACUAUUAUGUACUAAUAAAUGGAAAAAAAAUUAUAUAUAUACAGGAGUUAUUACAGAUGCACACACAACAACUGUAGGGUGAAGAAGAGAGUGGAGCGACUGUCGGAAGAUUGUAGAAUGGUGAUUACUACUUACGAAGGUCGUCACAACCACAUUCCCUCUGAUGACUCCACCUCUCCUGACCACGAUUGUCUCUCUUCCUUUUAAUCUCUCUCCCUGAAUAUAUAUAGACAGAAUAUAUAUAUAUAUGCACAUAUAGAUGUGUGAUAUGUUGCACGUGUUUAUUAUUUGGGUCAAAUUGCAUGUGUGUGUUUCAAGAAUAUAUCAUCAGAUGUUUUAUAUUCUUGACUUUCCGUUUAUGAUAUACAUAUAUACACUCUUAGUGGAUAUUAGUUAUGAGUUUGGUUCAUCAUGACACUACCAAUGCAUAGAUUGUAGAAGAUUUAAAUGAGCCAAAGUAUAUAAAAAGAGUGCAUCAGUUUAUUAGUUAGUAACAACACUCAAGGCAACGUAGCUACAAACUAGCUCAUGGUCAAUAUAUUACACACAUAUAAUGUUAAGUAGGGUUAUAUUUAGCUAGUUAAGAAAUCAUCUGUCUUCCUAAUGAUCAGAUGAAGAUGUUAUAAGUAUAGAUGAUAGACUCAUGCAGCGGGAGCGUAAUCAUAUACUACAUCAUCGUCAUCAUCACCUUCGUUCAUGAAAGAUAUUGCAACUGCAGUUUGGCCGUUGUAAUGGAGAACCAAUCAAAUUCUAUUAUUGCAAACAUUUCUCUUUUAUACACUACUCAUUUAAAACUUGUUGAAAAGAAGGCUAAAGAAAGAAAACUUGAUUUACUAUAAAGUAGAGAUUGUUACUUGACUAUAUUUAUAGAUGUAAGCUAAUAGCAAACGGUGAACUCAUUAAAACUGAGUCAGGGGGCAUGUGACUCGCUGCUUAUAAUGUGUGCCUGACACAAGAGGAGUGUGAAAAACUGAGUAAGCCACCUAUUUUUGUGCCCUGACACAUCCGUCACUUUUUAUAUAUUUAUUGGUCCACCUCUUAUUACACAAUUUGUUAACACUUAUUAUUUCAUUAUGACAUAAUUUUCUUUCACGGAAUAAUAAACUUUUUUGAAGUAAAGAUCGAGAAACCCCUAAAGAGUUUUACUUUAUUUUGGAUUUUAGCCAAAAUGCAUUAUAGGGUAUUGAUUCCCUCUACCAAUAGCAACAUCAUAAGCAUCAUGCAUGGAACCUUGAGGGACAAAAACAAAGAUUAUGAUCUGUCUAGAUUUGUUUUGUGUUUUGUCUUCAUCUCAAGUGUACAUGGUAAAUAUUUGUUUUUUUUUCUUGACUCAGUUUUACAAUAUUUACUUUGAAACUGGGCUUUUGAUAAGGCAGUGGGAUGCUCACAAAAGGGUCCAUGUUAGGUCCAUUAUCCCCUCAAAAGAUGACGGUGAAGCGACGAAAUAAUGAGAUGAGCUAUAGUAAAAGAUUAAGAACAUCUCGGAUGAUUUACUCUAUUUUUUACCUUAAAUUAGAGUAAGAGUUUGAGUUUGUUCUAAUGAUAAACAAAAAAAAACAAAGUUGCUCUAUAUUUGGAGUAACCUAUUUUCACUCUAUUAUAAAGUGAGAAAUAGAAUACUAUUGAAACAUUUUUACUCUAAACUUUAUUUUAGAACGAAAAAGUGAGUGGGUUUGGAUGCCAUAACAUUGUCUUAAGCUUAGAUGAGGUUUUUCUUUUUUUGAUCGUGACAUGGCACCAAACAUUGGUUAAAUAUUAGAUUCUCACAAUCUUGGGCAAGCCAACAAGAUGUUUUUAGACGUUUUGGUCUUUUAGCCUCCACCCUCUACUAACCACAACCACCGGUUAACUUUUUUUUCUGAAUGAUUUUAAUCAUCACGAUCUUUUUGAAGAUAUUUAUAGAACAAUAUCGUAUGCAACCUAAAAAAGAAAUGGAUAUAUAAUAAUCUAGGCUGACGGCAAAUAAAAUGAAUUGGUUUCACUGAGAAUAAACUUACAGUUUACACACGCAUUCAGAAAUUUGUAUAGGCUACCAACUAAUGUGGUCCACCGAUCUUCACAUAAUUCUAAACAUUAUGCAUGGACAAGACUAUACCUAUACUAUACACCAAUAUAUUAAAUGUUCUCUGAAGCGCAAUAUUAUGAACUAUAUAUUUUCUCAUACUAUUAGUAUAUGAACUAGGAAAAGGAGUUUUUGAUGGAUGGGGAGGGUCACAUGGAGGAGCACAUGGAAAGUGGCUACGAAAAAGAUACGAGAAGCGAGAGACACGUUACGCAGCUGUUGUUGAUCCCCAAAAUGCUACGGAAAACUAUAUACAAAUAUUAUUUCUAUUUCUACAAUUCAUAUUAUACAACGUAUGUAUAAAAAGAAAUCUUUAUUCUUAGUUUUUCUAACGAGACAUGCUUUACUCUUUCAUCACUCCAAUCUCAAUCAGUUAACAUCUAACCUACCUGUCAUGUUUUAAUUAAUCGUUUCUCUCGUCACUUCAGGUACUAAUCAAGUUAUACGGUCAGUACUCGCAUCAUUAUAAGAUAACCAAGUAGCAUAAAAUAAUGGUCACAUAAUAUACGUCUAAACCAUGUGUACACUAAUCAAAUCUUGUCUGCUUCAGUUUGUAGUUCAUGAAUGUAGCUAGGAACUAUACUAUAAUGCUAUUUGGAAGAUAAAUUUACUAACGAACUAAAAAAUGCAUUAGUUUGAACGUAAGCUAGCAAUUCAAAUGAUCAAAUCACUCAAUGGUCACACAUAUCGUCCUGUAAAGAUCAAAUCUUUUCGUUUAACGUUUUCUUUAACGUGAAAUUUCUUUUCAUUGUUCUUGCUCUUUAACUUUUGGGUCUGCUUUGUCUAAGAACUUUGCCUAAGUGCGUCCAAAUUAGCUGUACAUCUUGGCAUGUUAGAUUUAGAUCGAUCUAUAGUUUAUUCAUAUCUACAUUUCUCUAGCAAUCUUAAAUAUAUAUAUUGGGCUAUAAAGAAGGAUUAAAUGUUAUGUUUACCAGAUGGGAAUUGAUUCGCAUUAUUAGCAACACAUGCACUUCGUAGGAUCACUAUCGUCAUGACUUUCUAGUUUAAAUAAAUCUCCCCACAUGUAAUGUAACAUGAUGAGUAUGGGAUCCCAUCUCCCCCAUUACAAAACCGAAAUUAAAAUUCACAUAUAAUCACACAUUUUCCUUAUAAACUCACAUUUUUAACGUAUAAUUUUCCCAAAAUCACAUCAAUAUUCGUUAUUGCGUACAUAUCAAAAGACACGAUAGAUUUGAUAUAUCGUGUUUAAUGCAUUAGUUUAAUGUUUCCCUCUUGUUAAAACUUAAGUUUUCAAAUUCAAUACUAAUCAUUAAUCCAACUUAUGAAAUAAAAAAGCACCACUUUCCUUUUUAUGUUCCAUAUUCUAAUGAGUUGCUUAUUUAUAUAUUUUGAAAUAUUUAUGUUUUUUCGGUUCCACCGCCGACGGUGAUAUAACAAGAAUUAAUGAUUCAUAACAAAUUCAAAAGAGUCACAUUCCUGAAAAUUUAAAAUUGUUUAUAUAAACAAGCAAAUAGAAAAUCAAGAAAAUACUUAUUAAAUAAAUAAAAAUACAAAAAAUACAAAAUAACUACCCAAUAUAACGACCACCUUAAUCACACCGUCACACGCCAUUAACAACAGAGCAGAGCAGAGCAAAGAAAGUAACUUUCUCUUCCUCUCUCUAUCCCAAACACACACAUACAAAAAUGGCUGAGCUUGAGAGUCCUGGAGUAAUGCCAAAGCUAAUAGCCUUCUUAUCUUCACUGCUAGAACGAGUUGCCGAGUCCAACGAUCUGACCCGGCGAGUCACGACUCAGUCGCAGAGUGUUUCCGUGUUCCACGGGCUGAGCCGGCCGACCAUUACGAUCCAGAGCUACCUCGAGAGGAUUUUCAAAUACGCCAAUUGCAGUCCUUCUUGCUUCGUCGUGGCUUACGUUUAUCUCGACCGUUUCACUCAGAGACAGCCUUCUCUUCCUAUCAACUCCUUUAACGUUCAUCGUCUCCUCAUUACCAGUGUCAUGGUCUCCGCUAAAUUCCUCGAUGAUCUGUAAGUUUCUACGUUUCAUUAAUCGAAAUCGAGGCCUAUGAAUCGAGGGUCGAGCUCAGGAUUCACUAUCACAGCUUAAAAUUUCAGUUAAUGAUCAGCCAAUGCUCUGUUUCUGAAAUGCUCUGUUUUUAUCUGCUCUGUUUUUAUCUGCUCUGUUUUUCUCUGUUUGUUCCUCUGAAACAUAAAGAUCCAAUUUUUAAAUUGAUUUGGUUAGUUAUUCACUAAAACUGUAACGUUGGUACCUUAAACAGGUACUACAACAAUGCGUAUUACGCGAAAGUGGGAGGGAUAAGCACGAAAGAGAUGAAUCUUCUAGAGCUGGAUUUCUUAUUCGGGUUAGGUUUCGAUUUAAACGUGAAGCCAAACACGUUCCACGCUUACUUCUCUUAUCUUCAAAAGGAAAUGACUCUUGUUCAACCCCUCUCUCUCGUUGUUGUCCCACCAAGAUCUGUCAUUACCUUCAACGACGAAGAAGCUUCUCACCAGAAACAACAACAGCAGCAACUCGCUGUUUAAUUCACACAUGAUUCCAAAAAAAAAUUGGUUCUCUGUUCUUAAUCAGUCUGGGCCUUGUUUUUAAUGAAAUGUGUAGUUGUAGAUGAUGUAGAGAUUAGUCGGCAGGGACUCUUAUCUUGUCUUAAUCAUAUCCUGAUUAAGAAAUUUCUUGAUCAUUUCUCUCUAUAUAUUAUAUCAUUUAUGUUUAGAUGUGGACAUGUGUGAUAUAGUUCAUCUUUACAGACUGGCUUGGCAACAUAAGUUUAAAUGUCACUAGUAACUCUAAAACUCAAAUAACCAAAAAUAUCUAUGUUAUGAUUAUUUAUGUUUUGUUUUUGUCUGAUGUUUAGAUGUUACCCAUGCUAGAUCAGAGACAUGGGUUAUUAUUUUAGUAACAAUAGUAACUAGGAGGUACAAUGAUUGUGAUUUGUGAAGAAAAUUUGUUGUUUUCUUGUUCUAUAGAGGGAACAAAAGAACAUGUGCAGAGCAGAGACAGACUGUAAUGAUAAAGAAAUCCACGGUCAAUAGACAAUUUGAAAGAGGCUUAAGUGACUGUGACUUGUGUGAGGAGUUUAUACAAAUAAUGUAUAUUAACAAAAUAAACCACAAAGUUUUAAGUUUAUAGGUUUUUACUCCAAUAUUUUCAUAGUUCAUACAUACAAUUCAAGAACACAAAUCAAAGAGAGGUUAAAAACAGAGAAAAAUGGAAUUUGAGACUGAUUUUUAGAAAGUGGAUGUUGUAGUAGUACUUGUAAGAGGAGAGAUUCUUGUUUUCUUGGAAUGAAGAACACACCUAAUACUACAUCAUGAAAAAGUGCAGCCAUUGCAAAUCCAUAGGUCAAGGCAAGGUAGAAAGGGAGUCCUUUUGUGAGUAAUGAGAUUUCUGUAAUUAAACAGAAGUGAAAAAACUACCGAUUUUAAGAAGAUGAAAAUGCCAUAAGAAAUCCAACUCUUUGAUCUCAUUAUAGUUGCUCCUGCGUAAUAAACCGGCUUAGUUUUAUGAUAACCAGUAGCCAUAAGUCGUUGCGGCUAUCAGAACCACUAAGACACGACGAAUUUCCAUUAAGUGAUGAGACUCUGUCUUUCUUGUACUUUAAGUAGGGGUUAUUGGUUGCUGUAUUUUAAUGAAUUUGAAAAUCCGAACUAAAUCUAGUGUUAUUGGUUUUAUGAUUUUCAAAUCUGUAUUAAAAUCAUGUGUUAUUGGUUUAAUGAUUCAUAAAUUCUGUAUCAAAUCAAGUGUUAUUCAAUCAUACGGAUUUACUAAUAUAUUUGAUUUUAUAAUGGAUUUGAAUGGAUUUGUUUGGAUUUGUUAGUUAAAAAUACAAAGACUCAAAUCCGAGGGAAAACCUCCGGAUUUGCAUAUUUUACUUGGAUUUAUAAAUACUAUAUGGAUUUCUAAAUCAAUCAAAAUAUAUAAACCAAUAACACCUCCUGAGUAAUCCAGUAGCAGAUUCUUGUUUACACACUACUUUGAGUCUUUGACAAGUUAAAUGUGUAUAGUAAUGGGCCUGUCCCACUAAUAUUAACCCAUAUAACUAAGCCUAUUAACUUUAAGCUAAUCCAAACUUCUAACAGCGUAGCUAAGUUUCUUUUUAACAUGGUAAUAGAUUCAAUUCAUGGCAAGAACUAGGCUAAACAAUGGGAAGCCUAUGUGCGCUCAUACUCUGGGCUCUAAGUGGUCAGAAAUUAUGAUUCGGCCCAUCUUUAUCAUGUUCCAACACAACUUUUCAUUUUACAUUGACAGUCUCUGGACAUUUUACCUGGACCCAAAAGCCCGACUCAAAGCUGAUCCGAUCGAAAACCGAAAAUUUAUAAAUAACUAGUGGAUCUAAAAAUUUAUAUCCGAAAGAACUGGAACCGAAAAAAACGACUCGAAUAGACUCAGACCCGAAAAAACCCGAUCCGAAUAAACCCGACCGAUAAAAAUUGAUUAAUAUCUUACUUAAAAACACGAAUAUCCAAAACUAUGAUUUAUUUGUUCUAUUUUCUAUAUUUUAUUUAAUGAUAUAGUUGAAAUAUAUUUUUGUUAAUAAUCCUGAAAUAUAUAUUUUGUUAACAAUCUUUGUUAUUAUUUUUGUAGCAUUUUGAAGUAAUACGAAGUUUUAAAUGUAAAAUUUAAAGUUUUAAAAUGUUUAUUAAUAAUUUACUUUAAAUUAUUUUGUAAAAUUUUAGAUAUAUAUAACAUAUUUUGACUAAAUUUCACGUAGUUUGGGUAUUUUGUGGUCCUUUCAGAUCAUAAAUACUCAACCCAAACUCGAUAUAAAUAAAAAAAUUUAGAAUAUUUUAAUUAUAGAUCUGAAUCGAUCCGAACCAAAGAUCCAACCCUAAUCCGAACCAAAAAUUUAUAAAUAUCGAUUGGAUCCAAAUGUCUAGGACCCGAAAGAUCUGGAUCCAAAAGGAACCAGUCUCAACCCGAACACCCAGGCCUAGACACUACCAAAGAAAGUUCAAACUACACAUGAGUAUAGAUUACAAGUACCCGACGACCCAAUUAUUUUUGAUCAUGAACUUUCUUCGGUCUUCCAUAAAAGGUGGAAAGUGUCAAGUGGCAUGCGUACAUGGGCCCCUUUUAAAAGCCCAUUUUAGCUGUCAUGUUAAAGAACCGCCGGAGCUCUAGCUCUCAGUUAUGUCGGAAAAUGUAACACUCGAAGGAUCUGUAUUCAGAAUUUGUUUUCUCUUUGUGGAUUACUACAAACAUAUUAACCGAGUGAAAUUAUAAGACAAAGAAAUUGAAUUUAGAACCGAUCUGUUUCUUGUCGGAACUUGGAACAUCGAACAAAAUUUAAACCUCCAGAGAACAAAAAAAAACUAUCAACACAGCCCAUCUGUCUCUCUAUCUCCCCAAACUCCACAUUCAUUUACAUAAAAACCAGAUCUACACUUUCUCAGAUUCCGACAUCGGAACAAAGAUAAGAUAGAAACAGAGCAAAACAUUGCUAAUAUAGAAAAGAAAAACUAUCUGCUUUUUGAUCUUCUUAUGUAAUAAAAACACGUCUACUACGCCACCACGAGAGUUCCUGUCCGUACGGUUUUGCCGGCGGCGGAAUCUUUAGCUGCUUCGGAAGAUUUUUUACGGAGAGAUCUUGAGGAAAGUCUCCAGCUUCUCUCCUUUGCUUCAUCGGACUCGAUCUGUUCUUCUCUACACUCUUUGCUACAAAACGCCUUGUCUCCUCUUUUAAAAAAAAAAUCAAGAAAACAUCUCAAUAUAUCAAUAAAGGCAAUCACUUUUCAAAAUCCAGAUCCAGGAAAUUGAUUUUAUUAUGAUCGGAUUAAGUACCUGUACAUGAAGAUGUCGGAGUUAAGACCAAUGUGUUUGCGGCAAAGAGAGCAAGAUUCCAGAAAGUGUGGCUCUUCACUGCCGAAGAAGCUAUUGUAAUGCGACGCCAUUGCUAAUAUUAAUAUUUUAAAAGAAGAAAGCUUUACGAUUCAAGAUUCAGCUCAGAGAGGGAGGAGGAGGGGGAGGAGAAAGAUGAUUGAUUUGGUGUGAAUAUAUAAAGCGGAGCUCGGACUUUCUCUGCUUUGACUUUUAGUUAAUCACCUGUGGUGCAGACCAGUGUAGUUACUGUGGUUUACAAUAAAUCUGCACCGUUCUUUCUUUCCUUAGUCCAAUCUCGAAAGAUCUAUACGUUAAAAGUUCAGUAAUUAGUACAUUACUUUUUAUUUUAUUAUUAUCGUCUUUAUUAUUUUGUCUGCACCAGUUACAUGUCUAUUUUCUAUUUAAUUUAUACUUCCGAAUUUUCUAGUAAAAAUAUUUUUUUUUUUUAUAUUCCAUGGCGCAAAAGUCUAUACAUUAUUUUUGUGUAACGUAGAGCAAUAGAGAACAUAUAAAAUUAGUAGAAUUUUAUUUUUUUGCAUUACAAUAAUUUGGGUGGAUCUAGUUGGUCGAGAGGAAUCAAACAAGUCUUGCGUUUGUGAGAUUCGUUGGCCAUAACAAUAACAUGCGUAAAGCAUGAUUGAUGGCUUUUCCGUAAAUAUAAAAUUAACAUUAAAUGAUAGUUUUGGUCAAAAAAAAAAACAGUAAAUGAUACUACUAGUUUCCAAAAUUUAUAUUUUUAUAUUACUAAUCUUUUUACUAAAUAUUUUUGUGGUUUUAAACUGGUCCCCGUGUGUAGUCUCUGAGCUCUAGGGAUGCAUCUCCCCUGGACAAUGUUUCAUUCCAUGGGUGGAAAUUUAUAGAUCGCCUCUCAUUUGUUUAAAGCUUUGCUUGUUAUACUGUGGACACUUGGACAGUAACGUUCUUUUAUUACUAUAGUAUAAGUGAAUAAAUAUAUUCAUGUAUAUUUGAGACAACACAGCUUGGUACACGUGCUGGAGCUCCAGGUAAAAAAGUUCGGAAUCUUUUGGCUGAAACUCUGUAAAGUCUUGACACAAUCUCAGUUCAAAUAAAAAGUCAAGAAGUUCUAGAAACAUGUACGUUAAAUUUAGAUACGAAAGACAUGCAUAGACUUUAUACUUGUCUUUGUAAUAAACGAACAAUAGCGUGACCGACCUUCAUUGAAUAUAAGUACACAUUUUUUUUUGGGUAAAAAUAUAAGAAAUAAUAUAAGUAUACAUUUGAUAGCGCCACACUCACAUUCACAUUCCUGUUUAUAUUGUAGUUAAUCGCGUAACAAUACGUUUCACAUAUUUAAAUUUCAUAAAAUAUCAGUUCCGACUUGGGAGUAACUUGUUUUAUAUGUCUUUUGAUUCAUAUAACAAAAUCUUUCCAAAUCAAAUUCAAAUAACACAGCAGUAGAAUUUGACUUUUAAAUUCAAUAUAUGGUAGGUAAAGAUCACUUGCUUAGUUAUAUACUAUUUUUUAUAAAGAUCACGUCAAGCACUCAACGUUUCUGAGUAAGCAAUGACUCACGAUACGAACGGCAAACCAAUAUAAUAAACUUUAUAAACAAUUUACGAAUAUAUAAACAACCAAAGUGUAUAAAUACAAACAAAAGAGAUAAUCAGUUGUUUUGCGAUCAAUCAUAAUAAAGGUCCAAAAAAAAAAGUAGCAAAGGACCACACAACUUGUCAUGUGUCGAUACGCCUUGGAGUCGGGAGAUGGGUCCUCCCACUAGAGUUGGGAAUAUCAAACGAGGAGCUGACUAGACAAAACCCUUUUUAAAGGAACUGUUAUUAUUAUUGGGAUCCACCAUCACCUCUAUUAAGCCCAAUAAUCAAAACGUCAUUCUCUCUCGGGCCCUUGACAGCUGCCCGUGUACCCCGUUUGCCCUACCUUUUUGCUUGUACAUACCCACCUGCCCCUGUCACGUGUGGUGAAUCUCACUCGUGUGCCAGCAAAGCUGGGUAUUUGUGAUACGUGUCGGUUUAUUAGAGGUAUUAAGGUUGCAUGGGAAUUAAAUUCUCUUGUUUCGAUUCUACGGUUAGGAUUUGAUCUGCGAGAAGCGUUGGUUGUAGCCGUUGAUUUGUUAUAGUAGACGAUGCCAAUUCAGAUGGUCAACUAGCUAUAUUUGGAGAUGUAUUAAAUUUUGUAUUUAAGAUAUUAGAAUGCUCAGUGAUUGAUCUUUAAUUAGUUUGUAGAUGAAUUCUGUUAAAUUAUUAAUUUUAUAUAAUUUUAAUUUAUAUUUUAGUUAAUAAACUCUACCAAAAACUUUUAAAAUAAGUGUUUUAAAUUUAUCUUAACUAAUAAACUCUACAAAAAGACUCUAUUGUUAAAAGUCUCAUCAAAUAUUUUACCAGAAAUAUUUUUUGAUAAAUUAUAAAUUAUAAAUUGUAUUUUAAGAUUAUAUGUUAAAACAGUUAUUUAAAAUAAAUAUUAUACAUUUUAAUAAAAACAUAUUUUCGGCAAAAACAAAUUUUAGUAAUAAACAUUUGAAAUUACAAAGUCAAUAUUCAAAACUUCCAAAAAAUAAAUUAGUACAUAAGCAGGUAUAUGCACCAUAUAUUAUUAAUAAAAAUAAAUUUAUAUCCCAGAUUAAAUAUAUAUAUUUUCAGAUUCAGAUAUUGAAAAGGCGGGUAAAUAACUAUUAAUACAGCCAAAAGCAAUUGAUUUUUUAUUACUUGCUAUGACUCCAUGCCUCAUCAAAGCUUGGAAGAAUCCACAGCCCGGGCUUGUGGCUAGAUGAGCUUAUGCAUGUACAUAAGGUUUUCUGUUUGGAUGGCAUGUCCAUGAGAAAGCAUCGCUUCAUUUCACCAUCCCACUUGCAAUCGUUGCAGUGCAGAGUUUAGAAGAUACUAAACACUACUUUUUGGUGUCCAUAGGUAUGUAAUAUCUUCUCACAUUGCGCAUAUAUAGCCAAUCGGUCCAUGUGCUGAUGAUCUAUAUAAUCUCCUGCAGUUUCUUGCUAUUCCCUCUUCCCACUCUUAUAUGAGCCGCAGGAAUACCCGAUCAAGGUUUUGUUGCUGUUGUUGCAUUACAUGGGAAUGUGGCUUGGCUUUUACUGCUCAAUACGGAGAGGAGAAGGUGUUGAAGAGCAACUUUAAGAUCGGUUAUAUUGAGAAGAGCUAUCUGAUGGGUUUAGUUGUAGUAGAGAUAGUGUCUCAGUUCUUGCAUCCGUAUUUUCUAGGUGAUAGAUUUGCAUUUAUGCCCUUAACGUUGAUUUCAACAUACCAUGCCGUCGGUAAUAUUUACUCUUGGAUUUGGCAGCUUAGGAGGAUCCUUACAUGACAUGCAUUUGACUCUUUUUUUCUCAUCCUGAACUUGUGAUUUUGUUUUGUUUCAUACUUGAAGUCCUUCAAGUAGGCCUGACUACGAAGUUGGUUUGAUUCGGUAGAUCUUUUUAAAAUGUUUUGUUUUGGUUCUGUUCGGUAAUUGGUUAUUUCGAUUUUCUUAAACACAAAAUUAUAACCGAACUAUAUCAAAAACUCUAACCGAACUAACUAAAUCUCAAACCGAACUAACCAAAUUUCAAACUAAAAUAAUCAAAUAUAUCCAAAAUUUUAACAAAAGUAAACUAAAAUCUAAUCGAAAUAAAAAAAAAAUAGGUAAAAUUUACAAAAACGGAACAACCAAAUGCUUAACCAAAAUUGUUUUGGUUAAUCCGGUAAAAUUUAUGUUGAAUUGAACUAACCAAAAACCAAACUACCCGAACCGGAUAAACUUUAUUUAUCUCUGAAAGUGGAUCUUAUUAGCUAGGCCCAAAAUGAAAACUUGGAAACAACCAAUGAGCUUUUUAACAUUAGCCCAAUUCAAAAACAUAAGAACCAACGAGAAACCUCUAGCCGAGAAGUCGUGACAGAGGAAGAAGAUCUGCUUGCUUGUGCAAACAAAAAAAAAAACCUUAUCUUGCAAUGGCUUCUUCAACUUUCGUCUCUCUGCCAAAACCCUUCUUUGCUUUUCCGGUUAAAACCAGUUCCCCUCCCCUAGCUAACCAUAAGCUUCUCGGUACUGACACAAAUCUGAGAAACUUGUAAAGUUUCAAGCUUUCAGUGUUUUUUUUGUCCGUCUGAUGAUUUGUUUCUCUUACAGGAAGUCGAAGAGGCUGUCUGAGUGUCAAAGCGAUUUCCACUAAAUGGGAACCGACAAAGGUACUGUCUUUUUUCCGUUUACUUUUGUCCAAAAGUUUAUUCAUUUUGUUGAUAAUGUCAAUCGCAGGUUGUUCCUCAAGCAGACAGGGUUCUUGUUCGCCUUGAAGAGCUUGCACAGGUCUGUUAGAACUCUUUUGUGAUUCUGAUUAAUGAGAAGACAUUGUAGUUGGUUAGCUCUGUUAUCACAAUUCGAUUGCCAAUAAUCAUUGAUUAUUUUGUUGAUGCAGACAACCUCAGGUGGAGUGUUGUUGCCUAAAGCAGCUGUUAAGUUUGAGAGAUACUUAACCGGAGAGGUUGUCUCUGUUGGUUCUGAGGUUGGACAACAAGUUGGCCCUGGCAAGAAGGUUAGGUUCUUUCUUUAACUCUUUCAAGUCAUAACCAUCAUCCAUUGUUGGUUAACUAGUGUGAAAUGUUAAUUCAUUUGUUUCGCCUUUUGCGUUUUUAACAGGUUCUGUUCUCUGACGUGAGCGCUUAUGAGGUUAGUUAGUUAUGGUUUGCCUUCUUCACAGUGAAGAUUCAACCAUAGUUUUUGGAAGUAGUGUAACAUCUUUGAAUUCAUUGUUGUACAGGUUGAUUUGGGGACGGGUGCUAGGCAUUGCUUUUGUAAAGAGAGCGACUUGUUGGCCCUCGUUGAGUGAAGAGAUCUUGUCAGAGAUAAUAUUCCUUCAAGAUUUUUACUUGUUUCCUGUAAUCUCAGAUAAUAUAAUCUUGUUUUGUGACAGUUUUUUCAAUUUAAUAUCAUUUUGAAGACAAUCAUAAGCAUUCGAGGCAAAUUAUAAUGAAAUUGAAACUAUUUAGAGAGUUCAAGAAUGCUCCCAAAACAGAACUAAACAAAGAGAGAAUUGAACAACCUUGGUAGGAGUCUAGGAGAAGCUUUGAGAGAGGUUUAGCUAGACUUUGGAUGAUUGUAAACGUAUUCAACAGUCUCCAAACUAUCAAACGUAGGGGAAGGCACGUUCUUAUCACGUGGCAAGCCUAUGGGCCCCCUUACUAACGAAGCCCAUAACGUUUCGAAAUUUUUAACAAUCCGAGUCUAAUAUCUUAUAAUAUUGCAAAUUAUCCCCAAUAAGUUUCUAAUUGCACAUAAACGACCCCUUCUCUCUUCGAAUAAACAUUCUCAGCGACGGCAUCUCUCUCUCUCUCUCAAUCUCCGGCUUAUAUUGGGAAGUUAACGCCCUCCUCCGCGACGUAUCUCAGAUCCGUCUCAGGCUAGUUUCGAUCUCGAGGUUUUCAAUGGCUCCGGUCUCGGCGCUCGCCAAGUAUAAGCUGGUGUUUCUGGGAGAUCAAUCCGUCGGGAAGACGAGUAUCAUCACUCGAUUCAUGUACGACAAGUUCGACAACACUUAUCAGGUUAAUCCGAUUUUUCCUCCUCCUCCUCCUCCGAUCUAGCGUAAGGAUCUCGCCGAUGCACGACGCUAGCUUAGUUUUGAGAUCCGAUUAUGUGUGAUCUGAUUUGUAGAUCGUUUGUUAAUGUAUGAGACGUAACGAUCAGUAGUAAGGAUCAUGUGUGGGAUCUCCUUUAGCUUCUCAUUGUUUGUGAUUGCUCACUGUUGAUUGUUUGUUGUUCAUACUGGAGGAUCGUUAGAAACGCUAUGGAAUUGAACUUAGUUCGCGUUGAUCUUGUGAUCAUUGCUUAUCGAAUCGAAGUAGUUCUCAGUUGAUGAAUGAAAACAAUUCUCUGAUCUUGAUUUGUAGAUCGUUGUUAAUGUAUGGGAAGUAACAAUCAGUAGUAAGGAUCAUGUUUGCGAUUCUCCUAUAGCUUUUCAGCGUUCGUGAUUUUACCGUUGCGAUUGCUCACUGUCUGUGUUUAAAAUGGCGCAUGGCGCACCAAGGCGAGACGUGCCGAGCCUUGCGCCUCGCGCCAUGGCGCAAUAUGGCGCUCGCCUUGAAGAAAAUUUUAGUUACGUCAUUUUAGUUACGUCUUGUUUUGUUUUGUAUUGGAGAAGAAACUUAGAGAACACUUAUGCAAUGAUUGAUAUACUAAAUUUAAAUAAGAUGCAAGCUUUAUUAUACUAGAGAGUUCUAACCUUAAGCAAAAAACCUUGAGAUCUAGAUCUAUGUUUUACGUAACUUCUCUUUUAUAAAGCUAGGGUUUGGCGUUUAAGUUUCCCCGGUUAAGUUUUUUUAAAGUCUAAGGUUUAAUUUUUUUUUUUUUUGAGCAAAAAAGUCUAAGGUUUAAUUAUUAAUUAAGGCUUAUAUGGUUUAGAUACGGUUUACAUUAAUCUCGCCUUACGCUCGCCUUUGCCAUGCUCGCCUUCUCGACAAGGCACCCAUGGCGCGCGCCUUAGGGAACCCACCCUCGCCUAGGUGGUACAUGGCGACAGAGCCAUCGCCUGAGUGCGCCUUGCGCCAUGGCGCAAAAGGCGAGCGCCAUUUUAAACACAGCUCAGGUCAGAGUUUCAUAUAUCUAAAGUUUGUGAAUAAAAGAUAAGAUCUUGGUAAGACAAAAAGACAAUGAUAGAAGAAAAUGAAAACAUACAGGUUCUUUGCAAUUUUCUGAAAGUUGAUUCCGUAACAGUUGCCACGCGCAUAAUCAUUAAAUGCAAGGGAGUGUUUUACCGGCUAUCUCCGCAGUGUGUCAGACCCAAAACCUUUUCCAGCCUAAACCCUAGAUAUCAAUAUUUUAUUCUAAUAGGCGUAGUUUCGUCAUUAAUGAAAAUUGAAAAGGAUCAUCGCCAUUUCCCUAAUAAAAUAAGUUUACGUAGCCAUACAAUGCAAAAAUCCUUUUUCUUAAUACUUAAAGAAUAACGACAAAGGAUCGGUUUUCUUUUCCAACAAUUGUCCGGUUAUUAUAUAUAUCCACCAAUAUUGAUACCUUGAAGAUUCUCUUCCGUUUUAGUUCCAACUAGAAAAGAAAACUUUUUUUUUGUCAACCAAAGAAAACUAAUUAAUUUAGAAUAUAGUUGGAAAUUAUAAAUUUCUAUCUACAAAAAAAAAAAAGAAAUUCAUAAUUAAAAGAAAUAUACAAAUGCAAAAUUACAUGUUAUGGUGCCGUUUCCUAAGCAUGGUAGCUGUGUCAUCCCUUCUAUAUGUUUUUCAUUUUUUCUUGUAUAUGUAGGUUACUUUUGUGAUGUUGUAGUUAGUUGAAUGUUUUCAAAAAAAAAGAAAGAAAACUCAUGUGAUUUUUUCUAAUUUGUAACAGAAAAAUUCAUGUGAUUAUUCUUUGAUUUCUAGUACAAUACAAUUAGGACUAAGCAAAGUAUUUGUAAAUUUUGAUUUGAUUAUAUAAUGUAAUUAUUAUGAUUUUUGUAAUUUUUAUAAUAUAAAUUUAUUAAAAUAAUUAUAUAUAUAAAUUAUACGUAUUGUAAUUUAUGUAAGUUAUAAUAUUUUAUUUAUUAAAUAUAUUAUUUUAGUUAUUAAAGCUUUUAAAGUAAAUACUUGUUUUGAAAUAAAUAUUAUUAUUGUAUAUAAUUUUUGGAUUUUUAUUUAUCAUUAUUUUUAAAGUAUUGUAUUUCUACGGAUCGAAUCGGAUAUCUAGAUAAAAAUAUAAUUUUUUGAUAUUUAUUUAUUUAUAUCUAUAAUAAUAAAGUCAACUUACUUUUCGUGGCCGCGGUCAUUACACAAGUUUCAAAUCCGUAAUGCAAUGGGCGAUGGAGCACUGGGCCUUUGUUAUCUCAUUGGGCCUUUACUUUCUUACCAGUGUGGCCCACCUGGGUUUUAGGGUUAUGUUGAUGCUCAAGCUCUUCCCGUGCGUCGCUGUGGCCCUUGCGUUCACCAUGGUUCCCGAUCAAAUCUUCUUUAACGUUUUCUAUCUGAUUCAUGCUUUGGGGUUUUGUCUUUCAAAACCUUUUUUUUUUCGGUUUCACAUCUUGAGCUCCAGAGUCUGCAACCGUGACUCCUCACAUCUCACUGCCUCCGGCGGUCUUCUUUGUAACGCACCAGUAAUAGUCACCCGGAAACAUUAAUUUCUUUGUAACGCAUCGAAUUAACUCUCCAUAUCAUCCUCCAAUGUAACCGAUUGAAACUCCACCUAUAAAUGGCUUCUUGCUUGGGAUGAAGAGUCACACCGAAAGGAAAUCCCAAAGAUCUCUCUUUAUUAAGCAGCAAAUCCAUCAAUGUAGAAUUCGUUUACUCUGCUUGGUGAGGUCAGUGCUAUCAAUAGCACAAUCAAUGAUAGGACACACUGAACACAGCGUGUUAUGCUACGUCUAGAAAGGUACUCACUUUAGUUGGAACUCCAGUGUUUGGCAUCUCUUACAACUUUGUAUGUUAUCUUAUGUCAUUGAUACUUUGCAGGGAGGUGAAUGUGUGUGUCAGUCUGUUGGCGUAGCUUUUUCGCAUCACAUAACAAACUCGAAAGCUACGGCUCUGAGCCGAAAGUUUUCUUGGUCAAUAGCAUCAGUGCCUAAGUUUUUGGAGGUGAGGAAACUGAGUAUUUAUAAUCUUUCUUGCGUUUAGUCAAAACUUCAAACACAUUAUUUGUAACAGAUUGUGUUUACAAGCAACCAUAUCAUUCCAUAAACUAACUUCCUGUUAUGCAGGCCGCCUAUUUCUCGACGGAACAUCUGGAACCCACAUCUACUUUGACUCUGAGACAGCUGCCGGAAAAGAACUCUCUGAAAAGUAAGAAUCUCUAAUACUAUAAUUAGAUAGCUAACCACCCUCUCUGUACAUAAAAAAUCUUGGCAAUUGAUAUAAUCUUGCGUUUUUGUGCUGUUACAUUAAAAUCUCUUUAGGUUGUUUAGGGAUGAUACCAACCAGCCUUUUCACCCAAGCUGCUUCAUGCCCAGAAAAUAUAACCUCUCACCGUAACUGAGCUUAACCAAUAUGGUCUCACAUCUGACCCUCAGGUCCUGUGUUUAAAAUGGCGCAUGGCGCACCAAGGCGAGACGGUCCGAGCCUUGCGCCUUACGCCAUGGCGCAAUAAGGCGCUCGCCUUGAAGAAGCUAUUUAUCUGUGACAAAGUAACACAUGAAUCUAUUAGAAGAAUAAGCACAAACGAGAUUGGAAAGAGUAGAGACUAGAGAGUUCUAACCUUAAGCAAAAACACUUGAGAUCUAUGUUUAUCUUUGGUUACGUAACUUGUCUUUUAAUAAGCUAGCUUUCAUAGUUAUUUAGACGUCUAAGGUUUAAUUAUUAAUUAAAGUUUGGUUUCAUACCUGGUUUAGUCCGGUUUACAUAUAGUCUCCAUGGCACGCCUUACGCUCGCCUUCUGGCCAAGGCGCUCCAUGGCGCGCGCCUUACGGAACCCACCCUCGCCUAGGAGGUACAUGGCGAUGGAGCGUCGCCUGAGUGCGCCUCGCGCCAUGGCGCAAAAAGGCGAGCGCCAUUUUAAACACAGCUCAGGUCAGAGUUUCAUAUAUCUAAAGUUUCUCUAGCAAUAUAGAAAUCUAAUAGUUUCUGUUCUCUUACUGGUAUUCAGACAGAGAAAGGAUGGUGUUAUAUUGGAUGCUCUAAAUGUUCAAAGAACUUCCAGCAUGCAUGAGAUAUCUUCCUUUACAUGCAUUGUAUGUGAUAAGCCGAACGUCGUGGGUGUCCGAGGUAACGGUCCUUAAACUAUGCUAUCCUGGUAUUUUAGUCCCCUGACUUAGAUUUCCUGACACUACUACACUUUGUUGUGACUCUUUUUUAUCUAUAGGUAUCGUGUGGAGCUGUCUGUUACAGACCCGAUUGAUGAUACUACUGUCUUUGUGGCUUUUGAUAUGGAGAUGACAUUCAGGCAGCUGAAACUGCGCAGCUUUUGGUUAUCCCCUCUAUUCAACCAUUUGGUUUUAGCUAAGGCUCCACUUACGUACAUAGCUUUCUAAAUAAAAUGUUUUCUUCUUUGCAGGGGGCAGGUGUGAAUACUCGAGUGGACACGAGCUCCCCCAGUCAAGAGAGUGAUGUAAAAUGAAAUAUUAUUGCGUCGAAAAUAGAAAAAAGCGUUCAGAACUUACUUUAAUUUUCAUAUUUAAACUUUUAAAAUCUUUAAUUUUCAGAUUUCAACUUUUAAAAUUAAAAAAUAAUUCAAGAUAUGGGCAAAAACCAAUGUGAUCAGUGUCUUCCAGCUUAUAUGAAUCAAUGGUAUUACGCAUCUUCUGCUUAGUCCAUUUAACAAUCUAUGCAAAAGUUAGAUUACUGAAAACAUGCUGUAUCAUUUGCGAGCACUGCUAUUUGUAUAAGCAAACGAAAAAGUUCAUAUACUUCAUUUGAUACGUGCUGUUUCACUUCAAGUUCUUACAAAUAAAACAUCAUCAGCUGGCAGUUAUUUUUCAGAACUUCAUCAAUAAUAAUCUUUCGGGGGUUUAUGUUGGCCACAAUAUAAUAAAAAUAUACACUCCUCUACGCAGGACGUUUAGGUUUUGCGAAUCUCAUUUUUCUCAAAUAAUUAUAUCAGAUAAUAAAAACGUGCGCACGAAACUAAUACAAUCAAAAUUUUAACUUCAUAUAUACAUCAUGGAAAGAACUUGGACUAAUUACUUAAGGAAAACUAAAAAGGAAGGUGGGGCACGUGCCACACCUCCGUUCAACCUGCGUCUGCUCCUGACUAUGCGUCUUCUUCCCGAGUGUCGACUACGACAAUUUAGAGUCAUCCUCUUCUAACUUAAAACGACGAUGGAGUUUCGUGAGAUUGUGUGAUACGAAUAUUCGUGAGAAACUUUGGGUUGGGAUUCAUUCGCGUCGUUUCGAUUCAUAUUCUUCCCCUAUGUAACGUCAUAGGACCACUGAAAUCGCCAUUGACAACUAUAACUCAUUCGAUUUGCAACAGGCACAAUUAAUCAUUCAAUGCUUCUUAUAUCUCUUCAGACCGUGGAUUUCCACCUAUAAAAAGUUUAGCCUUCAUCCCCUGAACAUCAUUCUCACAAGUCACAACUCCUCAUAAUAACACUAGAAACUUAUUUUUUAUUAUAAUGGCUAAUCGCAUUCAUAUCGACGAUCCUUCAUGUGUUAAGCGAAUUGAGAAUUCUGAUUAACAGAAUUAGACCGUUUAUGUGGAAUCAAUAGUAGAGUGAGGAUUUUCGGGAACGAGUGCGACGGAGGUUGUUACAGACAAAGAAUUUGAAGCCUGAAACAGGACUAUAGAAUAGACUUUCACUUUCUAAGACUCGCUUGACAAUUUUACUAAUUAAAUCUCCCCUAUGUUUUUUGCAGGAAUGGUGUUUGUGCCACCACUAGAGUCUUCGCAGAACCAAAUUCAUGUUUUAUUCAUAUUGUUUCUGUUUUGUGUCUUUCAAAAUUAGGUUCACCCAUUACUAGAACACAAUGUUCGCACUUUGCAUAUUUCCUUAAGAUUUUGCCGGAGAGGUAUCUUUUCCAAGUAAAGGAAAGACGCAAUACUAUCUCCAUCUAAACGUUUGCUUUGUUUUUCAAAGGGCACUGACCAUGUUAUAGUUAUUUUGGUCCUCAUGUUUUGUGACUUACCAAUUAGGCUUACCCAUUAUGAGAGCAAAGUUUUAGCUUUUUACAUAUCUGUAAAAGAUUUUGCUGGAAAGGCAUCUUAAACGUUUGCUUUGUUCUUUAAAGGAAUCAUUGGCUUACUUUCCCCGUUCAAUUUUUCAUUUCGGAAUGAAUUAACUUCAAUGCAAAAAAUAUGUAAAUUACCUUUAUACCCUUAACCCUAAUAUCUCCAUAUCUAAUGAUACAUAGCCGUAUCAGUUUCAUUUAUGUUCUAUCUUUUUCUUUUCUUUUUCUUCCUCGCUUUCUCUCUGCAACUCCUCCUUUUUCUUCUUCUUCGUUAUCUCUCUCCAUUCUCUGCGAUUCUUCUUUCUCUUUAUCUCUCUCUAUUAUCUUCGAUUUUCUCUGUCUCUCUGGUUAAAGGUGAUAAACUCUCCCAAUGAUGGAAACCGUCAUUAGCAACUCCGUAGGUGGUGAAAACGACAUGAGCAACCGUCGAAGGUGAUGGAGUGGCAUCAAUGGCGAUUUCUUCCCUUUCGCACUUCAAAUCUAUCCGGAACGGCGACAGCUCAAACCCUAUUUGAUGAAGAGUUCUGAGUUUUUUUUCGAUCUAGGGUUUUUUAUUUGUUUUGGAUGAUUUUUGAUUUGAGAAUGUUAAACGAAUUAUGAUUUUUCUUUGAUAGAGUUUUAUUAUUUUGGAUCUUUUUCCGAUCUAGGAUUGUGUUAUUGAAGAUUCUGAGUUGAUUUGAUUUUAGGGUUUUUCUUGUUCUUCCGACCUGGAUUUAGGCUCGGUAUUACUAACUCAUUCGAACUCGGUACAACUAACUCAGUAGUAUUUAGUAGUACACAUUAUAACCAGUAGAACUCACUCGAACUUGGUAUAACUAACUCAGUAGUACUCAAUAUUACGCAGUAUAACUUAGUAGAACUCGGUAUAACUCAAUAAAACUCGAUAUAACUACACUCAGUAGUACUCUGUAAUACUAUGUACAACUCAGUACAACUCAGUACAAUCAGUACCACUCAGUAAUACUAUGUCAGUAUAACGAAAUUUGACCAGUUGUACGACGAUAAAUAAAAUUUGAAAAUAUUUGAAAAUUCAAAAUUUUAAAAAUUCAAAAUUUUAAAAAUUUGAAAAUUUGAAAAUUUUGAAAUUAUUUAAAAAAUAAUAAUUUUGAAAAAUACAAAAGGUAAAAUGGGAUAUUCAAGUUUCAUUAAAGAGGAAAGAUAUGAGAUUAUGAGGGGCAUAUGCGAUUGUUUUUUGAGAUGUGGGGGCAAGGAAGCUCAUGGUCCUCUUUAAGGUCAGCCCAUGUUAUAUUUACUUCAGUUUCGUGCUUUAAAAAUCUGCAAAGGGUUGACGAUGAUGGUUUACGUCUCUGUCAGUCCCCAGGUCAAAGCAAACCUUUACUCUCCCAUUUUUUUAUUUGAUUUGUUGUUUCAUUGUCUCUGAUUUGGGUCCAAAAACAGAACACUUAGCUUUAUAUAGCUACACGGAUGUUGGUGAUGGACUUGAGUUCCACCACUUCGACCAUUGCUCCCUCGACAUCCUUGAAGAGUAAGUUCCUUUCCUCUAUUCAAAUAUGUAUUUUGCUUUUAUCUUUGUGUUGGUGUUUGUUUUAUCUUUCGCAAGGAUUUUUUUUUUCCGUUUUGGUUUAUGUCUCCCUUGCUUUCUCAUUACAUUACACCACUUUUGCAUGUAUAGAGACUAGAGUGUAAUGUCCUCUUUCUCUUUGGAAAUGUGAUAAUUUGUAUAUGCAAUAAACAUUCCAAAAAUGUCUACUACGAAAUUGAACUUGGACCUACAAAGUGUAAGCACUAAUUAGUUUCAACAGUACAUUCACUCUCUCCGUCUCUGAUGCUACUCAUUUCAUGUGAUAUUCUCCUGUAGGUGCAGUUACUUGACUAAUACGGAGGUAAAAUUUAUAUUGGUCACAACUGAUUUGUAUGUCAAAGACACCAAAUUGAUAAAUGUAAGCAGCUUCUCAUCUGCUCAGAUACUAAUUAAUUUCACAUUAAACUAAGCUCUUGCAACACACCAUUUCAUGAUCUCUCUAUGUUGAUGCAGAAGCCUAGGUUCUUAAGGCUCUAUCUAAGAACUUGCACUGUUCUCAAGCAUAGGGUUUGGUUGCUGAGGUUAACUGCAAGACCAUCUCGGUGAGAGUGACUCAACACUAAAAUCAAAUGAGUGUGUAUGUAAUUUGACUACUUACUGCUGGAUUUUGAUUGAAUUUAGAAUCAAGCAGGAAGCAGCAUAAAUUCUGUUAAAAGCAAAGGAAGAACUGUUGAAGAAUCAAGGGAAAGAUUAAAAGCCAAAAAACUAAAGCCAUGAAGAUGAUGACGGAAAAGGAAUUUGAAUCAAAUGACAAUGAUUGUGACAUCGGAUAAGUUGUUGGUGUGAGCCAUUCCUACAAUCAAAGCGACUAAUUCCUAUAACCCCCAAAAAUAUGAAAAUUACACCGGUGAAGCAUUGAAGCUAGCUCUGCUUCAAUCAGGUGCUGCAUCGACAGAGUUUCCCUCUGUUGUUAAUCAUGGACAUACAUAGAAUAUGGUAGAAUCAGUUUAAUUUGCUGGAUUGCCGUUGAAGAGAGUAGAAGUUUGUAUGGGGGAAUGUUGAGAUCCAAAAGGUUUAGAGUCUUGAAAGGAGACUAACGAUGUGAUGGUCCAUUAUUCCAUUUCUACAACAUGAAAAAAAAAACUAUAAUUUAUAGCUACACAAUGCAUACAUUUACACUAAAUGGUGUCUAAAUUAUAAGCUUAGAAAUAUUAGUGAGGUGAAAUUAGUAACAAUUUAGAUGCAAGAAGCAUACUAGCUAUUUUAUACAACUAAAAAGCUGGCUUCAUGGAUGCUUACGUCAAAAGUAAAGUGAAUUCCAAGUGAAAAUAUGUACCUCCAAAUCGUAUAAGCAUCGUAAGCAUUAUAUUUACUAGGGGGAUUGCCUCCGCGCAAGCGCGAGGUUGUGGACAUAGUUCUUGUUUCAUCUCAGUAUUUGUUAAGAGUUAUUGUAGUUGUUCAUUUUGCGUUUUGGGUUGAUCAUUGUUUUUCAAGUUUUUUAUUGUUAUAGGUGAUGUAUAGUGUUUUUACAUGUUUUUAGCUAUUGAAUUUGGUCAUUUUAGAGUCUAAAGAUUGCAUUUAGGAGUCAUUAGGUGUUGUAUUCGUAUAUAUUGCAUAUACAGGGGCUGGAAUGCACAAUCAAAAGUUAUGGGGCUAACUGGAGGAUAAAAGUGCACAAAAUGGAAGUUAUGGGGCCAAAGUAUAAGAGGAAGAAGAAGAAACACAGUUUCACCUACAACCCUGAAGUGCUCACUUCAGAAACUUGUCUUCAGCAUUUUGUUGAUAUAGGGAAAUCUUCAAAGUUACCUAGAGCCCUAAAGUUAAUUACCACUUUAGGAAAGCUGCAUCUUGCACAUUGAUGCUCUAGGGAAUCUGUUUUGUUUGGGACUUUGUAUUUUGAAGUCCAUUAGGGUUUUGCCUAUACAUAUGUUGUUAAAGGUGAUAAAAACCUCUAAGCUACCUCAGCCACAUUUUCUCUCCUUUUUAGAUCUGAAAACUCUUAUUAGUUCUUGCUAUUAAUCUAAGUACUUAUCUUGUUUAUAUAUUCCUACUCUUCUCUAAACAUGAUUCUUCAAGGAUCGGUGACAGAUUCUUGGAUUUCUAUGGCUUAUAGUGAGUAAAUUUUUAGAGUUCUUGGGUGGGUAGAUUAUAGUGAAAGAUGGAAGAUUGAUGAUGCUUAUGAUUAGAUUAACAUUGUUCAAAGCUUGUUAGGUGUUCUUAAUGCUAGAUUGGACUUGAUCUCUCUAGUUUAGAUCUUAAGCUAUUUCACGACCGGAACGUGUAUGUUGAAAUGCUUGAACCAACCUAAUAUUGUCCUUUACGGAUUUGGCCAACGGAAGUUGAUGCCCGAGAUGUUAAGUGGUUAGUAGACUUUUGAUUCAUGCAUGUUUGAUUGCGUUAGGCCAACAGAAGUUGUUGUUUAAUUCAUGAUAAGCAUAGGAAUUUCUGUCACGAAAGUGGAUUAAUAUAUCUGAAUGAGAUCUAGACCUUUAGUGCAUAUGUUAGUCGGUGAUGUCUGGUAUCUAAAUCUGAAGUCAAUCAUCUCUGAUCGAUUACCUUACCCAAGAGCUUGUCUUUCUUAGUUUAUUUCUAGUAGUAGUUAUUUGUUGUCUUUAUAUUUCAUUAGCUUAGAAUUCACUUCACCUUCCUAUUAGCUUAGAUUAAGGAGAUUUGUGUAUUCUUAGUGUUAUAGAUCACUAGUUCUCUGUGGAUUCGAUCCUAAAGUGCUGCAUCGAUAUACCAUUCGAUUGUGGUAGCGUGCACAUUAGGUUAAUUGGCCUGUGGUAAAACGCAUAACAUCAAUAGAGUUAGAGUUGUGAUGAUGAACUAUGUAUGCACUGUUCUCCACUCAUGAAGGACUAAACUGUGUUAGUAAUGUGAUCGAUAUAGUUUGUGGUGUUGCUUGUUGUGUCACUGAGACUUAUUGUUUGUUUGUCUUUUUAAUUUGUUACUUGUACUGUUGAGAUUACAUAAAUUAUAUUAAGGUUGUUGAGAGUACAUUUUGUUUCUCGAUAUUAUUUCUCCAUUUUAGUUGUAUAAGUUGUGUGUAUUAAGUAAUAAUUUUUUUUUAUUCUUAUUAUGUUGGUUAUAUGUUUUUUUAUUUAUAAACUUGUUGCUUUUACCGGACCAUUAAAACAAAUACAUGAAGACUUGUAGAAAUAACUAUAAAAUGAGUGACAAUUAGUAUUUGGGCCUUAAUGAGUUUUAAACGAAUAUAUGUUAGCACAAUAUAGACAGUAAUAUAAAGGGAAUUAUGUGUUGAUUGUUUCUUACGGAUCAAUGAGGAGACGGAUAACGACUCGAGUUGUUUCUUUGGUGAGGUCAGAACCCUGGACAUAACGGAUUUGCCCAACCACAUCUGCGAGUUUAAAUAUCAGUUAUGAUACCGAAACAUAAUAUAAAACCAGAUGCAAUAUGAUAAUAUACCUGGGAGUUCUAGGUUUGUGUUCGUAAUCACUUGGAGAUUGUCAAACAGUCUAAUCUUGACUGGAGAUUGAUCUCAGGAGCACCCGUGAUGACUUCAUCAAUAAUGGUUAGUGAGAUGAAACGAAUGAGGAAUGGAUGAUCAGUUAUCUUGUACAUGCUUGAGCACCUAGCAACCUCAAAACGACCGACUUUCACAAUGGAACCUGCUUUCAAAGAUGGCAUGUAAUGAUUAGCACGUCCGACGGGAGUAAACUCAUGAAUCACGGAAUCUGCAAAUAAUAUUAUCCAACAAAGACUCAGGAAAUUAAUUAAAACAAUUAUGUUAAAUAAGUGUGAUACAUCGAAGAUCAACUUACCUUUUCAUCAAGGAAGAGAACCGCGAUUCCCACAAACUCUGUGUCUUUUUUGAAGUUCAGGGAAUCCCAGAAGCAAGGAAGCUAGAGGCUAUGCUCUGACUAAUACGACCAAGANNNNNNNNNNNNNNNNNNNNNNNNNNNNNNNNNNNNNNNNNNNNNNNNNNNNNNNNNNNNNNNNNNNNNNNNNNNNNNNNNNNNNNNNNNNNNNNNNNNNNNNNNNNNNNNNNNNNNNNNNNNNNNNNNNNNNNNNNNNNNNNNNNNNNNNNNNNNNNNNNNNNNNNNNNNNNNNNNNNNNNNNNNNNNNNNNNNNNNNNNNNNNNNNNNNNNNNNNNNNNNNNNNNNNNNNNNNNNNNNNNNNNNNNNNNNNNNNNNNNNNNNNNNNNNNNNNNNNNNNNNNNNNNNNNNNNNNNNNNNNNNNNNNNNNNNNNNNNNNNNNNNNNNNNNNNNNNNNNNNNNNNNNNNNNNNNNNNNNNNNNNNNNNNNNNNNNNNNNNNNNNNNNNNNNNNNNNNNNNNNNNNNNNNNNNNNNNNNNNNNNNNNNNNNNNNNNNNNNNNNNNNNNNNNNNNNNNNNNNNNNNNNNNNNNNNNNNNNNNNNNNNNNNNNNNNNNNNNNNNNNNNNNNNNNNNNNNNNNNNNNNNNNNNNNNNNNNNNNNNNNNNNNNNNNNNNNNNNNNNNNNNNNNNNNNNNNNNNNNNNNNNNNNNNNNNNNNNNNNNNNNNNNNNNNNNNNNNNNNNNNNNNNNNNNNNNNNNNNNNNNNNNNNNNNNNNNNNNNNNNNNNNNNNNNNNNNNNNNNNNNNNNNNNNNNNNNNNNNNNNNNNNNNNNNNNNNNNNNNNNNNNNNNNNNNNNNNNNNNNNNNNNNNNNNNNNNNNNNNNNNNNNNNNNNNNNNNNNNNNNNNNNNNNNNNNNNNNNNNNNNNNNNNNNNNNNNNNNNNNNNNNNNNNNNNNNNNNNNNNNNNNNNNNNNNNNNNNNNNNNNNNNNNNNNNNNNNNNNNNNNNNNNNNNNNNNNNNNNNNNNNNNNNNNNNNNNNNNNNNNNNNNNNNNNNNNNNNNNNNNNNNNNNNNNNNNNNNNNNNNNNNNNNNNNNNNNNNNNNNNNNNNNNNNNNNNNNNNNNNNNNNNNNNNNNNNNNNNNNNNNNNNNNNNNNNNNNNNNNNNNNNNNNNNNNNNNNNNNNNNNNNNNNNNNNNNNNNNNNNNNNNNNNNNNNNNNNNNNNNNNNNNNNNNNNNNNNNNNNNNNNNNNNNNNNNNNNNNNNNNNNNNNNNNNNNNNNNNNNNNNNNNNNNNNNNNNNNNNNNNNNNNNNNNNNNNNNNNNNNNNNNNNNNNNNNNNNNNNNNNNNNNNNNNNNNNNNNNNNNNNNNNNNNNNNNNNNNNNNNNNNNNNNNNNNNNNNNNNNNNNNNNNNNNNNNNNNNNNNNNNNNNNNNNNNNNNNNNNNNNNNNNNNNNNNNNNNNNNNNNNNNNNNNNNNNNNNNNNNNNNNNNNNNNNNNNNNNNNNNNNNNNNNNNNNNNNNNNNNNNNNNNNNNNNNNNNNNNNNNNNNNNNNNNNNNNNNNNNNNNNNNNNNNNNNNNNNNNNNNNNNNNNNNNNNNNNNNNNNNNNNNNNNNNNNNNNNNNNNNNNNNNNNNNNNNNNNNNNNNNNNNNNNNNNNNNNNNNNNNNNNNNNNNNNNNNNNNNNNNNNNNNNNNNNNNNNNNNNNNNNNNNNNNNNNNNNNNNNNNNNNNNNNNNNNNNNNNNNNNNNNNNNNNNNNNNNNNNNNNNNNNNNNNNNNNNNNNNNNNNNNNNNNNNNNNNNNNNNNNNNNNNNNNNNNNNNNNNNNNNNNNNNNNNNNNNNNNNNNNNNNNNNNNNNNNNNNNNNNNNNNNNNNNNNNNNNNNNNNNNNNNNNNNNNNNNNNNNNNNNNNNNNNNNNNNNNNNNNNNNNNNNNNNNNNNNNNNNNNNNNNNNNNNNNNNNNNNNNNNNNNNNNNNNNNNNNNNNNNNNNNNNNNNNNNNNNNNNNNNNNNNNNNNNNNNNNNNNNNNNNNNNNNNNNNNNNNNNNNNNNNNNNNNNNNNNNNNNNNNNNNNNNNNNNNNNNNNNNNNNNNNNNNNNNNNNNNNNNNNNNNNNNNNNNNNNNNNNNNNNNNNNNNNNNNNNNNNNNNNNNNNNNNNNNNNNNNNNNNNNNNNNNNNNNNNNNNNNNNNNNNNNNNNNNNNNNNNNNNNNNNNNNNNNNNNNNNNNNNNNNNNNNNNNNNNNNNNNNNNNNNNNNNNNNNNNNNNNNNNNNNNNNNNNNNNNNNNNNNNNNNNNNNNNNNNNNNNNNNNNNNNNNNNNNNNNNNNNNNNNNNNNNNNNNNNNNNNNNNNNNNNNNNNNNNNNNNNNNNNNNNNNNNNNNNNNNNNNNNNNNNNNNNNNNNNNNNNNNNNNNNNNNNNNNNNNNNNNNNNNNNNNNNNNNNNNNNNNNNNNNNNNNNNNNNNNNNNNNNNNNNNNNNNNNNNNNNNNNNNNNNNNNNNNNNNNNNNNNNNNNNNNNNNNNNNNNNNNNNNNNNNNNNNNNNNNNNNNNNNNNNNNNNNNNNNNNNNNNNNNNNNNNNNNNNNNNNNNNNNNNNNNNNNNNNNNNNNNNNNNNNNNNNNNNNNNNNNNNNNNNNNNNNNNNNNNNNNNNNNNNNNNNNNNNNNNNNNNNNNNNNNNNNNNNNNNNNNNNNNNNNNNNNNNNNNNNNNNNNNNNNNNNNNNNNNNNNNNNNNNNNNNNNNNNNNNNNNNNNNNNNNNNNNNNNNNNNNNNNNNNNNNNNNNNNNNNNNNNNNNNNNNNNNNNNNNNNNNNNNNNNNNNNNNNNNNNNNNNNNNNNNNNNNNNGAAGUAAGAUACCCGGACUGGCUCGCCAACCCCGUAGUAGUCAAAAAAAAAAAUGGGAAGUGGCGAGUUUGCGUAGAUUUUACCGACCUAAACAAGGCAUGUCCAAAGGAUAGCUUCCCUCUACCACAUUUCGAUCGAUUGGUAGAAGCAACAGCGGGUAACGAACUCUUAUCCUUCAUGGAUGCCUUCUCAGGUUAUAAUCAAAUUAGGAUGAAUCCCGACGAUCGUGAGAAGACUGUGUUCAUUACCGAUCGCGGAACUUAUUGCUAUAAAAAUAAUGCCCUUCGGCCUCAAAAACGCUGGAGCAACUUACCAACGACUCGUGAACCGAAUAUUCUCCAAACAACUCUGAAAAAUGAUGGAAGUUUAUAUCGACGACAUGCUCGUCAAAUCCCUCAAAGUAAGAGAUCACGUGUCACAUCUCGAAGAAUGUUUUGCACAACUAAAUUCUCAUAACAUGAAGCUCAACCCGACGAAAUGUAGAUUCGCCGUGGCAUCAGGAGAAUUCCUCGGCUACUUGGUCACCAACCGCGGCAUCGAAGCAAAUCCAAAACAGAUCAACGCACUAAUCGAGAUGGCUUCACCAAAGAACAAGCGGGAGGUCCAAAGACUGACCGGCAGAAUCGCAGCACUUAACCGAUUUAUUUCACGAUCAACAGAUAAGUGCCUGCCCUUCUACGACGUCCUGCGAGGAAAUAAAAAAUUCGAAUGGACGGAAGAGUGCGAAAACGCCUUCCAACAGCUGANNNNNNNNNNNNNNNNNNNNNNNNNNNNNNNNNNNNNNNNNNNNNNNNNNNNNNNNNNNNNNNNNNNNNNNNNNNNNNNNNNNNNNNNNNNNNNNNNNNNNNNNNNNNNNNNNNNNNNNNNNNNNNNNNNNNNNNNNNNNNNNNNNNNNNNNNNNNNNNNNNNNNNNNNNNNNNNNNNNNNNNNNNNNNNNNNNNNNNNNNNNNNNNNNNNNNNNNNNNNNNNNNNNNNNNNNNNNNNNNNNNNNNNNNNNNNNNNNNNNNNNNNNNNNNNNNNNNNNNNNNNNNNNNNNNNNNNNNNNNNNNNNNNNNNNNNNNNNNNNNNNNNNNNNNNNNNNNNNNNNNNNNNNNNNNNNNNNNNNNNNNNNNNNNNNNNNNNNNNNNNNNNNNNNNNNNNNNNNNNNNNNNNNNNNNNNNNNNNNNNNNNNNNNNNNNNNNNNNNNNNNNNNNNNNNNNNNNNNNNNNNNNNNNNNNNNNNNNNNNNNNNNNNNNNNNNNNNNNNNNNNNNNNNNNNNNNNNNNNNNNNNNNNNNNNNNNNNNNNNNNNNNNNNNNNNNNNNNNNNNNNNNNNNNNNNNNNNNNNNNNNNNNNNNNNNNNNNNNNNNNNNNNNNNNNNNNNNNNNNNNNNNNNNNNNNNNNNNNNNNNNNNNNNNNNNNNNNNNNNNNNNNNNNNNNNNNNNNNNNNNNNNNNNNNNNNNNNNNNNNNNNNNNNNNNNNNNNNNNNNNNNNNNNNNNNNNNNNNNNNNNNNNNNNNNNNNNNNNNNNNNNNNNNNNNNNNNNNNNNNNNNNNNNNNNNNNNNNNNNNNNNNNNNNNNNNNNNNNNNNNNNNNNNNNNNNNNNNNNNNNNNNNNNNNNNNNNNNNNNNNNNNNNNNNNNNNNNNNNNNNNNNNNNNNNNNNNNNNNNNNNNNACCACCAUCGGAGCAAUCUGAUUACGGCUGUGAUACCCCAUGGCUUCAGACGAUUCGAGACUACAUUGUCGACGGGCAACUGCCCGCCGAAAAAUGGGCAGCUCGCAAGGUCCGAACACAGGCCGCACGCUACGUAACAGUGGACGGCGAAAUCUACAAAUGGAGAUUCUCCGGACCGCUCCUGACGUGCCUGGAAGGAGGAAAGGCGAGGAAAAUGAUGGAGGAAAUACAUUCCGGCUCGUGCGGCAACCAUUCCGGCGGAAGAUCACUAGCCGUGAAAAUCAAACGCCACGGGUACUAUUGGCCAACAAUGAUCGGAGAUUGCGAAAAAUUCGCACGAAAAUGCGAAAAAUGCCAAAGGCAUGCGCCAACUAUCCGACAACCCGCCGAAGUUCUUUCCUCCAUCACGUCGCCUUAUCCCUUUAUGCGCUGGGCCAUGGAUAUUGUCGGACCUCUGCAUAAUUCAAAGCAAAAGCGUUUCCUUCUAGUCCUUACCGAUUUUUUCUCAAAAUGGGUAGAGGCGGACUCGUACGCAAGUAUAAAAGACGUCCAAGUCGAGAAUUUCGUAUGGAAAAACAUCAUCUGUAGGCAUGGAGUUCCUUACGAAAUCGUAACCGAUAACGGGUCUCAAUUUAUUUCCACCCGAUUCGAGGCAUUCUGCGAAAAGUGGAAGAUACGACUCAACAAGUCAACUCCCAGAUAUCCGCAGUGCAACGGACAGGCUGAAACAAUCAACAAGACCAUUCUCGACGGACUGAAGAAACGCUUGGAGGCCAAAAAAGGUAGAUGGGCCGACGAACUCGAGGGAGUCCUCUGGUCUCACCGUACCACCCCAAGGCGAGCAACGGGAGAAACUCCCUUCGCCUUGGUAUACGGCGCGGAGUGCAUGAUUCCCGCAGAAGUAGAAUUUCCCGGUGUUCGAAGAAGGUUCUUACCCGAACGAGAGGAACUCAACAAUGCUAUGCUCUUGGACGAUCUCGACCUCAUUAACGAACGCCGGGAUCGAGCGCUCAUCCGAAUUCAAAACUACCAGCACGCCGCUGCGAGAUACUAUAACUCCAACGUACGGAACCGAAGGUUCAAUCAGGGAGAUCUGGUCCUUCGCAAAGUCUUCCAAAACACCGCUGAACGAAACGCGGGAAAACUCGGAGCAAACUGGGAAGGUCCCUAUAAAAUCGAAAAAGUCGUCCGACCAGGUUCUUACGAAAUAGCCAACAUGCAGGGCAUAAAAAUCCCUAGAACCUGGAAUGCGAUGCAUCUCAAAAAAUACUAUCACUAAACGAACCAACUCGCAAUCACUGAACUACGAGACGGCUUGAUCUCCGCAAGGAGUACGUAGGCAGUUUGCCGAAAGGCAAAUUCAGCUGUCCUCCCUUAUUAAAAAGGGGGGGAGUGGGUACGUAUACUCGUAUACUCCCAAAAAAUCGAAAAACUUCUUACCGCACUUUUGGUGUUUUCGACUUAUCAAAACAUCCUCACCCGCGAAAUCGCAACGAGGUCUUCGGAAAUUGGUCGGCCGCUUGGGAGAAUCGAACCUUUAGCAUCGCGAGACGUCGCAAAAGAUGCCUCAAAAUUGGUUUCUUCCGAGCAAACGAAAUCUCCGCAAAAAGACACAUAUAUGCACACAUUAACAUUUAUUUUGCGCAAAUUAAUCAAAACAACGGCACACGCCACCAAGUCCGAUGCUGAUCACAUCGAACUCACAAACGUCCUAAACAGACAUAGCCAUCUCAUGGAGAUGACUCUCUUACAUCCGACACAAGGAUAAUAGCGCUAUAAAAGAAAUCCGAAAUUUUGGUCUAGCACUUCCGGUCUCCGGAGAGAUGCUCGAUUCGUAUCAAACAAGUCGUAUAAGCCGAGAACUUUUCGCGGACUUUACAUCGAUACGAAUCAGGAAGAAAUCGCGACAGGAAAAACGAUAGCCGGUUAGUCACCGCACAAUCCUUAAACCGAAAGUAAACCUAGGUCUUGCCCUAAACCCAGCGCACUGGUCUCUAACAUCUCAAAGGCAUGAUAUCAAAAGAUAAGAGAUUCUUAAACCACGCCUCUAUGUUUACGUUCGAUACCUUCAGCGCCCCCGCAGAGUUCACAUCUCGCGGAAGAACUCUCGAAACAGGUCUCGAAUAAAACAUUUCACAAUCGAAGAAGGAUAUGAGACGACAACUCAUCACCUUCCUCCCCACUAUUCACAAAUUCAUAAAAAACGUUAUCCGAUUAUCAUACCAUAAAGCCGCGGAGCGGCAGGGAUUCAAAGCCACACACGGCCAGUCCCGAAAUACAAACAAGGCCGUUCAAGGCCGAAGCAUAAAGACAUAAAAAAAAAAAACAAAUCUCUCGCAAGAGAUCUAACCCAAGUCACCCUCAGAACUUACGCUCCCUCUUCACCCGCCGCCUCGUCCGAGCCUGGAGCCGCGUCGCUUCCGUUCUCUCCGACCAUCGGAUCUUUCCCCUCUGGGUCUUCUGGACACGUCGGAAGGAAGCAAGCGGAUUUUAGGUCGGCCAGGAUGAGACCGAAAUCGCCAUCCUCGGCCGCCAUAUCUCCCUUGCAGCCGGACAGUCGGGCCUCUUCGGCCUCCAAGGUCGGGGGAGUCUCACUUUGGAACGACCGAACCACGGCCAUCCCGCCCUCAAUCGUCGCCAAAGCGAAAUCCCUGCUCCGGAUACACUCGAGGGAAUCCAGGGAAGCGGAAAUCUUCGCCAAGCGAGCCCGGAACUCCCCGCGAAGGGCAUCCGUAGCCUCUUGGAUCCCGCGGCGCGCUAGUCCAGCGUCACUCUCGAUCUGACGCUGGAGUCGACGCACCUCCGAGGAUUUGGCCUUCCUGGUUUUCUUUUCCUUAAGCAAGGAACUCGCCGUCUUCCCGAGGUCCCUCUCAAGCUCUCCUAUCGCAACCUCGAGCUUCGACACUUUCGCAGAGUGAGAGUCCUCGACAGCCGUCAACAUAGCCUCGGUUUCGGACCAUCUGCCCUGAAGCUCCACCAACUCCCCGGAAAGACGACUGGUCUCAGAACCACAUUCGCUGAUCAUCCCAUCGAUCAACGAUAUGAACUGCGAACGGUAAAAAUUCUUAAGACUAAGUCCAUGAAAAGAAUGCACGAAAGACGAUCGAGAAUUCAAACAAGAAACAAACCUUUCCACGAAGUCCCGAUGCUAGGCUCGACCCACCUCGCUGCGAAGUCUCCCCGUCACCGCUCUUGGCCAAUUUCCUCUUCCGACUCUUAGGCUGACUAACCUGGACAGCGCUAGGAGCACGCAAUGCCAGAACGAUUUCUUUUCUGGCCGGAGGCGGAGGCAUAGAGUCAGAGGCUUUUUCUUUGUCCUCGACAAGGAUCGGAGUCGUGGAAGAUCCCGCAGGUAGGACUUGCGGGAGAGGAGCCGCGACGUCGGUCCCAUGACACGGGGCAACGACCUGCGCGGAGGAAGACGGAAACUCGGAGCCAGUCUGAGCCAAUCCUUUCUCGGCUUGGCGACGAACUAGUUUCUCUCGGAAAGAAAGAUGACCGGCAACACAAGCCGGCAUUUCCGUCGGAGAAGCUGGAACCGGAGCCGGAGAAGUGGCCUCACCCAUCUCGACGUCGGAAUCCUUCUUAUCACCUUGGGAGGAAGACAUGUUGAAAGGAAAGUUAUGAAGCUAGAGAGGUUUUUGAAGAAAUGAAGAAGGAAAGGUGUGAAGAAAAUAAAUGAUAAGAGCUCACUACUUAUAGAAAUAUGGGUUCGGAACGUCGCCUCGACAACUUUUAUUUCGCGGAGUUUUAAAUGUAAAUUUCGUCCAAAUACACUCAACCUUGUCAAAGUCAUCUAUCCGCCCGCUAGAGUCACAACUCUAACGGGCUGGGGGGCUAACUGUUGGGGUCAAAAACGGUUACGACAAAUUUAACAUUCAAAACGUCCGAAGAAGAAAAUAAGAGUUUCUCCGAAGAGUACUUUUCGAAAUAGAUUCUUCCUUACGAAAAAGCUUGGCGGAAGAAAGAAUCGAGACGUCCGACGAAAGCUCGAAACAGGUCGUUACGCAGCGACUGAACGUCCGUCCCGCUCGGUCGCUACGUAGCGACCGAGCGAUCGUCCCGCUCGGUCGCUACGUAGCGACCGAACUCAAGCCAAGGCUCGGUCNNNNNNNNNNNNNNNNNNNNNNNNNNNNNNNNNNNNNNNNNNNNNNNNNNNNNNNNNNNNNNNNNNNNNNNNNNNNNNNNNNNNNNNNNNNNNNNNNNNNNNNNNNNNNNNNNNNNNNNNNNNNNNNNNNNNNNNNNNNNNNNNNNNNNNNNNNNNNNNNNNNNNNNNNNNNNNNNNNNNNNNNNNNNNNNNNNNNNNNNNNNNNNNNNNNNNNNNNNNNNNNNNNNNNNNNNNNNNNNNNNNNNNNNNNNNNNNNNNNNNNNNNNNNNNNNNNNNNNNNNNNNNNNNNNNNNNNNNNNNNNNAGCUCGGUCGCUACGUAGCGACCGAGCACUCGUUUCGCUCGGUCGCUACAUAGCGACCGGGCUCGAGCCAAAGAUCGGUCGCUGUAUAGCGAUUGAACCUUUCCGAACAUCGAUACGACACCAGUCCUUGCAUUCUCGUCAAACCUUCGAAUGCUAUCUCCCGAAGACCGUGGCAAGCUCAGUCUAUGUUUCCCGCUAUUCUAAUUCAUCGAUCAAACUUCGCGGAUUAGAAACCGCGGAAAACUCGUAGUAAACGUGUCGAGUCGGAAGACGGCCCAAAGGGACCUAAAACACGACUCGAGGCCCAUCCUACGAUUUUUCCUAACCAAAAGCCCGUGAACCACAGCAUGGUUCACGCUUGGCCCGCGAGGAAGGAUAAAUGUCAAGUUUCCGCGGAUAAAUACGGAAGUUUUGAAGAUAAUUGUGAAGAUCGGGAAAAAUGGAAUAUCUCCAUUUUUAUGCUAUGACGGCUUAAGGGCAGAAGAGUAAAAGCGUAAACCGACCUUGGAGCUAGUAUAUAAGGAGUCCUAGGCGAGGAGCAGAGGGAGGACUUUUUGGAGAAAAAACUUAGCACUUAGAGCGAUUUAGGCAACUUUCCGUUUUUGUUAUUUCGAGCUGCGACUCAAUUAGGUUUAGCCGUCUUAGGGUUGCUAGAACUAGGAAUCUCGCCGACAGCUCUCGAGCCCAGGCUUAUACCUUGUUGUAACGCUCAUACGCAGAUUGGGAAUAAGAUCUACUUUGCUCUCUUUUCGAUUUCUUAUUUUUAUCGUUGUUAUUCUCGUGUUCUGAUUGCUUAACGUGUGGUAAUUAACAGAUAUCCGGGUCCUCUGGGAAACUAGGGUUUUCUUAGUUUCCUUAUUUAAACGGAAAUCGACAGUGCGAAUUUCGGUUCCCACAGUUUGGCGCUAGAAGGAGGGGGACUUACGGAUCAAUCUAACCCGCAAAAACCACUCAACGAUCAGAAAAGACAUGCGAGAUUCGACGUGCGCGAAUGUCAUCUCAUUCAGGGGGGGAGAAGCGGUCGACCGAGCCAAACCUCGGAACGAUCUCCUUGUUAUCGAGUUGACAAUUCGAGAUAUCGACGUCGCUAGAAUACUAAUCGAUACCGGAAGCUCGGCCGAUAUCAUCUUCAAAGACACUCUUGAAAAGAUGGGGAUCAGUCAAUCCGAGAUCGCGAAAUGCCCAAGCCCACUGCUAGGGCUUUCGGGGGAAACGACCAUGGCCUACGGAUCGAUUAGACUCGCUGUCAAAGCCGGAACCGUGACAAACAUCACAGAGUUUCUAGUCGUCGACCGCCCCGCAUCUUACAACGUUAUCAUGGGGACGCCAUGGUUGAACACCAUGCGCGCAAUCCCAUCAACCUACCAUCUUUGCCUCAAGUUCCCGACCCCUAACGGAGUCGAGGUAAUCUGGGGAAAUCCAAGAGUUUCCCAGGUUUGUUUCGCCGCGGAACUAAAACGAAAGAGACCGAUCCUCGAAAUCACUCCUAAGAAAGCGGAGAAAGAGACCUCCAGCAAAGAUACGCGAAGUCAGGACUCAGCGGAAUUCUUCUGGCAAUCUCGUAUCUUCGCAGCUCUAGACGAAAAACGCGAGCCAACUUGUGAACCCGUGGUAACGAUCUGUCUCGACGAAGCCUUCCCAGAGCGCUGCGUCGAGAUCGGAGCCAAUCUCCACGAGCCUUUAAAGACAGAACUCAUAACCUGUCUUAAAAAGAACCUUAAUACUUUCGCGUGGGCUGCGGAAGAUAUGCCAGGAAUCGACAUUAACAUAACAUGUCACGAGCUGAACAUCGACCCAACAUUCAAACCCGUCAAACAGAAAAGACGGAAGCUGGGACCCGAACGUGCUACCGCAGUAAACGAUGAGGUCGAAAAACUGCUUAAAGUUGGGUCGAUAACGGAAGUAAGGUACCCCGACUGGCUCGCCAACCCCGUAGUAGUCAAAAAGAAAAACGGGAAGUGGCGAGUUUGCGUAGAUUUUACCGACCUAAACAAGGCAUGUCCAAAGGAUAGCUUCCCUCUACCACAUAUCGAUCGACUGGUAGAAGCGACGGCGGGCAACGAACUCCUAUCCUUCAUGGACGCUUUCUCAGGCUAUAAUCAAAUUAGGAUGAAUCCCGACGAUCGUGAGAAGACUGCGUUCAUUACCGAUCGCGGAACCUAUUGCUAUGAGGUAAUGCCCUUCGGCCUCAAAAACGCUGGAGCAACUUACCAACGACUCGUGAACCGAAUGUUCUCCAAACAACUCGGAAAAACGAUGGAAGUUUAUAUCGACGACAUGCUUGUCAAAUCCCUCAAAGCAAGGGAUCACGUGUCACAUCUCGAAGAAUGUUUCGCACAACUAAAUUCCCAUAACAUGAAGCUCAACCCGAUGAAAUGCAGAUUCGCCGUGGCAUCAGGAGAAUUCCUCGGCUACUUGGUCACCAACCGCGGUAUCGAAGCAAAUCCAAAACAGAUCAACGCUCUAAUCGAGAUGGCUUCGCCAAAGAAUAAACGGGAAGUCCAAAGACUGACCGGCAGAAUCGCAGCACUUAACCGAUUUAUCUCACGAUCAACGGAUAAGUGCCUGCCCUUCUACGACGUCCUGCGAGGAAAUAAAAAGUUCGAAUGGACGGAAGAAUGCGAAAACGCCUUCCAACAGCUGAAGCAUUAUUUAGCUACUCCUCCAGUCCUCGCAAAACCCGUGGAAGGAGAGCCUUUGUUCUUGUACAUCGCGGUAUCGGCAACAGCCGUAAGCGGAGUCCUGAUCAGGGAAGAACGCGGGGAGCAGAAACCUAUUUUUUACAUAAGCAAAACCUUGCUGGAUGCCGAAUCUAGGUAUCCGUUGAUGGAAAAAUUGGCAUGCGCGGUCAUAACAUCAGCCCGAAAACUACGACCAUAUUUCCAAUCCCACACGAUCGUUAUCCUCACGACUUUUCCCUUACGGACAAUUUUGCAUAGCCCAAGUCAAUCAGGCCGAUUGGCGAAGUGGGCAGUCGAGUUGAGCGAGUAUGACAUCGAAUACCGACCAAGGACGAGCGCAAAAUCACAGGUGCUCGCGGACUUUUUGGUCGAACUUCCAACGGGAGCAAUAACCAACGAGGAACCAAAUUCCACCUGGCUCCUCCACGUCGACGGAUCUUCAUCCAAGCAAGGAUCGGGUGUCGGGAUCCGCCUCACAUCUCCAACAAGCGAGAUCCUGGAACAAUCGUUCAGAUUGGAAUUCCAUGCCUCAAACAACGAGGCCGAAUACGAAGCACUGAUCGCAGGUCUACGUUUGGCUCACGGCUUAAAAAUACGCAAUCUCCACGCUUACUGCGACUCCCAGUUAGUGGCCAGUCAAUUCAGCGGAGAAUAUGAAGCCAGAGACGAACGGAUGGACGCGUACCUCAAACUGGUCCAAGGUCUAGCUCAAGACUUCGACUGUUUCGCCCUUACCCGGAUCCCCCGUUCCGAGAAUGUCCAGGCGGACGCCCUCGCGGCCUUAGCAUCAAGUUCCGAUCCAGGACUCAAAAGGGUAAUUCCGGUCGAAUUCAUCGAACAUCCGAGUAUCGGACCCCCAGUCGUUGUCAAUCUCAUAGAGGGUCGAGACGACGAGGAAGAAGAGACUACGAUACCACCACCAUCGGAGCAAUCCGAUUACGGUUGUGAUACCCCAUGGCUUCAGACGAUUCGAGACUACAUUAUCGACGGGCAACUGCCCGCCGAAAAAUGGUCAGCUCGCAAGAUCCGAACACAGGCCGCACGCUACGUAACAGUGGACGGCGAAAUCUACAAGUGGAGAUUCUCCGGACCGCUCCUGACGUGCCUGGAAGGGGAAAAGGCGAGGAAAGUAAUGGAGGAAAUACAUUCCGGCUCAUGCGGCAACCAUUCCGGCGGAAGAUCACUAGCCGUGAAAAUUAAACGCCAUGGGUACUAUUGGCCAACAAUGAUCGGAGAUUGCGAAAAAUUCGCACGAAAAUGCGAAAAAUGCCAAAGGCAUGCGCCAACUAUCCGACAACCCGCCGAAGUUCUUUCCUCCAUCACGUCGCCUUAUCCCUUUAUGCGCUGGGCCAUGGAUAUUGUCGGACCUCUGCAUAAUUCAAAGCAAAAGCGUUUCCUUCUAGUCCUUACCGAUUUCUUCUCAAAACGGGUAGAGGCGGACUCGUACGCAAGUAUAAAAGACGUCCAAGUCGAGAAUUUCGUAUGGAAAAACAUCAUCUGUAGGCAUGGAGUUCCUUACGAAAUCGUAACCGAUAACGGGUCUCAAUUUAUUUCCACCCGAUUUGAGGCAUUCUGCGAAAAGUGGAAGAUACGACUCAACAAGUCAACUCCCAGAUAUCCGCAGUGCAACGGACAGGCUGAAACAAUCAACAAGACCAUUCUCGACGGACUGAAGAAACGCUUGGAGGCUAAAAAAGGUAGAUCGGCCGACGAACUCGAGGGAGUCCUCUGGUCUCACCGUACCACCCCAAGGCGAGCAACGGGAGAAACUCCCUUCGCCUUGGUAUACGGCGCGGAGUGCAUGAUUCCCGCGGAAGUAGAAUUUCCCGGUGUUCGAAGAAGGUUCUUACCCGAACGAGAGGAACUCAACAAUGCUAUGCUCUUGGACGAUCUCGACCUCAUUAACGAACGCCGGGAUCGAGCGCUCAUCCGAAUUCAAAACUACCAGCACGCCGCUGCAAGAUACUAUAACUCCAACGUACGGAACCGAAGGUUCAAUCAGGGAGAUCUGGUCCUUCGCAAAGUCUUCCAAAACACCGCUGAACGAAACGCGGGAAAACUCGGAACAAACUGGGAAGGUCCCUAUAAAAUCGAAAAAGUCGUCCGACCAGGUUCUUACGAAAUAGCCAACAUGCAGGGCAUAAAAAUCCCUAGAACCUGGAAUGCGAUGCAUCUCAAAAAAUACUAUCACUAAACAAACCAACUCGCAAUCACUGAACUACGAGACGGCUUGAUCUCCGCAAGGAGUACGUAGGCAGUUUGCCGAAAGGCAAAUUCAGCUGUCCUCCCUUAUAAAAAAGGGGGGAGUGGGUACGUAUACUCGUAUACUCCCGAAAAAAUCGAAAAACUUCUUACCGCACUUUUGGUCUUUUCGACUUAUCAAAACAUCCUCACCCGCGAAAUCGCAACGAGGUCUUCGGAAAUUGGUCGGCCGCUUGGGAGAAUCGAACCUUUAGCAUCGCGAGACGUCGCAAAAGAUGCCUCAAAAUUGGUUUCUUCCGAGCAAACGAAAUCUCCGCCAAAAGACACAUAUAUGCACACAUUAACAUUUAUUUUGCGCAAAUUAGUCAAAACAACGGCACACGCCACUAAGUCCGAUGCUGAUCACAUCGAACUCACAAACGUCCUAAACAGACAUAGCCAUCUCAUGGAGAUGACUCUCUUACAUCCGACACAAGGAUAAUAGCGCUAUAAAAGAAAUCCGAAAUUUUGGUCUAGCACUUCCGGUCUCCGGAGAGAUGCUCGAUUCGUAUCAAACAAGUCGUAUAAGCCGAGAACUUUUCGCGGACUUUACAUCGAUACGAAUCAGGAAGAAAUCGCGACAGGAAAAACGAUAGCCGGUUAGUCACCGCACAAUCCUUAAACCGAAAGUAAACCUAGGUCUUGCCCUAAACCCAGCGCACUGGUCUUUAACAUCUCAAAGGCAUGAUAUCAAAAGAUAAGAGAUUCUUAAACCACGCCUCUAUGUUUACGUUCGAUACCUUCAGCGCCCCCGCAGAGUUCACAUCUCGCGGAAGAACUCUCGAAACAGGUCUCGAAUAAAACAUUUCACAAUCGAAGAAGGAUAUGAGACGACAACUCAUCACCUUCCUCCCCACUAUUCACAAAUUCAUAAAAAACGUUAUCCGAUUAUCAUACCAUAAAACCGCGGAGCGGUAGGGAUUCAAAGCCACACACGGCCAGUCCCGAAAUACAAACAAGGCCGUUCAAGGCCGAAGCUUAAAGACAUAAAAAAAAAAAAAAAUCUCUCGCAAGAGAUCUAACCCAAGUCACCCUCGGAACUUACGCUCCCUCUUCACCCGCCGCCUCGUCCGAGCCUGGAGCCGCAUCGCUUCCGUUCUCUCCGACCAUCGGAUUUUUCCCCUCUGGGUCUUCUGGACACGUCGGAAGGAAGCAAGCGGAUUUUAGGUCGGCCAGGAUGAGAUCGAAAUCGCCAUCCUCGGCCGCCAUAUCUCCCUUGCAGCCGGACAGUCGGGCCUCUUCGGCCUCCAAGGUCGGGGGAGUCUCACUUUGGAACGACCGAACCACGGCCAUCCCGCCCUCAAUCGUCGCCAAAGCGAAAUCCCUGCUCCGGAUACGCUCGAGGGAACCCAGGGAAGCAGAAAUCUUCGCCAAGCAAGCCUGAAACUCCGCACGAAGGGCAUCCGUAGCCUCUUGGAUCCCGCGGCGCGCUAGUCCAGCGUCACUCUCGAUCUGACGCUGGAGUCGACGCACCUCCGAGGAUUUGGCCUUCCUGUUCUUCUUUUCCUUAAGCAAGGAACUCGCCGUCUUCCCGAGGUCCCUCUCAAGUUCUCCUAUCGCAACCUCGAGCUUCGACACUUUCACAGAGUGAGAGUCCUCGACAGCCGUCAACAUAGCCUCGGUUUCGGACCAUCUGCCCUGAAGCUCCACCAACUCCCCGGAAAGACGACUGGUCUCAGAACCACAUUCGCUGAUCAUCCCAUCGAUCAACGAUAUGAACUGCGAACAAAAAAAAAUUCUUAAGACUAAGUCCAUGAAAAGAAUGCACGACAGACGAUCGGGAAUUCAAACGAGAAACAAACCUUUCCGCGAAGUCCCGAUGCUAGGAUCAACCCACCUCGCUGCGAAGUCUCCCCGUCACCGCUCUUGGCCAGUUUCCUCUUCCGACUCUUGGGCUGAGUAGCCUGGGCAGCGCUAGGAGCACGCAAUGCCAGAACGAUUUCUUUUCUGGCUGGAGGCGGAGGCAUAGAGUCAGCGGCCUUCUCUUUGUCCUCGACGAGGAUCGGAGUCGUGGAAGAUCCCGCAGGUAGGACUUGCGGGGGAAGAGCCGCGACGCCGGUCCCGUGACACGGGGCAACGACCGGCGCGGAGGAAGACGGAAACUCGGAGCCAGUCUGAGCCAAUUCCUUCUCGGCUUGGCGACGAACUAGUUUCUCUCGGAAAGAAAGAUGACCGGUAACACAAGCCGGCACUUCCGCCGGAGAAGUUGGAACCGUAGCCAGAGAGGUGGCCUCACCCAUCUCGACGUCGGAAUCCUUCUUAUCACCUUGGGAGGAAGACAUGUUGAAAGGAAAGUUAUGAAACUAGAGAGNNNNNNNNNNNNNNNNNNNNNNNNNNNNNNNNNNNNNNNNNNNNNNNNNNNNNNNNNNNNNNNNNNNNNNNNNNNNNNNNNNNNNNNNNNNNNNNNNNNNNNNNNNNNNNNNNNNNNNNNNNNNNNNNNNNNNNNNNNNNNNNNNNNNNNNNNNNNNNNNNNNNNNNNNNNNNNNNNNNNNNNNNNNNNNNNNNNNNNNNNNNNNNNNNNNNNNNNNNNNNNNNNNNNNNNNNNNNNNNNNNNNNNNNNNNNNNNNNNNNNNNNNNNNNNNNNNNNNNNNNNNNNNNNNNNNNNNNNNNNNNNNNNNNNNNNNNNNNNNNNNNNNNNNNNNNNNNNNNNNNNNNNNNNNNNNNNNNNNNNNNNNNNNNNNNNNNNNNNNNNNNNNNNNNNNNNNNNNNNNNNNNNNNNNNNNNNNNNNNNNNNNNNNNNNNNNNNNNNNNNNNNNNNNNNNNNNNNNNNNNNNNNNNNNNNNNNNNNNNNNNNNNNNNNNNNNNNNNNNNNNNNNNNNNNNNNNNNNNNNNNNNNNNNNNNNNNNNNNNNNNNNNNNNNNNNNNNNNNNNNNNNNNNNNNNNNNNNNNNNNNNNNNNNNNNNNNNNNNNNNNNNNNNNNNNNNNNNNNNNNNNNNNNNNNNNNNNNNNNNNNNNNNNNNNNNNNNNNNNNNNNNNNNNNNNNNNNNNNNNNNNNNNNNNNNNNNNNNNNNNNNNNNNNNNNNNNNNNNNNNNNNNNNNNNNNNNNNNNNNNNNNNNNNNNNNNNNNNNNNNNNNNNNNNNNNNNNNNNNNNNNNNNNNNNNNNNNNNNNNNNNNNNNNNNNNNNNNNNNNNNNNNNNNNNNNNNNNNNNNNNNNNNNNNNNNNNNNNNNNNNNNNNNNNNNNNNNNNNNNNNNNNNNNNNNNNNNNNNNNNNNNNNNNNNNNNNNNNNNNNNNNNNNNNNNNNNNNNNNNNNNNNNNNNNNNNNNNNNNNNNNNNNNNNNNNNNNNNNNNNNNNNNNNNNNNNNNNNNNNNNNNNNNNNNNNNNNNNNNNNNNNNNNNNNNNNNNNNNNNNNNNNNNNNNNNNNNNNNNNNNNNNNNNNNNNNNNNNNNNNNNNNNNNNNNNNNNNNNNNNNNNNNNNNNNNNNNNNNNNNNNNNNNNNNNNNNNNNNNNNNNNNNNNNNNNNNNNNNNNNNNNNNNNNNNNNNNNNNNNNNNNNNNNNNNNNNNNNNNNNNNNNNNNNNNNNNNNNNNNNNNNNNNNNNNNNNNNNNNNNNNNNNNNNNNNNNNNNNNNNNNNNNNNNNNNNNNNNNNNNNNNNNNNNNNNNNNNNNNNNNNNNNNNNNNNNNNNNNNNNNNNNNNNNNNNNNNNNNNNNNNNNNNNNNNNNNNNNNNNNNNNNNNNNNNNNNNNNNNNNNNNNNNNNNNNNNNNNNNNNNNNNNNNNNNNNNNNNNNNNNNNNNNNNNNNNNNNNNNNNNNNNNNNNNNNNNNNNNNNNNNNNNNNNNNNNNNNNNNNNNNNNNNNNNNNNNNNNNNNNNNNNNNNNNNNNNNNNNNNNNNNNNNNNNNNNNNNNNNNNNNNNNNNNNNNNNNNNNNNNNNNNNNNNNNNNNNNNNNNNNNNNNNNNNNNNNNNNNNNNNNNNNNNNNNNNNNNNNNNNNNNNNNNNNNNNNNNNNNNNNNNNNNNNNNNNNNNNNNNNNNNNNNNNNNNNNNNNNNNNNNNNNNNNNNNNNNNNNNNNNNNNNNNNNNNNNNNNNNNNAUUUAGGCAACUUUCCGUUUUUGUUAUUUCGAGCUGCGACUCAAUUAGGUUUAGCCGUCUUAGGGUUGCUAGAACUAGGAAUCUCGCCGACAGCUCUCGAGCCCAGGCUUAUACCUUGUUGUAACGCUCAUACGCAGAUUCGGAAUAAGAUCUAUUUUGCUCUCUUUUCGAUUUCUUAUUUUUAUCGUUGUUAUUCUCGUGUUCUGAUUGCUUGACGUGUGGUAAUUAACAGAUAUCCGGGUCCUCUGGGAAACUAGGGUUUUCUUAGUUUCCUUAUUUAAACGGAAAUCGACAGUGCGAAUUUCGGUUCCCACACUGUGGAUUUCACAUACCCUCGGCUUCCAGCUCGAUGUGAAACAUGUAGCAGAUGGGGGCACUAUGCAACCUUCUGUAAGAAUGGGGAGGUGGAUAAGGUAGAGGAACAGAGGAGUCCAAAGAGUAAGGAGAGGGAUGUUCCAAAAAGCAGUGAGUUAAAGAAGGUGGAUCAGGGAAGUGAAGGAGACAAUAAGGAUGUGAUCAUUGCAAAGGAACGAGUAUUGGGGGCAGAAUCAAGUGGAGGCAAGAGUAGUAAUAGGAGUGCAGAUAUUGAGGCAGUUACAAUAGAGGAAGGGGAAAUAAACGAAUGGAAAACAAUCUCUGGGGAAAAACUUGGGAAGAGUCCGAAAUCACAAAGCCUGAAAUAUGGUCAAGUGACUAUAGCUACUCCAUCCAGAUUUGAUGCUCUGAGAAAUAUGGAUGAGAAAGGAGAAGAGAUGGAUGUAGAGCGUAUGGAGGAAGUUGAGGAAAUGAGAAAUGAAGAAGUGGAAGAUAUAGUUCAGAGUAUGGCAGAGGAUAGUGUUGAUGCAAAUAAAAAAGGGAGAGCAAGACAGACGCUGCCGAGGCUCUCAAAGACGAAUCAUAGAGUGGUGAAUCCUGAACCUUCAGAUCAUGUUAAGGAUAUGAGAAGGGGUUCUAGGAAAAAUCACUAAUGGCGGGUUUCUUUUGGAAUAUACGAGGUUUCAAUAAGUCAACUAAACAGGAGGUGGUGAGGAAAUGGUUACAAGAUCAAUCAAUUCUUUUUGGUUGCCUUAUUGAAACAAGAGUUAAGGAGAGCAGAGCAGAGAAGAUUGUGGGGGAAGUUUUUAAAGAUUGGAGUUUUAUGGCUAACUAUGAGUACAACAGAUUAGGAAGGAUUUGGGUUCUAUGGAGAUCAGAAGUGAGGGUAACACCUAUCUACAAAAGUGCGCAACUUAUUACUUGCUCAAUUUUGUUGCCGGGAGAGGAAGAGGAGUUCUUUUGUUCCUUUAUCUACGCUCUUAACACAGUGGAAGAAAGGAAGGAGCUAUGGGAAGACUUAAAGAAUCAUUACGAUGUGCCGAUGCUGAAGAACAAGAGAUGGAUGUUGAUGGGAGAUUACAAUGAGAUUUUGGAGGGUGAGGAGCAUUCGGGGUUUGAGGAUUCACCAAGAAUCCCGUUGGGGAUGAGGGAUUUUCAGACGAUAGUAGGGUACUACAGAUUGACGGAUAUGAGCUAUCAUGGACCACGAUACACAUGGUGUAACAAAAGAGAAGAGGGGCUAAUCUGUAAGAAGUUGGAUAGAGUGCUUAUAAAUGAAGAGUUGAUGAAUGAUUCGCGAGUCUAUUGUGUGUUUGAGUCGGGAGGAUGCUCUGACCACUUAAGAUGUAGAAUCCAUUUGAAAAGAGAGGAAAGCAGGAAGCGGAAGCCUUUCAAAUUCACAAAUGCCAUAGCGAAGAUGUCUGAGUUUAAUGCUAUUAUGGAGAAUCAAUGGAAAGACUAUGAAGCGCUAUACAUCUCGACCUCAGCUAUGUUCAUGCUUACAAAACGUUUAAAGGCUCUGAAGCAACCGCUGAGAGAGCUCUGUAAGAGUAAGCUGGGAGAUUUAUCUAAGAGAACCAGAGAAGCAUACCAAGUGCUUUGCUUCAGACAGAAGGAAACUAUGGAAAAUCCAAGUGUGGAGAAUAUUCGAGCAGAAGGAGUAGCGAUGAACAGAUGGCAAAGACUAGCAGAUUUGGAGGAGGAAUUUCUAAAACAGAGAUCAAAAGUUCACUGGCUUGAUGUGGGUGAUGGGAAUAACCACUUCUUUCACAGCUCAGCUAAGAUAAGAGAGAUUAGAAAUGCUAUCCAUGAAAUUACUAGAGCUGAUGGAACAAUAGCAAAGACAGAUGAGGAGAUAAAAGGGGAAGCUGAGAAUUAUUUUGCUGAGUUCAUGAGUUUGGAGCCAGUAGACUAUGAAGGAGUUUCGGUAGAUACUUUGAAGGAGCUAUUGGGGUUUCAAUGCGGUGAGAUUGACUGUAUUAAGCUGGAAAGAGAAGUUACUAGAGAAGAGAUUAAGGAGGUCUUGUUUCGAAUGCCAGGAAACAAAUCACCAGGGCCUGAUGGGUUUACAACAGAGUUCUUUAAAGAGGCUUGGGAGAUAAUUGGUGACGAUAUUACCAUGGCGGUUCAGUCGUUCUUUGUCAAGGGAUUCUUACCUAAGGGUUUGAAUUCGACAAUACUGACCCUUGUUCCAAAGAAGGUGGAAGCAAAAAUGAUGAAGGAUUAUCGCCCUAUAUCAUGUUGCAAUGUGCUGUAUAAGGUCAUAUCAAAGAGAGUGGCAAACAGGCUGAAGAUUGUAUUGCCUAAAUUCAUCUCCCUGAACCAAUCUGCAUUUAUCAAGGAGCGCUUGUUGAUGGAGAACGUUCUACUUGCCACAGAAUUGGUAAAGGAUUACCACAAAGAUGAUAUUUCCCCAAGAUGCACAAUGCAAGUCGAUAUCUCCAAGGCAUUUGAUUCGGUUCAGUGGUCAUUUCUGAUUAACACACUGAAAGCGUUGGGAUUACCGGCUAAGUUCAUACACUGGAUUUCAUUGUGUAUCACUUCAUCUUCCUUUUCCGUUCAAGUUAAUGGCGAGCUCGCAGGCUAUUUUCAGAGUAGAAGAGGGUUAAGACAAGGAUGCUCUCUCUCCCCUUACUUAUUUGUGAUUUGCAUGAACGUUUUAUCUAAAAUGCUGGAUGAAGCAACAAGAAAAGGGAAGAUAGGGUACCACCCAAGGUGCAAAAACAUAGAGAUUACACAUUUGUGUUUUGCGGAUGAUUUGAUGAUAUUUACGGAUGGGUCAAGAAAGUCGAUUGAAGGGAUUCUUAAGGUCUUUGAAGAGUAUGAUAAGAUGAGUGGCCUCAAGAUCAGUAGAGAGAAAUCGGUGCUGUUUGUUGCUGGGGCAGAUCAGAGAGGAGAAGAGAUUCUAAGACAAUUCAACUUUGCUACUGGUAAGCUACCGGUGCGUUAUCUUGGCUUGCCAUUGUUAACAAAGAAUAUGACUGUCACAGACUUUCUGCCGUUAGUAGAGAAGAUAAGGAAGAGGAUAAGUUCUUGGAGAGGGAGAUUCCUAUCUUAUGCUGGAAGAUUGCAACUUAUAAACUCAGUUAUAAGAAGUCUCACCAACUUCUGGAUGGCAGCGUUCCGGCUUCCCAGUGGAUGCGUUAAAGAAAUUGAGAGAAUCUGUGCUGCUUUUUUGUGGUCUGGACCUGAGUUAAAUGGAAGGAAGGCGAAGGUUUCGUGGGAAGAUAUCUGUCGAACGAAACGAGAGGGAGGCUUGGGUUUAAGACCUUUGAAAGAGGUGAAUCAGGUCUGUUGUCUUAAGCUGGUUUGGAGAAUUCUUUCUGCUGAUUCUCUUUGGGUUAACUGGAUAAAAAUUUACCUCAUUCGAAAAGGAUCUUUCUGGACGAUAAAGGAAACUACUCAGUGUGGGUCUUGGAUGUGGAAGAAAAUACUUAAGUGCAGGGAAAAGGCAAAGGAUUUCUAUAGAGUUGAGGUUCGGGACGGAAGGAACCACUACAACAAAAAUGGGUUUUAAUAGCAUACCAGAAUAGCGUUUUUUCCGGUUAUGCUAUGUUUGUGAUACCCGUGUUUUAAAGAUAGCGUUUCCAUUUAAUGAGACGCUAUGUUAGAAUGCUGAUAAAAAAAAUAUAAAAUAAGAGUACGGUUUUGAAGGAGGCGCUUAUGUAAUAUAGCAAUGAAACAUUAAUAGUGUUAUGUUAAAGUUGCGCGGUAAUGCCCGGGAUACUUAGAAUUAUUUUGCCUCCUAAAAUCAUUUGUGCUGCCAAAUAAAAAAAUAGAAACUCCCAAAACAUUAGGGUUCUUCCAUCUCUCGUAUUUGUUUCCCCCAUUUCCUCCGUGCGAUUGAUAGACCCAAACCAAAACCUCUCCUUUCUGAUUCCCAAUCUCAUCAAAUUUCAGUCUCCGUUCGAUCGAUAUACUUAUCUAAUCCAGAAUCGGAAAAAACAAGAUUGAAAUCCAUUUCGAAUCAGUCCAAGGUGAACUCGGGUUUUUUUCAUUUUGUCUCCUCUUCCGAUUGUAAACCGUUUGUCUCUUGCCUAUUAGUUAUUAAGGUUUAUUGCAUGUUUAAUUGAGUCGUUUCUGUGCUCAAUGUUGCAGGGAGAUUUCGUUCCAAAUAUUUCGAUUAAGGUACUUCUAAAUCUUAUUCGUUUUUGUGCUCUCUUGGUAUGUCGUAUGACUGUUGUAAUUUUCUGGGUUUAUUAACAUUGUUUUCUUCUUUUGUAGCUAAAUCAAACCAAAGUUCAAGAGAUCUAUCAGGUAAAAUAAGUUACACUCAAUUAACUGGUUUACAUAUCUCGUACUGUUUUGUUCUUCUGGGUUGAUAAACUGCGUCUCUUGUAUGUAAAAUUGGUUGGAGCUGAAACAUGGAUAAAUCUUGGGUAUGGUUACCAAGGUAUUAACUUCACUUCACAGUCAUUUUAAUUUUUCGUAUUGUAUAUGUCACACUGCUAAUCUGUUUAUUUAUCACUUGUUCUAACUCUCCAGGAAUAGCCUUGAGUAUGAGAAAGGAGCAAGUGAGUUUGUGUCUUCUUCAUCAAGCCGUUUAGGUGUCCCAACAGAAAUGUUCUGUCCGUGUGUUGAUUGCCGCAAUGUAUGCCAUCAGUCUACUGAGAAAGUUUUCGAGCAUCUAGUGAUUAGAGGGAUGGAUCCGAAGUACAAGAGUUGUAAAUUCUGGUCCAAACACGGAGAUAACAAGCCUGAUAAGCCAUCUGAUAUCAACUCCUCUGCAAGUGAGCCGUACGAGUUGUUAAGAACAGCUUUCAUGCCAACUGAAGACCAUCACUCAGCUCAGGAGGAGAGUGCAGAAGCGUCUGCGGGAACUGACAGACCAGAAGAAGCUGAGUUCAGAAAAAAACUGGAGGAUGCAGAAACCCCGUUGUACUCUCAGUGUUCAAAAUACACGAAGGUUGCUGCGAUCAUGGGACUGUACAGGAUAAAGGUCAAAAGUGGGAUGUCUGAAAGCUAUUUUGAUCAGCUAUUGGCGUUAAUUCAUGAUAUGCUUCCUGGAGACAAUGUGCUACCUAAGUCUACAGAUGAGAUGAAGAAGUUUCUGAAACAGUUUGGGUUUGGUUAUGAUGUCAUCCACGCCUGCAAGAACGACUGUAUCUUGUUUAGGAACCAGUAUGAGGAUGCGGUCAGCUGUCCAAGAUGCAGUGAAUCAAGAUGGGAGAAGGAUAAGCAUACUGGUGAAGAGAAGAAAGGGAUUCCGGUUAAAGUGCUUAGGUAUUUUCCGAUAAAAGAUAGGUUCAGAAGAAUGUUUAGAUCAAAGCGUCUGGCGGAGGAGUUGUGUUGGCAUUCGACAAAUGCAUCUGACGAUGGAACUAUGCGACAUCCAGUUGAUUCAGUGACUUGGGGACAGAUAAACAACAAAUGGCCAGGGUUCGCUGCUGAAGAAAGAAACCUAAGACUAGGUAUUUCUACUGAUGGCAUGAAUCCAUUCUCCAUGCAGAACACCAAUUAUACCACAUGGCCUGUCCUCUUAGUCAACUACAACAUGGCUCCAACGCAGUGCAUGAAAUCAGAGAACAUCAUGUUGACAAUGUUGAUACCUGGUCCAACCGCACCUAGCAACAACAUAGACGUCUAUCUACAACCACUCAUAGAGGACUUGAAGAGUUUGUGGGCAGAAGGUAUGGAAGUGUAUGAUUCGUUCAAGAAGGAGAGUUUCACUCUUAGAGCUAUGUUGUUGUGGAGUAUCACCGACUAUCCUGGGUUAGGCACAUUAGCUGGCUGUAAAGUUAAGGGGAAGCAAGCCUGUAAUGUCUGUGGAAAGGAUACACCGCAUAGGUGGCUAAAGUUUAGUCGCAAACACGUUUACAUGGGGAACAGGAAGCGGCUCAUGCCUAAUCAUCCAUAUAGAAGACGGAAAGGAUGGUUUGACAACACGGUGGAGACUGGUACUGCAAAUAGGAUUCAGAGUGGUGUAGAAAUCUCUGACAUUCUGAGGGAUUUUAAAAACGACUUUGGGAAAAAGUUAAGUAAGAAGAGUAAGCGAAAAAGGACAACAGGAGAUGAGAAUGAUGUUGCUUCAUUGGAGGAGUACGAAGAAGAUGAUGAUCUGUGGCGGUGGAAGAAAAAGUCAAUUUUCUUUGAGUUACCUUAUUGGAAGGUAUGUUUCCUUUUCAGAUAUAUAAUUUAACUUAUUCUCGAUGUUUAUAUUUCUAUACUGAUUAAGACAUGUAUAAAAUAUAUGGCAGGAUAUGCCAGUAAGGCAUAACAUAAAUGUUAUGCACGUGGAGAAGAAUGUGUCUGAUGCACUGCUGUCUAUUCUGAUGCAUAGUGGAAAAUCAAAGGAUGGCCUGAAAGCAAGAAAAGAUUUAGAAGACAUGGGUAUUAGAAGCAACUUGCAUACAGAAGUGAGGGGAAAGAAAACUUACUUGCCUCCUGCUGCUUACUGGCUAUCUAAGGAAGAAAAAAAGAAAUUCUGCAGACGGUUAUCAAACUUCAAAGGGCCUGAUGGUUAUAGUGCCAAUAUCUCCAACUGUGUCUCACUGGAUCCUCCUGGUAUUGGCGGCAUGAAGUCACAUGACCAUCAUGUACUAAUGCAGAAUAUGUUACCGGUAGCAUUGAGAGGUCUACUGCCAAGAGGGCCACGGAUUGCAGUGACUCGGAUAUGCAAUUACUUCAACAGACUCUGUCAACGCAUUAUUGAGCCAGAGAAGUUACUUAAGUUAGAAGCAGAGAUUGUGGAGACAAUGUGUCAGCUAGAGAGAUUCUUUCCUCCAUCUCUGUUUGAUAUAAUGUUUCAUCUUCCACUGCAUCUAGCAAGAGAAGCACGCUUGGGUGGCCCUGUACACUUCAGGUGGAUGUAUCCCUUCGAGAGGUAGUUUUCUAGAUUUAUUUAUAAGCUUGAUUAACACUAUACUGCUACUAUAACAAUAAGUUAUAUUUUUUUUGUAAGGUAUAUGAAGACUCUAAAAGCUUAUGUGAAGAAUUUUGCAGGACCCGAAGCUUGUAUGGCCGAGGGUUAUUUAGCAGGUGAAUGCCUUGCAUUUUGUAUGGAGUUCCUGCAGAGAUCAGUUCCAGUAGAAGAAGCAGUUAAUAGAAACGAAGAUCAUGAGACUUCUCAGAAUUUACUUGAAGGCCGGACGCUGAAUAAAGCGACAGAAGUGACACUUACUGACAAAGAGAGAGAUGUAGCUCACCGGUAUAUCCUCAUGAAUACUGCAGUGAUUGAGCCUUAUGUUCAGUAAGUGAAAAUUCCAAUAGCUUUUAAAGUAUGUUAUUUUUUCUUUCACACUAACUUAAUGAAUAUACAGGAUGCAUUUAGAAGAGCUACAAAGGACGGACGAAAGAUGUGCGAAAAACGAAACCAUCUUAUGGAAGAACCAUACUGAAAGGUUUGCACAGUGGAUCAAAGAAAAGGUAUGAUUCACUUAUUGUUUCUUUCAAUACUUUCCUUCCUGAUUACUUUGUAUAUAUAUGAUCUGAUUUUGUUUGUAAUAUUUUUUCCAUUUUAGAUACCAACUAACUCGAAGGAACAUUCACAGCAGCUGAGAUGGCUUGCUUUUGGACCAAGGAAUAUUGCUCACACGUACAAGGGGUUUGUAGUUAAUGGAAAUCGAUUCCAUACAGACGAUGUGCAGAGGAAGACACAGAACAGUGGAGUAGCAUAUGAUGCGUUUUCAAUGUGCAGAGCUAGUGCCAAAGAUGCGAGGCAAAUGGCUGAUAUAGUUACAUACUAUGGAGUGAUUAAGGAGAUCAUAUUGAUCGACUACCAUAUGUUUGAGGUGGCUCUGUUUAAGUGCAGUUGGGCUCAUAAAGGAAGAGGACUAAAAGAGGAAGACGGUUUCACACUUGUGAAUCUCCACAUGAGUCAGUCUACAUUUGUUAAUGAUCCUUACAUUAUGCCAUCGCAAGCUAAACAAGUGUUCUACUCUAGAGAGGAAGAUAGCUCCCCUUGGUAUGUUGUGAUGAGAGCACCACCGUGAGGCUUUCAUGAGUUAGAGACAGAAGAGGAGUUCUGUUCUGGUGCAGUAACAGUCCAGACUGAAGAAGAUAUGGGAGAUCAAGCAUCUGAUGACGAGAGUUUUUGUGUUAGGAAUGAUUGUGAAGGUGUUCUAAUUCAUGAUUUAUGAUGAGUUUUUUUUUUCAGGUUAUCUACUGCCAUGAAUUCCAAAGCUGUUACAGAUAAAUGUCGUCGCAGCAAACGCCAAGCAGGUCUUGAUGUUAGUCCUGAAGUUUCCUUAGCUCAGAAAAAACCCAAGAAAAAUGCUCCGAUGAUGACCACAGAGGAAGAGUACCAUUCAGAAGAAGUCGAGAAAGCAACAGAGCAUGCGGAUUUGGAAGGAACAGAAUCUGAAAAAGUCGACGAAACCGGACCUGAAGAUGUGGAACCUGAAGAUAGUAUCCCUGCAACAGAAAAUGAAGGUGUGGAAUCUGAAGAUGGAGAUGGAGAUGAAGAGGAAGACGAUGACACCACACAACCACCAUCUCAAGAAGAACAAGUCAUUCCUCCUUCGGAGCCACAGACUCAGACACAAACAGAGCAGUCGGAUAACGUAGUCAAGAAGACUAGGGGUCCAACGAAAAUGCGAAAAGUAGCAAAACAUAUAGAGGACAAGGUGGAUGUUGAGUUCAAUGCUCUAGGUGAGCAUGUCGGUCGUGGAUCAGUUACCCUAUCUUCUUUCCUAGGUCCUCUCGUGAGAGAGCAUGUCCCAGUACUUCUAGAUGACUGGAGACAUCUCGAUGAGAAAACAAAAGAUGCUUUAUGGGAGGAAAUUCAGGUUCGUAUUACAACUUUUUGAUAAUGUCUGAAAAGUAGUAAGCUGAUAACUUCAAUAUGUAUAACAGGGAAGAUUCAACUUGACAGAAGAAUGGCAAAAAGAUGUUGUUUUUAAGCAGAUGGGUUGUUUGUGGAGGGCCUCUAAAUCCAGAUUGUCUUCGCAAGUUAGAGCUACAAAAAACAAGGCUCAACUUCAGAAAAUUAAGCCUAGCAACAUACAAUCUGCAACUGCGUGGAACAAUUGGGUUAAAGGAAGAUGUACAACAGCUUUUAAGGUAAUUUAAAUUAAGGAUUUAUUAGUAACGAGUCUGCUUAUAUUUAUGAUAAUUAUUUUAACUCAAAAUCUGAAUGUGUAGGAACAAAGUGAUAAGUACAGGGAACUUAGGAAGGGCCAAAUUCCUCACACCACUAGCCGUAAAGGCAUGAUUCGACUUGCAGAUGAAAUGGUAUGUUUGUAAUUUAAUAAGUUGCGAUUCCAAAGAACUUCUAUGACAACAUUUUCAUUAAACUUGUAGAGGAAAAACAGUAGUGAUCCUAGAAAGGUAACUAGAACAAAGGUUUGGGUCGUUGGGCAUACGCAUUCUGAUGGAAGACCUGUGAGUCAAGAAUUUGCAGAAACAAUAGUAAGUUCAUGUUAAUUCUUAGAUUUCCAUUAACUUCGAAGUUUGUUUGUAUAAAACACUUAACAAUUUUAUGAUAUUUUUUAAUGCAGGAGAAGAUUAAGAGAAUUGACAGUGAAAUGGGUUCAAGUUCCGCAGAUAAUAUCGGUGAAGAUGCUGUGACUCAGGUUCUAGGAAAGGAUAAACCAGGAAGAAUUAGGGGGAUGGGGCGAGGGGUUACUGCAACCAAAUUGGCAUUCUUACAUGCUAGAGACUCCCAUGUCCAGAAGCUUCAAGAUACUCAAGUAGAGCUUAUCAACAAGAUUGAAGAUUUGAGAAAUGUGGUAAAAGACUUAGCCGGCCAAAAGGUAAGUCCUUGAACUAGAGUUGUAAUUAUUAUAGUUUUAAGUGAUCUAUAAGGUUUUAAAAAUCUUGUAUAUUUCUGUUUCUGUGUUAGAAUAAAACCGAUUAUCGUUCUACUUCUGAGGUUAGCGAUAUUAGCAAGGGAGGAAUAAGGUGCCAGCUACUUGAUUGGGUUUCCAAUGAUGAUGUGGUUGUUGCUGAAGGAGAGUAUCACUCUAGUGAACCCUACUACAAGAUUGGUCGAAUUCCAUUGGGUCCAAACGCGGCUGCUGUAGUAGUAAAGUCUGUAUCAGUAGAAACUGCAUCUAUAUGGAGACCUACAGCAACUUGUUCUAGGCUUGCUCAGGCAGUUGGAGUGAAAAUUGCAUGGCCAGCGGAUAAGCUAAUACUGGACGAUGAUAUUGACUUAUCAAACAAUGGUAACACCAUUGGAUCAGAGGUAAUUAUAUGUUGUCAGUUUUCUUCCGUAAUGAGUGAAUACAUAUCUAAUGAAAAUUCUGUGUUUUUUUUUUGCUUCAGCCUACUGAUGCUUCUUUAGGAAAAGUUCAAAUCUUUGAUUACUGGAAAUCAGAAGAUGAAUUGAUUGCUAAGGGUGUAUUGUUGUCGACUGAUCCUGCGGAACUAGUCAACCAAAUACCGCUAGGACCGAAUGCUGCAAUUCUUAGAGUGGAAGUGGUUGUAAAAUCUGAUGCAUAUAUUUGGAGACCAACUACUGAAAUGACGAAGAUGGGUGAUGCGCUACAUGGGACUAUUGCCUGGCCUAUCGAUAAGAUAGUACUACCUGAACAAGAUUCACCAAAAGAAUCAAACAAGAAUUCGAAUCAGGUAUGUUUAUGAAACAUCUUAUUUAUUGCUUAAGUAAGUAUUGUGAUAGUUGUUGGUGUUAAUAUGAUUCUUGGAUUCAAUGAUGAUAUUGUCUUGAUUCUGUUUGUUACUUUAUUUUGUUUAGAGUGGUAGUAACAGCAGUGGUUGUAGCAGCAAAGGUGGUAAACAGAAGUGCGCCCUCUUGGACUGUAAUAACUCUGGACUGAGAGUUGCUUUGGGUCGUGUGUUCUCAACUGAUCCAACAGAGAAGGUGCAUUUCGUCCCUUUAGGUCCCAAUGCUACUAAGGUCUGGAUAGAGGUUUCCGAGUUCGAUGGGGCACGAGUGUGGAGGCCAAACAGUGAAAUUGAAUUCAUUGGUGAUGCAGUUGGAAGCAUUGUGGCUUGGCCAAAUGAUAAGGUUGUUUUAAUGUAAGGCAGGUCUGUUGCUUUUGAACUUGUUAUGCUAGUACCUUGAACUAUCUUUGUUAUUUGCUCUACUUAUGUAAUAUAUGACAAGAAUGGUUUUUAUGUUCAAUAAUAGCAGUUUAUGUUUUAUAAUUUAAUGUCUCAAAACUAAAUAAUUGAUUGUAUAUCACAAAAUAAAAAUAUAUAAAAUAUUAAAAUUAAAUAUAUAUAUUUAAUUAUUAUUUUAAAUAUACUAUAUAAUAGCAGCAAGAAUAAGCUGCUAUAAUUUCAAUAUAAUAUAUAUAACAGAAGUAUUAAUUGCUAUAGUUGUCUUAACAAUAACAUCUCGAAAACGCUGUUACUAAUAACAAUAAUAACAUUAAUUAAGCGCUAUUAAAUAUUAAUCUAUUGCAAAAGAAAAAGCGCUAUCGAUUCCAAGGAAACGAUAGCACCUCGAAAAAGUGUUAUCUAAUGUGCCUUACCUACUAUGACGGGCGAUGAUACAGCGUUCCUAAAUCCGCUGUCGUAUCGUUAAAUAGCGUUUUUCGUCCGCUAGUAAAACCCAUUUUUCUUGUAGUGAACACUUCCUUUUGGCAUGAAAAGUGGAGCUCCUUGGGGUGUUUAAUGGAUGUAUUCAGAGAUGGAGGGUGCAUUGAUAUGGGCAUAGCAACGAAUGGGAUAGUAGCUGAUUGUUUGCGGCAUCGACGGAGAUAUCAUCGUGUGCAAACAUUCAACAGGAUUGAAGUGGAGAUUGAGAAGUUUAAGAGAAACUGGGUUCAAGAGAAUGAUAUCCCAUUAUGGAGGAAUGAGAAAGGCAAAUACAAGAAAGUUUUCUCUACUAAGGAAACUUGGCUUUGUAUUCGAGAGAAGCAUCUCCCUUGCCAUUGGUAUCAAGCUGUCUGGUUUAAACAUGCGACACCGAAGUUCUCGUUUAUUACCUGGAUUGCUAUGCGUGGGAGGUUAUCAACAGGAGAGAGGAUGGUAAAAUGGAAUGGUAAUGUUGAUGCUUCUUGUGUUCUAUGUCAAGAACCGCUGGAGACUCAAAGCCACUUAUUUUUCGAGUGUCCUUACUCAACACAAAUUUGGGAGACACUCAUGAAGGGUGUACUAAGAGAUCAGUACUCUGCGAAUUGGGACAUCUUGGUUAGUCUCCUUACUGGUGAUUCGAGAUGGAGCAAAACUAAACUCUUUACAGCAAGAUACAUGUUCCAAUCAGCUAUUCAUACAAUAUGGAGAGAGCGGAAUAGAAGAAGGCAUGGAGAGGGUUCUGUUCCUGCUGUGCUUUUGAUUCAGCGUUUGGAUAAGAACAUGAGGAAUCAGUUCACUGUCAUUAGAAGAAGGGGGGGAAAGGAGUAUGAAGAUGGAAUGGCUACUUGGUUUGAUACUAGAUAGUUUUUUCACUAUGAUUGAAUUCUUUCUUUUUUGAUCAGAACUAAAAGAUAGGAAUUACAAAAUUGUAAAGGUCUUUUUUUCUUGAAUUAAAUUUAACAUUCAAUUCAAAAAAAAAAAAUUAACUAUAAUAAACUAUAUAUUGAAAAUAUUGUAUUUUCUUUAUCAAAUUCUCAUAAAUAUAUAAAAUAAAUCUAACUCAUAGCAUAUAAAAGAAAAGACCAAUGUGAUCAAAUAUUUACAGUUUUUUAGAAGUAUAAUCUUUAUAGUUUUAUUUAAAAUAUAGCAAAAAUGAUCACAAACCUAAUUACUUAAAACAGAAGUCCAAUUUAAAUUCAAAUAAAAAUAAAAAUUUAACUAAGAGAAUAUGUUAACUACUAUGUAAAAGUAUUUUUUUUUGUAAUUUGGGGUCCUAAAAUUUUUACAAAAUUUGGGGGCCCUAGGCAAAUGCCUUUUUCAAAAACUUCUAAGCACGGCUCUGGCCAUGACUACUUCUCCAAGCUCUGUAAUCAAAUUGGACAACUGUGAUAUAACUGCUCCACAAGAUCACGCAUCAGCUUUUGUUCCGUUGUAUCAUCGCGGUGAUAUAACCUCCGGAGUUGUGUAACCCACAGUUCAAAGAAGAUCAAAUGUUUAAGAUUUUUAUAGGGGUGGACAAAAAAACCGAACCGAACCGAGUUAAACUAAACCAACCGAAUCGAAACCGAUUCAAACCGAACCAAAGUUUAUUUCAAACCAUUUGGCUGAAGAAUUCCCCAAUCCGAACGGUUCGUUUAAACCGAACCGAACCGAGAACCGAUGUAUUUUGUAAUUAUUUAAAUUAAAAUUUUUAGUAAUACUAAAAUUCUAAUACUAUGCAACAUAUUUUCCAUUUUUCAUUCACUAACAUAUAUUCUUCUAACCUAAUAUGUAAUCAUCAAAGUAUUUGAUUUCAAAAAAAUAGAAAAGUUUGUAUGUUUAUAUUUUUAUAUAUGUAAACGUGGAUGUUAAAUCUAAAUCUAAAAUCUAAAGCACAUUUUAUUAAAAACAAAAGUUCAAAUUCUUCUCCACAACGUCACAUAGAAGAUGAUUUAUUACAUGCUUUUUAAUAAUGAUAUAAGAGACAUUACUAAUGAUGUUGGUUUUUUAUUUUAGUUAACUUUCAUUUCUUUUAAUUCUUAUAUAUUUUGUGACUUUUUUUAAAAUUCCGUUUCAGUUUUAUAUUGAAUUUAGUUCACAUAAUCUAUAUUAUUAAAACAGAAGUACAAAUAUAAAUUAAUCCUUAAUUUUUCAAAUUAUUUACAAUCAUAUGCCACUGAAAUAAUAAGUUUAACUACUUUUUAGUAUUCUUGUCUUUUAUAGUUUAAUUAAUGCAUUUUCUUAAAAUAAAGUAUAAAAAAUUAUGUUUACUUAUUUAAAAACUAUAUCCUAUAAUCUAGCUAAACAAUAAAUUAUACUUAAUCAAUGUCAAAAAUGUAACAAGAUUUUAUUAUUACGGGUGGUUAUUUUUUAUUUUGGUAUAUUAACUAUGCCUAAAAACAUAAAAGUGUUAUAAAAAUACAUAAUAUAAACCACAAAAUUGUAAAUAAUAUAUUUAAUUAUUUAAUUGUAUAAAUCAAAUAUGAAAAAUAACUAUUUUAUUUUACAUAAAAAUUUUGAUCCAUAAAAAAUAUAUUUGCAUGAACACACAGGUUAUAUUUUAAAAAUAUGGUUGUAACAGUUGACGGAUCAAAAUAUAAAAUAAAAUUAUUCAUUAUAAAAUGAUUGUGUUUAUUUAAUAUAUAUAUAUAUAUAUAUAAAUUUUAAAAAUAUAUAUUACCAUUUAUAUAAGAUAAAUAUUUUUUUUUUGCAAACAAAAAAUGAAUACCCAUGCGGAUGCGCGGAUCAAGUUCUAGUUCUAAUUUGUUUCGUAAGAAUAUAUAUAACGUAGCGUGUUGCACGUGCCACACCUACUCCCUACAUGGGUCCGCUUCUGCAGUAGAAAGCCUGAAAUCUCUGUCUCUCAUUGUGCUAUCCAAAAUUAAAGAGAAGAAAAUAACAUUUGUAGGAUUAGCAAGAACAUGAUCUGGUUAAUAAUAUAAUUACAUAUCUUAAAAUUGUAUUUAUUAGCUAAUAAUACUACUCUGUUCAUUAUGUUGGCGGCAACUUUUAUUAUUUAAACGGUCCCUUAUUUAAACUAAGUCCACUGCUAUUAAUUAAGUAACCUCAUGUCAAUUUUUUUUUAUAAUUUAAAUAAGAUCGAUUACACUCUGUAGUUGACUUGAUUGGUUAAGAUAAAGAAACAAGUUAAGGAACGUAUGAUUGAUUAUGAUUAUAUAAUAAAUAAAAUAUUAUAGAUUUUUUUAUUUUUAAUUUUAUAUAACUGAAUAUAUUAAUGUAUAAUAAUAUUUUAAACUAAUUUCGAAAUUAGCAAAGAUAUUUAAAUAUAAUUUCAAAAAUGAAGAUCUUGUAAAAAUCUUUUUAAACAGAUUUGUUAGAAUUUAAAAAUAAAUAUAUUUAUAUUUAAAAUGAAAAGAUAUCAAAAGAUAUUAUGAUUAAAAUAUUUUAAAAUUUAUAUUUAUUAUUAAUCUGAACUAAAAUGUAAUAUGAAUUUCUAUGAAUAGGUCCAUUAGGUCCAUUUUUAAAAAAAAUCACACAUGAAUCAAGGUUGUGACUUCUGUUUUAAUAUAUAAGAUUUCACUUAAAAAAAUUAAACUAAGAAUAACCUAAUUAAACUGAUCAAAAAACAAACCGAACCGAAUAUAACCGAACUGAACCCAAACUAACUAUGGUUUAUUUCAACUGGAAAAAUACUAGAACCAAACUAACCAAACAGAACCGACUCCGAACUGAACCGAGAAAAUAACCGAAGUGCCCACCCCUUCAGGUGAAGAAGAAAAGAACAUUGAGUCGCAGUGUUGGGUCUAGUUUAAUUAAUUAUUUUUUGGGCAAAGUUUUUUGGUUUAAUUAAAAUUGAUUUUUUAUUUGGUUUAACAAUUAAUAUUUUUUGGUAAAUAAUAAACCGCUUAAAACUAUGACUUUAUGUAUAAUUAAGUUUUAAAUUUUGGUUUGUGGAGAAAUAAGAUUCUAAGUUUUAAUUCAAAAAAAAAUACAUUUAUAACAAUAUUUAGUGCAGGCAGAUAUAUUACAAAGUUAUAAUUCAGUGAAAAUUUGAUGCUAUGUAAUAAUUUUUGUGGGAAAUUAGCAUGCUAACUCACAAAAUAAACAUGAUCUGGCUGCCAAAAUGUAUUGUUGCAUGAACAACAACGAUAUAACCCAAAAUUAAAGUUUUAAGGUGAUUUUAAGAGCUUCGUCUUCAGACAUAUUACAUCCGUUUAAAUAUUUGUUUUAGAUUUUAAAAUUUGAUUUGUUAUAAAUAGUUGAUUAUAUUUUAAAACGAAACAAAUAAUAAAUUAACUAAAGAUAAAUGUGUUAAAUAUUUAAAUGACAUUUAUAGUAAAGCUAAGAUGAUAUUUUAGAGUAAAAUUUACUACACUAGAUAGUACGACAUUUUUAGUAUUUGUUGACAAAAAUUAGCAAGAUUUAUAUUUCUUUUGUGAAGACUGAAGCAUCUUCAAAUUCAUUAUGUAUGUAUUAACAUAAAUAAUACAUUUAACAUUUAACUACACAUUGAUAAGAAAAUCUAAAAAUAAAACUCAACACUUGGAAGUUGGAACCACGAGAGCCAAUGAUCAAUGUAAUAAAACUCCGUUCAGAGAAAGAAAGUGAGAAACAGAGAUCCACGAAAAAACAAAUUCUUACCAAUGACAAAAUACUGAUAUCUUCUUGUUCUUGUUCUUGUCACUUCCACUACCGACAAUGAUCGAUCCCAACCCAAACAAACUCCCUCCCGGAAACACAUCCAGAAACGAAUUUACCUUAAUCCCUCCUCCAUUGCCGCCGUUACUGUAAUCUCCAUGGCUCGUCUUACUCAAUAGCGGUUUCUGAGAACUACAGUUUGAAGAAGAAGAAGGAGACGAAACCUCGAGCUUCAUAGUUUCUGUCUGUUUAUAAUUCGAACCGGUCGGGUUAUCCGAUAGCAAUGGCAACCCAAUUUCGGAAUCGAGACGUUCGCUUCUUUUCUUAAUCCCCCAACACGGAUUCACAGUGGGUCUCUCUUCAUCUUCUUCGACUUCUUCUAUUUCAUGAGCAUUUCUGAUUGGAUUCGUUUCCGGUCCGGGACGACACGGUUCAGAAGGAACGUGAAACGGCACCGUAUUGCGUAUGGCUCCCGUCGCCGUUAAUCCGAUUUCCAGAACCGGUUUAGUAUCUCCGAUUGGAUUCGUAUACAAACCGGUUCCAUCUUUCUCGGGUAUCUUUUUGAUUUCUGUGGGGAGUAUUUUUCCGUCGGAGAAAAACUCUUCGGCGGACCACGAGCUUUCACCGGAGAUUACGCCGCCGGGAAUGGAGAAAUCGAAGUUGAUGGUUGAAGGUUCCGAAUGAGUUCGUAAUGGACUUUGCUCGAUCGGUAUGGAAUCAUAGUGGCAAAAAUCUUGAGAAAAGGAGAGUCUUGGGCCGUGCUUGGCAUUUUCCGGCAUUGUUAUUAAUUUUCUUUUGAAAAUAUUGGAAACGAUUUGAUAGAGAAUGGGAUCAACAACAACUCCAUGUUAUAUUUGAGGAUUAUGUCGAGGUGAAUUAAAUGGAAUGUGGCUAUUUUCAAUGUUCGACAAAAGUUUUGUUAAUGUUUGAUUUCCUGUACAUAUCUUCGCAUUAUUUGAAAAAUGAUUUAGUUUGCUUGUCAUAUUUUUCCAUGAGUUUAUGAUAUUAUGCUUAUCGAUCAUUUUUAUUAAGUUUUAACUAAAUUAUUUAUUUAUAAAUAGUUUUAGUUGAAUUAUUAAUUUAUUAAUUUAAAUAAUAUAACUAUAUCAAUUUUUUUUAAUUAGAUAAUGAUUCUUCUUAUUUGUUAUGUUUGCUAUAAUUUUAGUUAAUUUCGUUUAUUUAUCACAUUUUUAAGUUUUAACUAAGUCAUUGAUUAUUAUUAAUUUUUAAUUGAAUCAAUAAUUUGUUAAUUUAAAUAAUAUAACUAUUUCAGACUUUAUAAUUAGACAUAUACAAUAUAAUCUAUUUAAAUUAAUAUUCUAUAAAUUAAUAUACACUAAAAAUCUCUAUAAAAUAAUAUAAUUUUAUAGUCUCAAAUUGAGUUUUUGGUUCAAUUAGUAUAUCGAUAAAUUAAUAAAAAAAAUUAUAGUUUUAGUGUAGUCUCAAUAUUAUUAAUUUAUAGAGGUUUCAGUGUACUUAUUUUGCAACUUUGAUGAGUUAGGACAAAUUCUUAUUAUUCUGUUUUAAAAUCAUAUUUGUUAGAUAAUCAACCAUUGUUCUAACUAAAAAUCUGGUUUUCCAUUGAAGGAAUAAGCAUAUACUUUCAAGAUAUCGUUUUAUUCGUGAAUGUAUGGAUAAUGGACAAAUCAAAGUGGAGAAUGUGUCGGGUGUUAAGCACAAGGCCGACAUCCUUACCAAACCAUCGAGGAUUAAGUUCAAGUAAAUGAGAAGAAUAAUUGGAGUUUGAUAAAUUGAUCUCCUUAAUUCAAGUCAGAAUUAAAAGUGUGAAUGUUGGAUAAUUGCAAUACUUGUGUAGCAAGUUAAACACAAAAAAUAAAAUGUGAAGUUUACUAUUUAUAUUAAGUUUGUGUUUCUAUAUUCCACAUGUAAAAGGGAAUAUGGAAACAUUGAGAUUAGGUUUGUUUUUUACUUUAAACUAGGUGAUUUUCCCGGGUAUAAAUAUUUCUAAAGUAAAUAUAUUAUAAUAAUUUAUUGCUACUAACUUUUAAUUUUAAACUAACUUAUAAUUUAUAUGCAUCAUUUAUAUUAAUAAUAUUAUAUUUCUUUAAUUAUACAUAUGAUUUUAUGUAGGUUAUAUCUAAUCGGUUUUGUUGUUUUUCAGUCGAUUUAGUUAUCAUUUGGAUGAAUUAGAUUGCAUAUAUGAAUUCAACUGUAAUAUUUUUUAUUCUAUAUAUUAAAAUUUUGAUUAAUUUUUUAUUUGCAUUUAGGUGGUUGUUAUCUUAGAUAUGUAAAUAUAUUUUAUUGUGUAGAUUAUAUUUUAAAAGAAAUAAUAUUUUUGUUUCUAAUAUCAAGAUUAUCUGUGUAAAUUGUAUUUAAUGAAAUCACAUUAUGUAGAGAUUUAUAAUUUUCAUCUAAGAAAAUAUAGAUAUAAAGAAAUUAUUUUAUUAGUUGAAAAUUAUAUUUUAUGUUAUUUAAAAAUAUUUUUUAAAUGUAAUAUAACUAUUUUGUGAACUUUUCUUUUUUUAAUAAAUCAGAUUCUAUAUACAUAUAUUUCCGUUUUUCAAUUCUUUUUUUUUAAAUUUAUAAAAAAAUUUCUUUUUUAUUAUAUGUGUAUAUUUUUCGGAAUUUUUUUAAAAGAAAACUAAAUAAAAUAAUAAAUAAUAGUAUUUUAAAUGUACGUUAAUUCAUUAAGGGUAUUAGUGUAAUCAGCCACCGUGAGAGUUAACGUGGGAGUAACACAUAGGAAAUUAACUUCUCAAAUAAUAUUAUAGAGAUAUAGGUUUCAUAGAAAAUUGUUACAUAAGAUAUAAAACAAAAUAAACAUUGAGGGCUUUAUUUUUGAUACAUUUCUAAAUUAUAAAAAAAAUUGUUCUUAUAAUUCUUUUUGUUUAUAGAGAUUUGAUAUUAAAGCAGAAAAGCUUCCCGGUUUAUUAUUCAACUUUUUUUUCAAAUUAUAAUAACUAUAUUAUUCGAUUACUCGAUUCUACUUUAUCCUUAAGUAAAAAUUAAAUAUAUGUGUUAUUUUAUCUUUGAAAUUAUUUUAUUUUCAUUCUAUUAUAAAAUGUAAAUAGAAUAAAACUAGAAAAAUUAUUUCAAAUUCGAAUAAAAAAUUAAUGGAUUUGGAAUUUGGAAAAGCUAUUUAGCCUACAGGCAGCUAAUCCACAAGAACCUCAGCACCUUUCUCCCAUGAACAAUCUAUGAGUCACCUUCGAUACAAACCGGUUUGACAAUCCCGGUUUCCUUCAAUCCUUCACCGUCUUCCAAACCAUAUAAUACGCUCCGGUUUGAUACAAUCUUAUUUGGUUUCAAUUUAUAUAAAGGGCAAUUAUCAAUAAUAGCACAUUUUGAAGUUUAUGUCUUAAAAAUAGGACUAGAAGGAGAAAGUCACAAAAAUGACAUUCAUUAAAGAGUAAAAUAUUCCUAAUACCAUUGGUUUAAAAUUAAAUAAACAAACAAAAAUAAAUAAAAAUAAAAAAAAUAAAAAUAAAAAAAAUGAAAAAAAAUUAUUUUUUUCAUAGUUUCAGAUUACGUGUUUUCAGAUUCGAAAUUUUUAUAAUUUUUUUUUGAAUUUUUUUUUUCGAAUUUUCUUUUAUUUUUUUUUUCAAUUUUUUUUUAUAAUUUAAAAAUAUUUUUUAAAACUGUUUUUAAAAUUUUUAUUUUUUAUUUUAGUAUUUAUUUUUUAUAAAAUUUUAAACCCUAAUUCCAAAACUCCACCCCUUAACUCUAAACCCUAAGGUUUGGAUUAAUUAACCCAAGGGGUAUAAAUGUAUAUUUACCUCUUUAAUGAAACCUAUUUUUGUGAUUUUGAAUCUUGAGUGCUACUUUGGGAACAAAAACUUGGUUUAGUGCUAUCCUAGUCUUUUUCUCUUAUAUAAAACCGAAAACCAGCAAAAAAAAAAACAAAUUGAAAUCUAGUUGUUUCGGCCACUUUUAAAAAGGCUUUAUGAAGGCCCAAUAGCAAAUUAUAUCCUCUCUCUCUCUCUCUCUCUCUCUAGAUCAUUGCUCGACGGAGAAGACGGGGCUUCUUCUUCGAUCACAAGUUACAGCGUCUCUUUAGAUUCUGAGAUCGAGCUCUUAGUAGACGGGUUGUGGAUUUAACAGCAUACUAACUCGUAAGUACCGCGUGAUGAUGUCGCCGAAGCAAAUCUCCGACGAUCGAGGAUCUUCACAUUUCCGGUAUCUUCGAUUUCAUUCUCUCUGUUUGAUCCUGUAGAAGACGAACUUAACGGAAUUAAAUUCACAUUGCGAUGAGAUGUGAACUGUAGCUAAGGUUGAAUCAGUGAUUAAGAUCGAAUCUUGUGAAUAUAUAGAGAAGCUCCCUUUGAAAAGAAGUUCAAGAUUGAAUAUUCUUGAUUAUAAUUUUUUUGUUUCUUUCUUUGUAAUUCAUACUCAUAGUCAUGUGUUUUCUCUCUUUAUGUGCAGGCAUACCCCAUUCCAGAUAAUCCAUGUCACUGGGAACUUCUUUAGGAUAUGGUCAGUCUAUUCUAUGUACCGCUACUUGAAUCAGACUGGAGCGCCUGUUGUUCUCUUUCUCUUCUGCUGCCUGCUGCCCUCAUCCUUCAUCUUCUUGAUCCUUCAGAAACCGUGGAAAGGAAGGGCCCUCUCCAAUCAGCAGGUUUAGAUUAACUUGUGAAAUGGGAGAGUUUAGACUAUAUUAUUCUGUUUCUCUGAGGCGUAUUUUAUUUCUUUCAGAUUGUACCUUCUCUUAUCAAUGGAGUCAUCACAGCUCUCUACUUCAUCUUGUGGGGAAAGGGUCUUAAGUCGUGUGGACCUCUUAGGUAUUCUAGAGUUAUUAAGCAUCCACGCUACUUUCAAUUCUCUACUUUUGUUAUAGGUUAUCUUAGGAUCCAUCAUAGAUUUUGGCUGCUGAAAUGUAGGAAAGUUGAGAUGUCCCUCUGAGAAAGAUUGUCAUACUUAAACAGUUGGAUUGUAUCCUUUCUUUCAGAAAUCUGCCAAUAUAAGCUUCAUCAUCUGUCAUUUGAUAAAAAAAAAAAUUUAUCUUCAUUGAAAAUGUGGUUCUCCUUGCUAAUUCACUUUGUAUAUUAUUGGCAGAGCGAUCUUGUCAGAGUACUCUGGUGCUGUUCUUGGAGUGCUUUCUGGAGUACUAUAUGGGCGGAGAGGCCACGUGUGGAAAAAGGUAUUCAGAAUUUAACAGCUGCCACAAAUAUAGCCCCUCUAGUCAGUGGAACCAGUUAACUAGCAUGGUUGACAUAGAAUUUAUCCGUAGUGUUAUGUUUUUUAUGCUUCAGUUCAAUUGUGUCGCUGAAUAACUAUAUAGCUUUGACAUGUGCAAUAGCUUUUACCAAUUUAUGAUGUUUCUUCUGGUUUUUCCAUGUACGUAUAUUGCUUGCAUUAUACACUUAACGAUAUGUAGUUGAUUGCAAAAUAGCAAUUUAGUGUUUAUAUAUCAACAAUUGAUGUUUAUAUGUCAGACGACUAGGACCAAAUUUGUCUCAUAUUUCGAAAUCAUGUCAGGUAGGUGGCCUUGUUGCAAUGCUGGUUGCUCUUUUUUUCUUGUCUCAAGGAUGGGCGACAUCAUCUCUCUCCCCAUUUUAUAUCCUUUUACGCAAGUUCCUUCUCUUUUAUGUACAUACUCUCCAUCUUGUUGCAUUUUUUACUUCCUGUUGGUUUGUUUAGCUUAACAAAAAAUUACCAUCGAAAGAUAGUAGUGACACCAAAGAGGAAGAAUUAGUAACAGAACAAGCACUAGGACUGAUGGGAAUGAUGAUACCCGUUGUUGCUGGAAUCUUAUCAGCAUUAAGGCGAGUCAUUGCAAGGCGUGUUUCUCUUAAGGUGCUUUUAUCUCAAAUUCUCUUCAUUCCUUCCACCCAGUGCCUUUGCGCAUAACCAAUUGUAUUCUUUUACAGAACCAGCAAAAGAAACGACUACAUGCGAUAACCAUUACUUCUGCAACCUGUUUUCUGUUUCCUUUGGCCAUGUGGGACCUUGUCACAGUAAGUGGUACUACUUGUUUUGCAGUGGAGUUUUCUUGUAUGGUUUACUAACAUCUUUACUUCAGGGAUCGUCUUCUGGCAAAGCUGUGGAGUUGCCAUUUUCUGCGUGGGCUUUCCUUGCCACCAUUGUUUUCGGGAUCAUUUUAAUAUUCUAUGUUGACAAUAUCGCAGAAGAGAGGUUUCCUUAAAAGCUUUGCCUCUUCUACUAGCCUUUUUACUCACGCAAACAGAAGUCUUUAUAUGUUUGUUUGUUUUGUAGAUUGCAUAUGGUGUUUUCUUCCCCGAGGCAUUUAAUGGUAGCAGGAGCAUGCAUAAUCGUCAUGGAGAUUGCUUACGAGAUGGAUUUUUCCCUUCCUGGUUUCAUUGUCUGUUGCUUAGUGUUAGGGUUUGGAAUAUACGAAGCAACAUCUCUAGAACGCAGCAAAAAGGACUCUUCGAUUAAAUCAGAAGAUGGACCUAAUGGAAUCCUUGGUAACGACUUUGAUACUUCUCCAGUUCUUCCCAUAUAGGCUAGUGCCGAUGUUAAUCUUUACCUGUUUUCCGGUUCUCACCAUACUAACGAGGUUACUUUUGAAAUGUUCUUGUCCUUGACGAUGUAAAUCUUUGUCUGUUUUUUUACUCUCAAUUCUUGUAUCUUUUUCAUUUUAUCUUUGUUUAGCGUAUACAAUUUUGUUUGGUUUUGAGUAGACAGAGAUACACCUUGGAUAAUUAACAUUCUGCUUCAUUUUGACGAAAAAAUUGGUAAAUAGUAAAAAAACAUUUAUACUAAUAUUUGUAAAAUUAAAAUUUCAUAUACUGGUUUCACGUUAAAUUAAAUUCAGUUGCAAAUAUAUUUUAAAAUUAGACUUGGUUAUGGUUUUUUUUUGUUAAAAUCAGCUUUGUCCUAAAAUUUUCUUGUACACAAUUCACUUGCUAAAAAUAAUGACCAGCAUAGUUAUGAAGCAAAGCAUUGAUGAACAAAGAACACUUCACCUUUCAGUGAGUCUCUUUCCUCUCUCAAUGCCCUUUUAGCUCACAUUUUCGUUGUUGUGGUCCUACUUGUUAUUACUACAGCUGUUAUGUACGUGUUGUGUUAUUGUUAUGUUGGUGCCUUAAUUUCAACUUUCUUUUUUAGUUUCACAUGUCGACAUUUUUCCUGUAAGAUAAGUCUAUUAUUUUCUGCAGACUUUUUGUUGACACUCUUCUUUGGCUUGACCCCUCCGUUCUACUUUCUCUGUGUUGUCCCUCUCUUGAACACGCUCUGUUUUUGUUCUCACUCACUAUGUUAUUGCCUUCACUCUCACGUUAUUUUCGCACUUGUGUAUAACCGAACACAAGCGCUCACACAGACUCUAGUUGCACAACCCACUCAUCUUUGACUUCUUAUUGUUGUUGCAUUGCUCCUUCUUGUGAUACGGUUUACAUAUCGGAAUUAGUAACCCAGUGAUGACCAAGAGAAAUACUGAUAAUAUUGAUAAGAAACUUGAGAGAAUUGCUAGAGAGUACUCUCACCUCUCCAUGAUCAUGAGUGAUCUAAUUUCUAGAUAACCCUGUCACUCAUUCUUACACUUUACACUUCUAUAUACAGUACUAGUUACUAUUAGAUUAGGGUAAAGACUUAUGACCUAACCCAUUAAUCUAAUUGCCACUAAAUGGGCCAGGUAACAUCUUGUUCCUCCGUUUCUUGCGCUUCAAGCUUCUUCUUCUUCUCACAGAUUCUUCUUUAUUCUUUGUAGGUUCUUCUCUACUACUUUUCUUUGUUUUCUUCUUUUGUAGAUUUUAAUCAAAGAUUCAAUUCCAACAGUUUUUCGGUCUUGUUUUGCUUGUACCUAAGCGACUCAAAACUUUUCUCCUCUUUUACUGCUCCCUAUCGUUUGAUUCACAUGGCAAAUGUUUCAUCUUUUCAACACUUCAAGUUCGUCUUGUUUGCUCAUCAUUACUUGAUAUUAUUAGAUAUUUUCUGUACAAUUGUAUAUACAAACAAACGCGUUUGUCUGAUCCCAAAUAUGGGUUUAGUUUUCUUCCCUUUUUCACGGUUCAUAACACCUGUAAAGUUUUGAAACUUCUCGUGUUGUUAAAGAGAAAAAGCAAGAUGAACACGACAAAUCGGAUGCUUAAAGAAGAAGAGAUAGAGUUAGGUUUAAUCCACAAUUCUCAAAAGGUGCGUUUAUUUAAUUAUUUUAAUUUAAAUUCAUCUUAAAAUGACCUGUUUUUAUUAGCUGUUCUGAGUCAUUCACACGCUGACUAUGGUGACUCUGAUUGGGUUACGGUCUAAAUGGGGAUUCACAAAGACUUUGAAAGAUGGGCAAGCAGAUUCAAAUUAUUUGUUGGUGAAGGUUUGAUAAAGAGAGUCUUAUUAAUACAUGAAUGGAAUUUACAUAGUUUCGCUGUGUGGGCAUGAAUUCACCGUUAUCCCUCCAGAAAUAUGCAAUGCUUGAACCGAAAUGUUUAUAAACUAAAUUUAAACUACUUUUCUUUUGGUUUUUAAAUUAAAAAUAUUUGAAAUGAUGCAAACAUGGAAGGAUAGAAAAAAUAUAGAGGAUGGUUUUUUUUCUUUUUAUAUGAAAUGCAAAUAAAGAAAACAAUUAAAAACACUUAUUUUUAAUGGUAUUUCUGUGUAUGGAAUGCAUAAGAAUUAGGGCAUCUCCAACCCUACUCCAUUUUUGACUCCAAACUCAAUUAUGGAGUAAAAUUUUCUCCAACCCCACUCCAUAUUCAACUCCAAAAUGGAGUAAUAGCUAGGGUUACUCCAUUUAUGGAGUAAUCUUACUCAUUACUCCAUUUUGGAGUUGAACUUUUUAUAUUUAUGAAAUGGUCCUUUUGAUUUUUAAUGUUUUUAUUUCAUACUUAAAAUAACAUAAUAACAUAAAAAAAUAUAAUACUCCACAAAAGAUUACUACUUUAUAGUUUACAGAAAAUAUGCAUAAACUCAUAAAAGUCAAAACUAAAAAUAAAAAAAUAUAAAAUAAAUAUAAUGUAAUAUAAAUAAGUAAUUAAAUAAUUAAUUCGUUAAAUUGUUUUCGAAACUACCAAAAGCGGUGAAGUAUUAUUCAAACAGAAUAGAUGAGUUUUUUAAUUUUGUGGGUCAAAAUUUUGAUUGAUAACAUUUGUACUUGUUGAACUUGAUAUAUGCACAAACAAACAAUAGGACCCAAUACAUAAUUCAAAUUACAAAACAAAACUUUAUUUUUUCUUUAUGUUCUUUUAAUGCAUAAAAAUAUUUUUGAAUUAGAAAAAUUGCAUAUGAUAAAAUCUGCACGAAUUGAAAUUGGAAGAUAAUCUCUAGUUGUAUUUUUAAUGAUAAAUAUUUAAUUUAAAUAAAAUAUAUUAUUAUAGAAAUUUUGUAAACAUAAAAUAGUUGGGUUAAUUGUUAAUUUUUUUUUAAGUUGAAGGUACUAAUAACAAUUAUCAACUAAAUGAAAAAAGAAUCAUUUUGUUUGGAGUAAAAAAUGGAGUAAUACAUUGGAGUAAAAUCCAACUCCAUUUUAGAGUUACACCAUUUUGGAGUAAAAUUUGGAGUAAUACAUUGGAGAUGCUCUUAGAAACAAAAGUUGGACAACUUAAUGCAAACAAGCUAUUGAUCUCUUAUUUAAUUUUCUAUGACCUAACACAAAAAUGACUUGCCUUACCUUCCCUUUUUCUCUAGUUUUCAAUUUAAGAUAAACAAGAACAAAAGCAGCUAGGUUUUUAUAGGUUUUUAAAAUGAAAGCAAAUGCAAAAGAAGGAAGCAAUGAUAGAGUUAACCAGAUUCCAGAGUCUUUGGCCUUUUGAUAGCAGUGGAGGAUAGCCUUUUUUGUCUUUAUGCUAUGGUUGACAUAUCAUUUAGUUUUAGAUAGCGUUUGUAUAUUUGGAAACGCUAUGAUAGAGUACUGUAUAUAAAAACGCUAUGAUAUCGUAUUUUAAUAGCACAUAAUUAAAAACACUAUAUUUGCAUUUUUGAAUCUCUAAACCCUAAACGAGGUUUCAACCCUAAAUUCUAAACACGAACUUUAAACUCUAAUAUUCUAACGUCAAAUCUUAAAUUUAACCUAAAAUAUUAAAUAUUAACUCAAAGUUAUAUAUUUUCAUAAAUAAAUCUCAAAUCUCUAAACCCUAAAGGCCUAAACCCUAAACCAUAUACUCAACCUCUAUUUUAAACUCAUAACUUAAAAUCUAACCCUAAAUAAAAAAAUUUCAAACUUAAAUCUGAAUCCUUUAGUUUUCUUAUCUUUCUUCUCAUUGGUCACUUUUUCAAUGACAAGGAUUACAAUUUUUAACCAUUGAUUAUUUUUGAUCUAAAGGCCUAAAAUCUCUCUCGUAGAUCUCAUCUCUUUCAUUCUUCUUCCUUUACAGGUUCACCAUCAGACUUAACAAUAUUCUCAAACAAAUCCGAUAACCCAACUCCACCCUCAGACCCAGCCAAACCUCUCCCUUUCCAACCAUUAGCGUCAGGAUCGAGACCCAGUCACCAGAUCUACCCCUCCUGUGUUACGAUUGGUGGGAGAUGUAGCUGUCGUCGUCGGCGUUGUUCUUACACAGAGCUUCGAUGUCGACCGUACAAGCAUCUUUGUCACAAAUCUGGAUUGGAGACAAGCUCAAAUAGUGACGAACCGGAAUGGAAGUGCGCCAGAGGUGAAGGAUGAGACAGCGGAUGCUGAGGCGGAAGCACGACUAACAGAGGCCGAGGCAGAGGCGGAAGCGCGAGUAACGGAGGCAGAGGCGGAGGUCAUGGAAGAACACGACAAAGAAGGUGGUGGUGCGGCGGGAUAGGUUUAGAUUAAUUUUGUUAUUAGGUUUAGUUUAUUAAUUUUGGUUUUGUUAUUAGGUUUAGUUUAUUAAAAUUGUAAAUCAUAUUUUUGUAACCCAGUUUAAUUAUAAAUAAAUUUAAAUAAUAAACAAAAUUUUUAUAUAGAAAUCAGUUUAAAGUUUUAAUUAUGUUCUUUUUAAAAAUAAUAGCUAAAAAUAAAUAAAUUUUAAAAUAAAUAAUUUUGGUGUAAAUAAUAGCAAAAAUAAAAUGCUAUUAAAAAAUAUUUAAUUGCAUACAAUAAAACGCUAUAAUAUAUAAUAAUAAGAUAGCAGUGUGAAAAACUGCUAUCUAUUGUGUCUGGCCUAUUAUGACGGGCGAUGAUACAACGCUUUAUAAACCGCUAUCGUAUCGUUAGAUAGCGUUUUUCAUCCGCUAAGAAAAGUUUUUUUUCUUAUAGUGAUACCAUAUGACACAAAAGCGGGAUGUGAUAUUGGUGGCCAAUGGUCGACUUGGUUAAUGCCGGUGGCAGAUGGUCGACUUGGUCGAUGGCCGGUGGUCGAUGGUGCGUGAGUGGUGUCUUGGAUGAAUCAAAGUAAACCUGAAAAGAAAAGAAAAGAAUAACAAAUGAAAUGAUGAAAAAUACUAAUAAACAGAGAAAAUAAAGAGAUAAGGAUGGAGAUGGUCGAAUGGAAGUAGAAGGAUGGUUGAAUGGUCGAUGGGAAACAAUCCAACUGAUUGUACACAGUGGCGGACGGAGAGAAGGAGCUACGGGGGGACACGUGCCCCAUCCACUUUUUAUAUUUCCUGAACAAUCAGCUUGAUAUUUGUACAAGUGGCCCCAACUCAAGAAAUGUGUAUAAGGAAAAAUUGUGUGUGCCCCCAAUUAUAUUUGAUCCUAGAUACACCCUUAAUUGUACAACUCAUUUUUAGACUGAAUCAGUGAAAGAGAUAGAAUCAGUGGAUACGGAAUGACUUGCUCAAUCAUUGGCACAAAAAGAAGACGUUGAAUCACACAACAUGUUGAGUUAGUGGGCUUCAAUAACAUCAAGCGAAUCACACACCUAAUACUAUUGAGAAGAAGAAUCAUCCACAGCCACCUAUCCAAGCUUAUUCAUUCACAGCGAGCUAUCUCCACGGUCACCCAUCCACGAUAAAUGGAGACAAGUGAACCUAUCACACAUCAACUUAUCCAUUCAACCGUUGAAAACAAUGACUUUGGAAGUUGUUCCUUCUCUCUUUACUCAAAAAACAUGCAUGUUGUCUUUAUUCAUUAUUACCUUUUGUCCAAAUCUAGAUUAGUUUAAAUAUGUGUUGUCACCAGAAAUUACAAGUUAAGGGAAUAAUAUUCUCCUUCUUUACUCUCUCUCUUACGAACAAUUUUCUACACUCAAAUCUAUCUCUCUCUUGUUCUUGGACUGUUCAUCCUAGUUACUUAUUUUCUUACAAAUACUACGGAAUAGCACAACACGAAGAAUUCACAACUUUGUGAAGAAAUUAAGAUGAUUUCUUAUUACUUUAAAAAUGAUCAAGGGUGAAUAAUAGAAUGAGAGUAGGCUGAGCUUAUAUAGGUCGUGGCUCAUUUCUCAAAAAAAUAAGGAAAAUAAGGAAACAAAUCAAUAAAUCUAAAAGCUACCGUUACGUGUGGUUUAAGGGAUAGUGCUGAAUGGGAUUCUGUAACUUCUUUAUAUUCUGGAAAGCUUUGGCAUAAACUGAUGAUGUUUGAGAACGUUCAGAUUCGUUGCAUGUUCCUUCAAGACUCCACUGAAGAAAAGGAAAGAGCCGUUGGAGCUUUUGGACCAAUAAUGUGCAUGAAUCCAAAUAUGCAAGGUCGGUCCAUGUGAAGUUCAAAGUAAUCACGUGUGUUUUGGAUGAUCUUCUAAUGUCUUUAGCAUUACUUGGUUCAUGUUGAAAGUCUCAUUGUCGCCAAAUCUUGGUUUGGAAUUGAUUGAACCAAUGUGUUGACCAUUUUUCUUAAAUAGCUCCGGGUUGUUUAAUUGGUGUUCAUUAAGGAUCAUCCUGAUCUAGUGUGUGAUGGUGCUGCUUAGGAUUUUGUAGAAUGCUUCUAAAAGCUGAAAAGGUCGCAUUGUUGCCAAAAUUGAUUUUGGUUUGAUGUCAAAUCCGAAUCUUCCACACAAGGCAAGUGUGGAAAUUUUUUGAACCAUCUGAAUAAAUGGAGAAUAUUUUGAGAUUUUUGUGAGUGUUUCUCUUGAUAUUGGACUUGUUGGAUUGCAAGAGAACCAUAUUGUAGACCGUGAUUGGAUUUUGUGCUGUAUGAUUCAUGGUUGGGUCUGUUACUUCUUCAAUAGGCUAAUACUGGCAGAUGGACAUGUUAAGAAUUAUAAAUACCAUAUCUUUCUGGAUCAUGCAGCUUUUAAGAUAAUUUCACUUGGCUUUGAAACAUUAUUGAGUACAGAAUUCAGGACAAUUGACUUAUGCAUGUAUGUCUUGGUCAGUCCGUUGGUUGUUUGAGUGGAUGUCUGAUCGACCUCUGAUUGAGCUAAUGUUCUGAAUAUGUCCUUACUUAGACUAACUGUUAGAAAUCUUCCAUCAUUUAUAUGGUAUUUGCAUUCAUUGUAAAAAACAAAAAGAAUUACGGUCAGUUCCAUUUGCAUGGGCCAACUUGUUUUAUCUCCAAUACUUUAUAUAUUUUUAUUCUAACUUUAACUGGAUUAUUUAAAAUUCAUUUGAUAUAUUUGAACUAUUUCUAUCGAAAAACAAUAUAUUUUAUGUCACAAAACAAUCUUAAAUAGUCUUACAACAAUAUAUUAUAAAUUUGAACGACUAUGCCUAUUCAAUUAGAUUUAAGAGUGCAGAACCAAAGGCAAACCAAAAAUUAUGUAUAUUUGAAUGCCUAAACGAAAUUUUUGUUUUGGUUUACUUUGAAUUUUUAGCUUGUUUUCCUACAAAAAAUUUCUGGUUCAAAUUUGCAACCCAGAAAUUUUUUAUUUAAGUAUCAUUUAAAAAAAAUACAUUUGUUCAAAAAUUAAGAAAACUGUAGAAGGAUAUUUUACUCUUAUCCACAUGCCUAUCUUAUAUAUGAGUGCGUCCACAAAUUUGCUAUCACAAUUCACACAUUUCAAGUGGGCUAAUCCUUACCCUCCACUGAUUAACUAUGUGUGGGAGUGAGAUGUACAUGCAUACGUUUUUUUAGGAAAUCGCUUUGAUAUAUUAUAUAUAAAGUAGAACAUUUAGUUUUUUUUUUGAGACACCAAGUUUUUUUUUUUGGAAACACUAGUAGAAUAUUUAGUUAACUCUUGAAAACAAUUAUAACAAAAAUAUAAGAAUAGAGUUCCAUAUCUAUGUAAUAUGUCUUAUUUCCAAUGAUAAUAUACAAAUAAUAUGUAUAUAGGUCUCAUAAACUCCACGUUAGAAGUGUGAAACAUCAAAUGAUGAGAUUGAAAUCUUGUUGAAGCCUUACAAAUUUAUGGUAAAUAUGUAUGCGAGUGUGACGACCAUAUGAUACAAUGAUUCUUAUGUGAAUCUUUAGUGAACUAAUUAACUGCAUGUAACAAUGUUUUCUUCGUUCUAGAAAAGAUUACCAUGCAUAGCGUUACUUAUUCCGUUUUGUAAAGUUAGUUUGACUGUUUCUUACUCUUAUACCAGUAAAAAUUGAUAAUAACCAUCGGUAACCAAGAAGAAAAUAUGCAAUAUAGAGAUUACAUGUUCAUAAAUCAGACACUUGACAAUCCGAUAUAACAUGCCUCAGAAACAAAAAGCCAAAGAAAACAGACAAAUGGAAAUGAAAUGAGUAGAUAUUAUUUAUGAAAUGUCUUACAACGCGAAUUAAGCACCGGUGAAGCUUGGUGGUUUGUAGGCGAUGAAACUGAUGCACUGGACUUGACGGUUGUUGUCGAAUCCAAUGAUCCUGAUGAAGGCGUUAGGGUACUCCGUUUUGCACUCUUGGACUUCCUUCAACACUUGAGCAGAGUCGGUGCAUCCGAACAAGGGAAGCUUCCACAUUGUCCAGUAACGGCCAUCGUAGUAUCCGGGGGUGCUUCCGUGCUCACGGUACACAAAUCCAUGCUACACACACAUGAGAAUUCCAAUCAAAAUCAGGAUUGAGAUUAUGUGAUAAAAGAUGUUUAGAUCCAAAAAAAACUUCUAUUUUUAUUACCUCCAACUCGAAUUCAACACAAGGAAUCCACUUGUUGCGGAGAAGGUAGUCGACUUCCUUACCCAAUUCAACUUCGGUAAGGUCAGGAAGGUAAGAGAGGGUCUCAAACUUCUUCUUUCCAACUGGUGGCCACACCUACGAAACGUAUUUCCAAUUAAUGAAUAUUAGUUCACUUUUGUAUAUACUGUUUAACGAUUCUAGGUAUCUAAAUGUACUUUUGAAUAGGAUUCUGUUCGAAUCUACCAGUUGCGUGUAAUAAAAGACAAGCCUAGCUCUAGACUCUCUAGUGACAUUUACCUUCAUGCAGCUAACUCUUCCUCCGUUGCUAACGAUGGAGGUAAUGUCAUUGUUGGCCUUGCGGGUGACUGGGAAUGCAGAGGAAGACUUCAAGCCGGUGAAUGGAGCGACCAUGGUGGCUUGAGCCGGUGAGGUAACCACAGCUGCGGAGGAGAGCAUAGAGGAAGCCAUUACUACUUCUUCUUCUUCUUCUUUUUUCUUAACUUACUUGUCUGUCUAUUGCUUCGGUUAUCUAUAUAUAGUGAGAAGCGCAAGAGGUAUAAAGCCCUAAUGAUCGAAGGAUCAAAAUUUCAUGAUAUCGUCGUUAACUGCCACAGGAUUAAAGAAAGGUGUAGAAAUAACAUUAUCUUAUCUUAUCUUGUAAGAAAACGUAUGAAUGUGUAUGGUUACUCGUCUCAACUUGAGCCAAUGCUUUUGGCUCCUUCCUAUUAAGAGAGGACAAUUCUGACGCAUGAUCUACAUUUCAAUGUUCGCGGACCUUCUAUUUAUAUGAAUUAGUUUCGCUUAAUUUGAUUAGGUUCAUUAUUAAAUUCACAAUUGAAAUUACUAUACGAAAUGUACUUGAAUUAUACAUGUAUGUCGUACUAAUUAACUUAUGAGUAAUGAGACUACUGUAAUGGUCAUGUCCAUAUUCAAACGAACAAAAACAAAAGAAUAGUGGGUCCGAUUGGUAAGUUAAAAGUAAAACCGUAUAAAAACUGUUACUUUUUUUUUUUGACACGAAAAACAAACUGUUACUUAAUAGUUAAAAACUAUAAACUAAAUCAAUAAAAGUGGUACCAAAACACUAAAUGUAACGUUUUUAGGUAAUGCUUUGUGCAUCUCUCUGUGAUGGGUAACUUCCUGCGGAUUCAGGUAGUUCGGUUCGACUAAAAUCUUGUUGAACAUAAAAAAAAUUCAGUUCAGUUUGGUAUUUGGGUAGUUUGGUUUUUAAAAUUUUACCGAAACUAACUAAAGUUUUUGGUUCUGAUUAUAUUUCGGUUAAAAAUUUGGGUAAAAUUGGUUAAUUCGGUUAAUUCUGUUAGUUUGGUUAAUUCGGUCCAAUGUUUUGGUUUGGUUAAUUCUGUUAGUUCGGUUCAAAAUUUUGAGUAAUUUUAGGUAGCUUGGUUACUUCGAUUCAAAAUUUUGGUUAGCUAGGUUAGUUCGGAUUGAAAUUUGGGAACAAAAUUUUUUUUGAAACCGAUUACCGAACAGAACGAGCCAAAAACCAUUUUCUUAUAAACAGGCUGAACCAAACAUGCUGAACAGAACCGAACUUCUCAAUUAAAUGAAAUUUCGGAUGCCUUAAUCGGAAUGAUACAAGAUUACCAAUUAUAUUUAGCUCUGGUCAGAUAGUGUUGUAUUUUUUAUGAUUUUUUUAAUGAAUGUAAAAGUUAUUAAUCCAAAAAAUCAUCCUUACAUUGAAAGCAAUGUUUUAUAAGAUUAAGUUUCGGUUAAAUGUAAGAUUAGUUUUUAGAUUUUUGAGUUACUUUUUGAUGUAUAAUGUAUUACAUUUGAGUUACAAUUUUGAGGGAUUCCUUUGGUAAAAUUGACAAAUCAAGUGGUAAUUCAACAUCAAGAAAAAUACGAUGUGUUAAGAUUUGAGUUAGUAUGUUUUUUUGUUUUUCAACUAAAACCCUACGUUCAUUUUUGGCUAUAUUAAACAUUUUGUUUUCUAAAUUAAUUUAAUAGUUAUAUAUGUUUACACUCGCCGGAUGAGAGAGAGAGAGAGAGAGAGAGAGAGAGAGAGAGAGAGAGAAGGAAGUAGUUGAUAUAUAUAUAUGUAUCUUAUUUUCAAUGUCUACCAGUAGUGUGUACAAAAGAUCUCAUAAAGUCCACGUAAGAAGUGUAAACUAUCAAAUGAUGACCAUUUUAUGAAUGAAUUUAAUCUAUAUUAAAUAUACAUAAACCCGUAUAUGAUACUAUUGUGAAUGUGAUGAUAAAAAGAUAAAAUGAUCGUUAUUUGAAUCUUUGAUGACCUAACUAACUUCAUCUGGAGAGAGAGAGAGAGAGAGAGAGAGAUGAGGGAGAGAAGAAGGCAAAUAUGUUUUUAUAUAAAACUUUUAUGACGGAAAAGGGUCGUUAGAAUUCCGUCGAAAUAUUUUGGUAUUUGGCAGUUCACAAAAAUUUUGGUUGUUCCUUUUCCCAAGUACAUUAAAAUUCCGAUGAAAUUACGAUGACCUUAUAUUUUUCGUCGAACUUUGUGUUAAUUGGUCAACUGACCAAGUCGGAAACAAGAAUAUGCUAUAUUCGUCAGAAGUUUUUCAGAAAAAUACUUUCAAAAUUCUGACGAAUAUAGAAUAUUCUCUGCAUGCUUUUCAAUUGGUUGAAAAAUAGAUCCAUCAGAAUUUUGUCGGUAUAUUCCAAUUAAAAAGAGGGUUGGGGUUUCAAAACAAUUGAAAUUUGACCCACAAUAAACUUUAUAACUUUUUGAUAACUUAGAAGGAGUUAUCUGCAUGUUUAAGUAUAUAAGUGUUUAUACGAGAUCAUAUUACAAAUAAUUGAUAUUGUAAGUUGGAUUCUCGAAAUAUGUUUUUUAAGUAUAUAAAUGCUUAUGAGAGAUAAUACAUAUCCGCGGAUAUAUUUGUAGAGGAUUUUAUAACUUGUAAAAAUGGAAUGCUUUUUAACUCACAUCCUAUUAUACACUUAAUAUGUGUUUUUUUGACCUCAUAGGUAUCCGGUUUUACAUUAAUAUUAACUAAAUCAUAUCGGAAACAUUUAUUCGCUGGAAUUCCAUCGGAAUAUUCCGACAAAAUUCCGACGACAUUGGUAUAUUCCGUUGGUAUAAUUCCGAUGGAAAUGAAACCCCAUACCGAAACACCAAAAUAAGUGUUUUCGUUGGAAUUUCGUUUGAAUAUACCGACAGAAUACCGACGAAAUAAAGAAAUUUUUGAAUAUUAAAUAAUUUUGGAAUACAUUGUAAAUUUCUUAAGGCCAACAACCAAAAAAAUACAAAUAUUUUAUUCAACUCCAACAACCAAUACAUAAAAAAACUACACAAUUGAAAGUUAAAUAUAUGAUUACAGAUUUUCUAAAUAUGUUAAUCUACCCAUAAUCCGAAGAAUAAUCAGACGGACAUGAAUCCGAAUCUUCGUCAAACUCUCCAACCUCAGCAUCUGACUUGAAGUGUACAACAGCAUCAUUUCCAAACUCGGUAAAAUCGCAACAAGUUAAAAAUUUCUAAUCUUCAACUAGACUUACGCUGAUUCUAGAGUUUGGUUGCAAUGUGUCAUGAUCAGAACUUCCAAAUAUAAUCUUGAUUAUUGAAGUUUUGAACACUUAUGGUAUUCUUUGUUUUAUCCUAGAGUUUGAAACUGAAUACAACAUAGAGUAAGGAGUGAACUCUGGACGAGUGGCUGACUCAUUUGGUGCUAAAAAGACAAUAUUUCAAGUACUUUGAUAGUUUGUGUUCUUCUUGUUUAAGUCUUCAAGUAUUUUCUGUUUCUGGUGUGAUUUGAAAACUUUGUUUCAUGGAGCUAUGUUUGUUUCAUUUUCUGUGUUGGAAAAUUAUGUUUUAUUUCCUGGCUUGUUUUGCUUUGACAUUUUGAUUAAUGAGUCUGGUUUCAUUUAACAUUUCAUUUUCUAGAGUUUUUUUAUUUUAUUUUGGUUAAUCAGAUGUCGUUUGGGUAACAAGUCUAGUUUCAGUUUUUAGUUAAAUAGGGUAAUAUUUAACCGAACCAAAUUUUACCCAUUUUUGGGUUAUAUAUGGUUAGUUUCAUCAAAAAAUUUAACCGAUCCGAAACUGAACAAUACAUCGACCAAACACUAUUUGGAUACAUUUUUCAAAUAACCAAACUACUCAGAACCAACCUGAUUACCCAAAAUGUCAGGCCUAUCAGAAACAUGUUUUGAUACCAAUUGAAAGUGUGAAUGAGGCUAGAGUAAAGUGCCGAAAACAUUAUUUUCCAGUUUACUAGAAUAAAAACAAAUACAACUAAUUUGUAAACCCGUAAAUCAAGUACAAUCCUCCUAAAAUGCCGUUGUUUUCUAUUGCAAGAACUCAUUAGGGUAACCUAAUUGUAAUCUAAAAAUCCCCAAGAGCCUAGAAUUCAAUUCUAGAAUUCUCUCAAAGUUUGUUAACACCUAGCGGACAGCAAUGACACCAAACGCUUGAUCACACAAGCACACAAAUCUCUAUCGGUUUUCUUAUUCUCCAAAGUCCAUUAUUCUUUAUAAGGCUCAUGCUCCUUGUAUAGAAUACCUAAACCUGCAUCACAAGUUCUUCCCAGAAAAUUUUCCUUAUUUUUAAAUUAUAUUUCUUUUUUCCUUUUUUUUCCUGCAAACAAACUUCUAUUUUACUUAAAGUAAAUAUUCAGUUGUUAAAAGGUCUUGUUUAUGUAGAUGUUCUAGUUCACAUUUGCAACGCAGCAAUGUUUUACUUAACUACAAUUAAGAAUUAAGAAAUAUAUAUAUAUGUGUGUAUCUCUUAUAUAUUAAAAGAAAAACAUUACAACAUUUGAGGUAUACACAUAUCAUCACCAUAAUAAGUUUCAGAAUCCUAAAAAAACAGAUUGGUUCAUCUAAAUAUAUAAUAAGUUUUUUAUUAAAUUAAUCAUAAUUCAUCAUUAAUAUUCAUCAUUCUUUCCUUAAAUAAAAAUUACAAAAUUUUCUAAUGUGGCUAAAGUAUAUAUGAAAAUUAAUAAUACAGAUUUAAUAAAAAUCAUUGUAUCAUCUAUCAUAUUUGUUUAAUUUCAAAUUAUUAAAAUAAAUUAAACGACCACAUUAACCAUAUAAUAAAAAUUUAGAUUUUUCUGUAUAUGUUAUAUAUUUUUUUUAAAACGACCAUCAAUUAUUAAAACUGUCAAAACUCUCACAUUCAAAUUAUUGUGAUCCAUUGUUUAAGAUUUUUCCUAUGAUAAGAUACAAAUGCUUACAAAAUAAUUUAAUUAAAAAAUCUGAUUUAAUAAAUAUUAAGAUUAAAAAAUAUAUAUAUUAAUAUCUUUUAAAUUAAACUAUAUAACAUAUAGAAUACAUAAAUAUUUUAAUUUUGAAAUUUGUUUUGAAUUUUUUUUUCUUGAUAAAUAUUUGAACAACUAUUGACAAAUUAAUAUUUAAACUUAAAAUAUUUCAUUGAUUUUUUUAAAAAAUAUAUAAAUUAAUAAAAUUAUUAAUUUCAGAGUGAAAAUUUUGUUAUCAACGAUUUAAAGUUUUUGGUUAUAAAAAUAUACAAAUGAUCAAAAAACCUUAUGAGUAAAAACAUCAUUUAAUAGAUAUCAAUAUUAAAAAUAAAUUAUAUAUAUAUAUAUAUAUAUGUUAUUAUCAUUUUUUUUGGACAUUGAUACUGGUGAAAAAAAGGGCAGAGCGAGUGAAAAAAAAAAGCAGAGUCGUCGUCUUUUCACCUUCUCCGGCCGCGGCCUCUCGCCGUUGGUUCCGUGAGAAGGUGGUUGCAUGUUUCUUCUAGUUUUAUUCUCUUUUUAGUUUUCGAUGGUCUCAAAUCUGAAUAGAAGCUUCAUGUCUUCGGAUUGAAGUGAAGAGAUUCAGAUCUGGACGCAACAGACAUCGAUCUUGUCAGAUCUAUGGCCUGUGGUGGUUGGCUAGUGGUUACCGGCUGUAUGGAGAAGAAUCGUGUUAAGUAAGGCUUGGGUGGCCUUGCUGUGGUGUGGAGGCGCGUAGAAGGCGCGUGCUGAGCCCUUUCAAAGUCCAGUGGCGAGUUUAAGUUGGAAUUGGAGGAGGUCAGUGGAGUACAGGCGUAGAGGAGGAGGAGGAGGCGCAGUCUACAGCAACGGUUAUCUAUUAGCUAACAGUCCGGUUUGUUUCUUGUAUGAAUGGGUUUGAGUCUCGUCUAGAUGUUUGUAGUCAUCUGCCUUUAUGGUCUGUGUCUUCUAGUUUAUGUGUUGUUUUCUAUAUUUUAAUCUUUGGCUCCAGAUAGUAUUGUUUACUAUGCUGGCUACUGGCUCCGGAAGAAUCUUUGUCUUGCCGGCUUAAUGUAACCUUUGUUCAAGUUUCAAUAUUAAUCCAACAGAUGACAAAAAAAAAUGUUAUUAUCAUUUAAAAAUUGAAUUAUAUAUCAUAUAAAAUAGAAAGUGAUUGUUUUGGUUAAUAUAAUUUAUUAUACCAGUUUAAUUAUAUACAUAAUAGUUAAUGAAUUUUUAUUUAUUCUUUAUUAUUUCUUAAAAGGUAAAAGAACAUAUAAUACAUAAUAUAUAUAUUAUAAUGUUCAUCUUCCGCAAGGCGCAGAUUUUCACUUAGUAUUUGUUAAAUAUUAUGAUAAAUUCUUAUCCACAUGCCCUAUCUUAUGUAUGCACACCGUCCACAAAUGUGUCCAUCAAAGAUUUCAAGUGGACCAUCCUUUCCCCCAGUGGUUAACAAUGUGUGUGGGUAUUAUAGAAAAGUAGAAAAUUUAUUAUCUUUUUCCUUCAAAAGAAUUAACAAAAAUAAGAACAAAGAUAUCUAGGAAGUAGUUUAUAUAUAUAUAUAAUACAUGUAUCUUAUUUUCAAUGUACCAGUAGUGUGUACAAAAGAUCUCAUAAAGUCCACGUAAUAAGUGUUAAAUAUCAAAUGAUGACUAUUUUAUGAAUGAAUUGUAAUCUAUAUUAAAUAUACAUAAACCCGUAUAUGAUACUAUUGUGAAUGUGACGAUAAAAAGAUAAAAUGAUUGUUAUUUGAAUCUUUGAUGACCUAACUAACUUCAUCUGAAAUUAUAUUCCUAGGUACUGCUGUUUUCCUAUUCUACAAAAUAUACCACUAACAUUAUCUAACCUGUUUUGUUAAGUUAUUUUGACUGUUUUCCUAUCCCAAUAAGAGUUGAAAACCUAAUAGCCAUCGGAAAGUAACCAAGACGAAGAAGCAAUAUAGAGAUUACAUGUUCACAAUCACACAUUUGACAAUCCGAUAUAGAAUGUCUGAGAAACAGAAAACCAAAGGGAAAAGAAACAGACAAUUCGAAAUGAAAUGAGCAGAGAUUAUUAUGUGAAUGUCAUAGCAAAUUAAGCACCGGUGAAGCUUGGUGGUUUGUAGGCGAUGAAACUGAUGCACUGAACUUGACGGUUGUUGUCAAAUCCGAUGAUCCUGAUGAAAGCGUUAGGGUACUCCGUUUUGCAUUCUUGGACUUCCUUCAACACUUGAGCAGAGUCAGUGCAUCCGAACAAGGGAAGCUUCCACAUUGUCCAGUAACGUCCAUCAUAGUAUCCGGGUGUGCUUCCGUGCUCACGGUACACAAAUCCAUGCUAUACAAACAUGAGAGUACCAUUCAUAAUAAGAAUUCACAUGGUCUAAUAAAGGAUGUUUAGAUCCAAAAAUUAUUUUUUCUUUAUUACCUCCAACUCGAAUUCAACACAAGGAAUCCACUUGUUGCGGAGAAGGUAGUCGACUUCCUUACCCAAUUCAACUUCGGUAAGGUCAGGAAGGUAAGAGAGGGUCUCAAACUUCUUCUUUCCAACUGGUGGCCACACCUACAAAUUAAAUCACAUUUCCAGUUGGUGAAUACUAAGUCACGUUUGUAUAUAUUGUUUUGGACAUUAAUUGAUCCUAGGUACGUUAUAUACAGUUUUCAAUGGGAUUCAUGUUCGAAUGCACCAGUUACGUGUAAUAAAGGACAGGCCUGCAAUUAUUCUAGAUGGCCACACCUACAAAUUAAAUCACAUUUCCAGUUGGUGAAUACUAAGUCAAGUUUGUAUAUAUUGUUUUGGACAUUUAUUGAUCCAAGGUACGUUAUAUACAUUUUUCAAUGGGAUUCAUGUUCGAAUGCACCAGUUGCGUGUAAUAAAGGACAUGCCUGCAAUUAUUCUAGUGAUAUUUACCUUCAUGCAGCUAACUCUUCCUCCGUUGCUUGCAAUGGAAGUAAUGUCGUUGUUUGCUUUGCGGGUGACUGGGAAUGCAGCGGAUGACUUCAAGCCGGUGAAUGGAGCGACCAUGGUGGCUUGAGCCGGUGAGGUAACCACAGCAGCGGAGGAAAGCAUAGAGGAAGCCAUUACUACUUCUUCUUCUUCUUCUUUUCUCUUAACUUACUUGUUUGUCUAUCGCUUUGGUUAUCUAUAUAUAACGAGAACCGCAAGAGGAAAAGGCCCUAAUAACCAGAGGGUCCAGAUUUCAUGAUAACGUCGUUAACUGCCACAUGAUUAAAGAAAGGUGUUGAGACCCUUAUCGAUACUGACCACUAUGUUAAGGCCACGUGGCAGAAAUGCUAUUAUCUUAUCUUGCAUUAAAAUGUAUGAAUGUGUAUAUAUGGUUACUGAUUUACUGCUGGCCUCCACUUGUUUAUGAGUAUAAAUUACUAAAACUGUUAAAAGUUUCACAUUCAAAUUUUGUGAUCUAUGAUUUAAAACUUUUGUUAUGACAAUGAUACAAAUAAUUAAAAAUAAUAUAAGUUGAAAGUCUCAUUUAAUAAGUAUCAAAAAUAAAAGAUAUAUAAAUAUAUGUAUCAUUUUAAAUUAAACUAUAUGCCACAUAUAAAAAUACAUAAAUAUUUUAAUUUUGAAAUUUACUUUGAACAUUUUUUUGAUAAAAAAUUGAAAAACUAUUGACAACUUAAUUUUUUAAAAUAUUAUAAAUUACUUAAACCAUUAAUCCCACAGUGAAAAUUUUGUUAUCACUAAUUUAGACUUUUUUCUAUAACAUAUACAAAUGAUAGAAAAAAAUUGAGCAAAAAGCAUCAUUAAUAAAUAUUAAUAUUAAAAUAUACCAUAUAUAUGUUACUAUCAUUUAAAUUUAAAUAUAUCAUAUCAAAUAGAAAAAAUAUUUUUUCGAUUUAUAAAAUUUAUUUAUAUGUUCACACCAAUUUAAUUAUAUAAGUAGUAGAUAAUUAAUUUUUAAUUAUUCAAUAUAUAUUUAUUAUUUCAUAAUAUGUUAUAAACAUAUAAUAUAUAAAAUCAUUUAUAUAUAUAAUGUUCAUCCCGCGCAAGACGCGGGUCUUAACCUAGUUUAGUAUUAUAACUAUUACAAGUUAUGAGCUACUUAGUUGUGAGCAAGGAGUACACUGUUAAUGCUAACGUCGAUAAACGAAGAAGGGAAACAAUACUAUAUAGUGGGUCCCAUUGGUAACUGAACACGGUAGUUAAACUGUAAGUCUGUCUGGGUUUAAAAAAGCGUGCUAAGGCGUCGCUAAGGCGUCAGGCGACCUUGGUUGGGAGGGUCACCGCCUCGAGGAGGUGAAGCAAGGCGAAUUCGAGUAAGCGUUGCUUCAACCUCGCUUCAAGCCACAUUUCACGCCUCACGCCUUAUCACACUUCAUCGCUUAUGCAACUAAAGGUAAGAUUCCUAUCACAAGUUAUUAACAUAUAAUAUUCACUUUCUUUUAAUGGUUUCCAAAACUUCAAUUCACUUCAAACUAUUUAGUGUCUUUACAUUUUUGAAUAGAUAUUUUCAUGCGUGAAUCUUAUCCAAGUCUAUAUUCUUUUUUUCUGGUUCUAUAAAUCUUUUGUUUCUAAAGCUUUGAAGACUUAGGUUUAUGUUUAGUUUCUUUUAAUUAUUUGUUGGUUUGAUUCUCUUUUUUUGAAGACUUUAUUGGAUCAAUUCUCUGUUUUAUUCUCUGUUUAUGAAUACUUAUUAACUCAAGUCUGUAACCAUGAAUUUAACACGGCCAUAUGAAAUAUGAUAAUCAAUGUUUUAGAUCCAGAGUAAAAGAUGAAUUCAUAAACCAUGCUAUUUAUUGUCUACCCACUUUUUAAACUUAGGUAUUAGCAGCAAUACCUUCUUACCCAAUGGUAUUCCCUAUUUUAUGUGUAUAUAUCCAGAAAUAGAUAGAACACUUACUUAUAGAUAAUUUUGUAUAUCUGAAAAGCGUAAAAUGAUAAAUUGUUCAGAGGAAUUAACGGGCAUUUCGUAGACACUAUUAGGCAUGCGGAAAUAGAAGACCAAGCUUGCUUUGAGGCUAAUAUCAAAAAAAGGUGAAGGAACCUGAGGAACGACAUAGUCCAUCAUCUAUCCGAGCCAUAAGCUUACAAGAAAUUUGUAUGCUUGAUAAAUCAUGGACUCAUGAAUAACUCUUUAUUGGUUUUGGAUGGGCUUAGACAAAUUCGUCAUGACAAAUUCAACUUUUAGGAGCUAAAAAUCAGACGAGAAGUGUGUUACCGAUAUAUUUAGAGCUUAUGGCCAUUUCUUGGGCUACCGAAUGCAUGUUACAAAUGUCGAUGUGCCAACACUUUAGUACAUAUUGCAAGGACCUCGUCUCGAUGAUACAAAAUCUAACUUUUCAAUGGAGAUAAAAGAACUUUCAAGAUUGAUGAGUAGAUUUUUGUAGAUUUAUCAAUUGUUUAUCACCCUUGUUCUAAAAAAAAAUAAGCAGACUCAUUAGCUAAGAUAGCAAAAACAUAUCACAGAGAUUUGUAUUUUAUUGGUUCUUAUAUUUUGCUAUAGUUACCUAGACCACCUUAAAUUUAAGUACUAGAUCAGCCGUUUGAAAUUAAAAAUGGUUGUUAAACUGUUAAAAUGAAAAAAGUGAAUUGGUACAAAAAAAAAACUAAUAGAGUAGAAACUCUAUAAAUUAAUACUCAAUAAAUUAAUAGACACGGGUAAAUUAAUAUUUUUUCAAUCCCGAAUUGAACUGAUUCAAAAUACGAUACAAAUCAAUAGAGUAAUAAGAUAAUAUUUUUAAAAAAAAAAUCUUAUGUAAAAAUAUGGUCCUAUUAAAAGCAUAAAUUUAUAUAUAUAUAUAUAUAUAUAUAUAUAUAUAUAUAUUCAUAUAAAUAAAAACAAAAGAUAAUAUUGUUUAAUUUAUAUUAACAAUAGAAUUCAUCUCUAUUUUUUCUUAACCUUCAAUAUAUUUUUGAUAAUAUUUAGUAAAAUAUAUCUAAAAACAUUUAGACAAUAGAAAAACAAUAGAACAAUAGAAAAAUCAAUUUUCUAAAAUUUAAUUAAUAUAUAAACAGUAAGAUCUAGAAAGGAAAGUUUUAUAAAUCAAUAACUCUACAUAUUAAUAACUCUAUAAAAUAAUAAAAUAUCCUAAUAUUAACAUUAUUAAUUUAUGGAGUUUUUCUUGUAUCAUGAGAUACACGACAUACUAAAUAUAUUAUGGUCUUAUAUAAUAUUUAUCAUUUAAAUAUAUACAGUAUAUGUUUUUACUAAAUAUAUAAUAAUAAAAUAGUUAUAGUAUAUUUUAUAAUAAUUUUAGAUCUUUAAUAUAUAAAUAUAAUUACUUUUCACAUUUUUCAUACUAACCACAAACAUUAAUACUCUCACCAAUAUGAAUAACCUGACACACUAAAAUAACCAUUUAUUUGGUAAAUUCUCAACAACAAAAAACUAUUAUAGCUUACUCCAUCACGUCUAAGGUUUGUCUGGUUCAAACGCAGCGGUUGCGGAAGUUUGCAAAUGCGGGUGGUUACGGUUUUUAGCGGUUUUAAGAGAUUUGUACGAUUGGUUCUGCGGUUAGAAAUUUGUGCGUUUGCGGGAUAGUUAUGAUUGGUUAAUUACCAAAUGCAGCAGCGGUUAAAUAAUAAAUUAACAAUAUUUACAUUUUAUAUAAUUAUAAAAAUAUCAAAAAUCAUAACAUUAUAUUAAAUAUAAAAAUUAUAUUUAGAAAGUUAUAGUUUUAAAUUUUAAAUAAAAUAUAAUAGAUAUAUUUUAGUAUUUUUAUAAUUCCAAUUUAAAAUAUUUAUUGAAUAUUUUUAUUUUGUAUUUAUAUUGUUUUAAAAAAAAACAUUUCCUCCCGUAACUGCCUGCAACCGCAGCUGGAACCAGCUUUUAAACUUAUGAGGUUUAAAAUGGUUUGAAGCGGUUUAUAGCGGUUUGAGUAAGCUUCAUAAAUUAAUAUAUAUAUAUAUAUAUAUAUAUAUUCAUAUAAAUAAAAACAAAAGAUAAUAUUGUUUAAUUUAUAUUAACAAUAGAAUUCAUCUCUAUUUUUUCUUAACCUUCAAUAUAUUUUUGAUAAUAUUUAGUAAAAUAUAUCUAAAAACAUUUAGACAAUAGAAAAACAAUAGAACAAUAGAAAAAUCAAUUUUCUAAAAUUUAAUUAAUAUAUAAACAGUAAGAUCUAGAAAGGAAAGUUUUAUAAAUCAAUAACUCUACAUAUUAAUAACUCUAUAAAAUAAUAAAAUAUCCUAAUAUUAACAUUAUUAAUUUAUGGAGUUUUUCUUGUAUCAUGAGAUACACGACAUACUAAAUAUAUUAUGGUCUUAUAUAAUAUUUAUCAUUUAAAUAUAUACAGUAUAUGUUUUUACUAAAUAUAUAAUAAUAAAAUAGUUAUAGUAUAUUUUAUAAUAAUUUUAGAUCUUUAAUAUAUAAAUAUAAUUACUUUUCACAUUUUUCAUACUAACCACAAACAUUAAUACUCUCACCAAUAUGAAUAACCUGACACACUAAAAUAACCAUUUAUUUGGUAAAUUCUCAACAACAAAAAACUAUUAUAGCUUACUCCAUCACGUCUAAGGUUUGUCUGGUUCAAACGCAGCGGUUGCGGAAGUUUGCAAAUGCGGGUGGUUACGGUUUUUAGCGGUUUUAAGAGAUUUGUACGAUUGGUUCUGCGGUUAGAAAUUUGUGCGUUUGCGGGAUAGUUAUGAUUGGUUAAUUACCAAAUGCAGCAGCGGUUAAAUAAUAAAUUAACAAUAUUUACAUUUUAUAUAAUUAUAAAAAUAUCAAAAAUCAUAACAUUAUAUUAAAUAUAAAAAUUAUAUUUAGAAAGUUAUAGUUUUAAAUUUUAAAUAAAAUAUAAUAGAUAUAUUUUAGUAUUUUUAUAAUUCCAAUUUAAAAUAUUUAUUGAAUAUUUUUAUUUUGUAUUUAUAUUGUUUUAAAAAAAAACAUUUCCUCCCGUAACUGCCUGCAACCGCAGCUGGAACCAGCUUUUAAACUUAUGAGGUUUAAAAUGGUUUGAAGCGGUUUAUAGCGGUUUGAGUAAUUAUUUCAAAACGCCAACAACCGCUACCAACCGCAAAAAUUUGCAUUUACGGGUGGUACUGGGGAAACCGGUCAUACUCUGGCCCAGUUUACAAGACCUGGGGAAACUACUUAUCAUGUUAUCUUAGAACUUCUCCCAACACUACAAAUGUGGUUCUUUCGAUCGAACCAUAUUUUUAACGCUGAUUUAUUAUGAUAUUACAAUUAUAAAAAAAAGUUACAUAAAUGAUUUUACAGCCGACAAUACUAUAUGUUUUAUGAGAAUCUAUGUCUAAGUGUUUUACCUGAGUCGUUUUAUAAAAAUUCACACAUGGUCGAGUUUACUGCAAAAUUGUGAAGAUCUCUUUUAAACCUUUUUUUCUUAGUUGUUUAAUAUAUUAUUCUUUCGGGAAUUGAAUUUAGAUCUACUGGUGUAAAAGCGUUAAUGAAUCAUUAGUCAAACUAGUGGACUAAGAGGCUUCCACCGGUAAAACCAUCUUGUCCUACUUUUUAUAAAUUUGUAGAGUUAAUACCAAUAUGAAUUACCUUUUUAAAGAGAAAAUUAAUAUUAAUUAGCUGUGUGAUGAGAGAUACUUUUAUUUAUAUAUAAUUUAAUUUAUUUCAAAUGCAUGCAAUAAUAAACUAUUCAAAAGUAUGUGUAGUUUGGCUUUUUUAGCUUAGGUUUUCAUUUUUUUCUUAACAAAUAUAUUAUAUUUAUGAAAAAUAGUGUUUACGGUGGAGAUUUGUUUUUCCUAUUUUCUGAGAGUCAAAAACAUGGAACCGCUAUAUUUGGAAAAAUAUAUUAUAUACUAUUUCUAUUGGUUUUCCUAGGAUUUUGAUGUAGCCGCUCUAUACCUUUUUGAAGAAAAUGUUUUUUGAAAUUUCUUCAGAACAAGUAUAAAUACUGAUAAGGUGAUUGACGCAAUGUCAUUGCAGGAGAAGGGAAUUCCUUUUAACCUACCAGACAAUGCCCUAAUGCAGAGCAAAAGGUACAAGAUCUGUAUCAUGGGUAAAACCUUAAAUCCAGAGAGCCAGAAGAUUAGUCAUCUGAUUAUGGACAAGCCAAGGAAGUGACGAGUUUAUGACAGAGUAAGAGAGAUUGGAAGUUCACUAGGAGGAAUUGAGCUUCAUACUGUUUUUUUUUUCCUCAGGGUUGAGAAUGCUUAAUGUAGGUGGCCUAUAUGAUCUUCUACUUCCAGAAAGUUGACGAGCAUAUCGUUCAUGUAAACUUCUAUGGUCUGUCUGGUCUGUUGUGCAAACAACAUGUUUAUCUGUUUACAAUAAGUGGAGCAGGCAUUCUUUAAGCGAAAAGUCAUGACCUUGCAGUAAUAGAUUGCCUUCUGACAUCAUGAAGAAAGUUUUCUCAUGAUCGUCUGGAUACUUGAGUAUUUAGUUUUAUCGGGAAAAAGCGUCUAUGAAGAUAUCAGCUAGUAUUAUAUUGUUACGUCAUACUGUUGCGUCGACUAUGUGAGACAAAUAUUGCUUGUAAUACUUUUUCAUAUAUGUUUUAUUAUAUAUAGUUUUGUAAUUCUUAUUAACUUCAAACAAUCUUAAGGACUAUAAUUGCAAAUAAUUUCUUUUUUAAGAAAAUAUUUUUUUUAUCAUUGGUGAAAGUCACCCUUAAACCUCAAAUUUAAAGUUAACUAAACUUUAAAAGUAACAUUGCUCUUAGAAAUGCUCUAAAAGUAACAUUGCUCUUAGAAAUGCUCUUAGUCAAAUAGAGUAAGUUUUGGGUUUGAAAGUUUGGAAAAACUUAGGGUAUCCUAUUGGUAAUUACUCAUUUAUUAACUUCUGUAACAGUAACCAAUUGAGGCAAGGACAGAAAAACCAGAAGAAAUGAGCAUUGCGUUGUCAUCGAUCUCAUGCUUCGUCUUCUAAAGAAUAAUAUUUUAUGUUAACUUGACGAUUGUUUCUUUUCCUCUAUAUCUAAUUAUCUACUGUAGUUAAACAAUACGGCCAAUCUCUUUAAUUGACUUGAUCUAAUAAAUGAUUCUAGCCUUUAACUUGAGGCAAUCUAAAUAGAAUAAGAAAAACCAGAAGAAAUGAGCAUUGCGUCUUCAUUCUUCUCAUUCUUUGCCUUGCAGACAAAACACGACCUCUAUAUGAACGGAAUAUGCCUGGCUUAAUUGCUUCAUUCAACCUUCAAAGAUUAUCUAUAAAUGUGCAAGUAUUUAUGUCUGGUGUAUAACAGUUACUUCUUCGAAUCAUGUCAUUGAGUGUGCCAAUAAGACGGACCGAUGGUGCACCCAAUGGCGCAUUCAGGACUUUUGGCCUCUACUGGUGCUACCACUGUCAUCGUACGGUCAGGAUUGCAUCAUCAAACCCAUCAGAGAUCGCGUGCCCUCGAUGCUUAAGGCAAUUCGUUGUGGAGAUCGAGAUGAGACGGCCUCGGGUGACUUUCACUCAUGCCGCUCCACCUUUAGAUGCUUCUCCUGAGACACGCCUUCUCGAAGCUCUGUCCCUCAUGUUUGAUCCUCCAAUCAUAGGUAGAUUCGGUGAAGACCCAUUUCUCAGGGCAAGGUCCAGAAACGUGGAACACGAACCAACAACACCCCUACCGCACCAUCGUCGACGCCACAGCCUUGACAAUAAUAACGAUGGCAGUUUACCUCCACCAAGAAGAACAUAUGUAAUACUACGGCCCACUGAUCCAACCAGUCCACUUGGAAACAGGAUUGAGCCAGCACCACGCAGGCGUAUGAACCCACAUGAUUUCUUUACUGGAGGAUCAGGUUUAGAACAGCUGAUCGAACAGCUAACGCAAGACGAUAGGCCUGGACCACCACCUGCACCAGAACCCACCAUCGACGCCCUACCGACGGUAACGAUCACAUCAAAACAUCUAACCAACGACACGUCCCAAUGCACGGUGUGCAUGGAGGACUUCGUUCCUGGCGGGGAAGCUACCGAACUACCAUGUAAACAUAUAUACCAUAAAAACUGUAUAACUCCAUGGCUAAGGCUUCACAAUUCAUGCCCAAUCUGCCGCCGUGAUCUGCCUCCUCCGGUCAACAACACCGUUACAGAUUCUCAGGAAAGGAGCGAUUCUACUAGAGAAGAGAUACCUGAAAGAAGGCGCCCUAGAUGGAUGCAGUUCUGGAACAUUGGGCCUUUUAGAGCAAGGUAUCAGAGGGUUAGUCCAGAAGAAACAGCGCACAGGAAUACUCGAGGUAACAGGAGCUAAAAAAAAAAAAACUGAAUAUUUCAGGGGAAACAAAAAAAAAGUGUAUCAUUUGCUAAGAACAUAUGUAUAGAAGCUGUCCGAAAAAUAAUAAUAAUAAUAAUAAACUCUGGCUAACGUUUCACCUUUCAUGCUAGGGGUAACAGAACUAUUUAAAUGAGAAAGACAACUAAACUUAUAUCUCUGAUUCUUCCUGCAGCUCAGUUGCAGUGGCGUCACUGUAAUAUCCUAUAGCUUCUUGGACUCGUCCAUUACCCAGAGGAAAGAAAAUGCAGUGAGCAAUUGAGGAAAUGUAGAACAUAACACUAAAACAUAUAUUAAUGACUGGUUUUUAAAUGCACAGAAGCUUGCUAGAGAUUUCACACAUGGCAUGUCCCAUCUGUUAUCUGCAAAUUCAAAGGAAUAAUACCAAAUAACAACCACUACUUUGGAUUCCAAAGUAACAAGUUCCAAUCAGAAUAUAAAAUUCAACAAACAUAAUACGCAAAUUUCGCAUCGCUGCAAAAACUAGCUUAUAGGAGAGUAGGAAACCCAAAUAAAAGUUGAGUAGAUUCAACAAAAAGAGAUGACUCUAUUUGCAGUAGCGGUCGGCCUUCUUCUUGACCCGAUCGUCGAGAGCCUCCGCCACCGAAUCGAAGUUCGAUUUAGGAACGUAACCGAACUUCUUCGCCUCCACGGGGAAAAGCUCAUCGUACUUCCUCUUCUUCGCGGCGUCGAUUGAAUAGAUAUCGUUGUCUUUACCAUCUGCUGCGGCGGAGGAAGUGGCCGGACCGUCGUCGGGAGUCAUCUUUUCAACAUUGGGGGCGGCGCCGUCGUCGAGCUUAUCCUUGUUCUUCUUCUUCUUCUUUGGCUUCUUCUUUUUGAUGGUGGCUAGAUCGCCUCCUUUAAACGCUAACCUUCCACCCUUCGCCCUCUCGUAAGGAUCCGACAUCGCUUAGAUUCGGCACCGCUAUUCUCUCUCUCUCUCUCUCUACGGAGUUUUUUCUUUGUUAACUAAAAGCAGAAGGCCGCCCUUGUUUUAUAUUUUGUUCAGAGCCGCGGCUCUUAUUAAUUAUUAUCACUAGGGAUAUAUAGGAUAUCCGAAUCCAGAUCCAGCAAACAUUAACCCAGAGGCCCGAACCCAUGUUUGGAUACUUGCUAGACAUUCCUCCUUUGUUUGGGCUGGGUUUAGCCCUAAUAAAAGAAAAACGCAGAUUAUAUAAACUAACCGACGAUUUCUUUAGUACAUUUUUAAAACUCUAUAAAUUAAUAUUCCCUCCAUCUCAAAAAGAUAAAUAUUUUUUAAAAAAAUAUUUCAGUUAGUACAUUUUUUUAUAUUUUCAAUGCGUAAAUUAAUUGUAAAUUGUAAAUUGUAAAUUGUAAACUUCAAAAAACAAAAUUGUGUUUACUAAAGUUUUAUUGGUUACAAGUUGUGGGGAAUAAUUAAUUACAGAAAUUAAUAUAUUGGUAAUUUAAAUCUGAUAUGUUUUCUUAACAAGUGUGAAAAUAUUAAAAUAUACAUCUUUCUGAAACAUAAUACUAGAUAAGUUAAUAAAUUUUACCAGUUUUGAGUUACAUCAAUGUAAAAUAUAACACAAUUCAGUAAGAUAAUAAGAAAAUAUUUUUUAAGAAACUUUAUAUAAAUAUAUGGUCCUAAGAAAAACAAAAAUGAUAUUGUAUAGUUUUUUAUUCCCAAAGAAGUUUAUAUGUAAUUUUUCUUAUUUUUUCUAAAUAUAUUGAUGUUAUUUUAUCAUUUUGCACGUAAAAUCUAUUCAUAUUUAUUAUAUCUAUUUUAAUACACUAAAUAAUCGAAUAAGAACAACUCAAAAAUGGUAUAUAUAAAAUUUAGUCAAUAUAUUUAAAUUCUAGUGUUGACAAGUCAUACUAGAAUCAUUUAAUUAAUUAUUUACAUUAAUCAAUCAAAUAUUAAUAUAUUUUUGUUAGAGAAAUAAAUAAUAUUCAUAGAAAGUAUUAAUUAUAAAUAAGAAUAUAAAUAAUAAAUUAAUUUUAACUAUAAAUUUGAAUUUUGUUUUUAGUUAUGACAAAAUAUGUUGAGAAAAAAUCUAAUAAAAUCCUACUGAAAUUUCAAAAAUAUUUUUUAGAAAAUAGUGCAUUAAUUAAUUCUGUAAUUAGUAAUAUAAUAUUAUUAUAAAUUAAUAUUAAUUAAUUUUUAAUAUAAAAAUCUAUGCUAUUUGAUAAAUUAUAAUUGUAGAUUAUAUUAUCUUAAAAUAGAAUUACUAUAUAAAUUAAAUAUGACAAAAUUCUGUUAAAAUUGGUAAAUCAACAGAAUUCACCAAUUUAACAGAAUUGUUUUAACUCCACUGCCUGCCAUAACUGUCUUAUUUCGAAAAUGAUUUGAAUUUUUUAGAGAAUAUAUAAGGAAAUCUCCAAUCUUAUCAUCAUGCUUAUCUUAGGUAUGGUGCGUCCACAAACGCGUCUAUCAUAGAAUUCAAGUGUGUCAACUGUCAUCCUCUCUUCAGGGAUUAACUAUCCGUGUGAGUGAGAGAUUUACAUGCAUACGUUUUUUCUAGAAAAUCACUUUGAUAAGUGGAAAGUUUCGUUAACUUUUCAAAACAAUUAUAACAUCCAUAUGCCUCCGAAAAAGAAGAAAAAAACUCGUAAUCUCCUCCGGGGCUCUUCGAAGAUGGCCCGUCUCCAAGGAGCGUUGAAACCCUCCACUUCGGUCCGGUCGUUACAACAGUCGUCUCUCGCCGGCGCUUCAAGCGCUGAUGCUGUAAUUGCUGCUUCGGUGGCACCCACGACUGAGGUUUCGCCGUCGACCCCUGAGGUCUCUGUAGAUCUGAGUUUGGGUCACCUACCACUACCGCUAGCUCCUGUUCUUGAGUUUGGCAAUUCAUCACCUCUCACGCCAUGUGAGCUUGACGUUACCCCUACAGUAUCGGAGGAGGUAACUCCUGACGCUACAAUAGAGGUUUCCCUUCCAAUCCAGGAAGUGGUUAGUAGAGACAUCCCUCAUGGAGCCCUGCAGAAGGCUGCUACCCUAGGGGAGUACUCUGGAACUAAGAGCUACGCCAGUUUAGUCAAGGACUNNNNNNNNNNNNNNNNNNNNNNNNNNNNNNNNNNNNNNNNNNNNNNNNNNNNNNNNNNNNNNNNNNNNNNNNNNNNNNNNNNNNNNNNNNNNNNNNNNNNUCCCCGCUCCCUCUCUCCCCGCUCUCUCUCUCUCCCCGCUCUCUCUCUCCCCGCUCUCUCUCCUCUCUCUCUCUCCCCUCUCUCUCUCUCCUCUCUGCUCUCUCUCUAUCUCUCUCUAUCUAUAUAUAUAUAUAUAUAAUAUGAUAAAAAUAUAUAUACAAAAUUACUCUAAAAAAAUCUAUAAAAAAAAAGGAAAAAACGAAGAGAUUUGGUAAAACUUUCAUAGUUCCUAAUCGGCAAAAGAAGAAGAUGCCUGGGAAUGAUCGUCGACCUCUUGUUGUCUCUGGCAACAAGCUCUUAACACCUGAAUCACAGAUCUUAGAAAUCAGACAAUGAUUUUCGCUAAACAAAAAUCAGAUCUGAAUAUAGAGACUUUUACUUCUUCAGCAGCGUGGAGGACGGCGGCCAUGUAAACCGGGAGCUCCACCACCAAGUCUUUGAGCCUUUCUUCAGGAAACGAGUGAUUGGGCUCUGAUCGAUUUCGAAACCGGUUUGGUCUCUGUGCCACCGGCUGGUUCUUCCUCUGAAACCAUUCUUCACUAUUUCCGGCGGUGAAGAGAUUACAACAGAGAGAGAGAGAGAGAGAGAGAGAGUGGAAGGAGGUUUGUAUUUUGACAUUAGCGGUCUUCUUCGGACAUGGAUGUAAUCGGAGAAGAAAGAAGGUUUGUUGUCUGAUUAUAGAUAGUGUUUUUGAGUUUGGUUUGGUUUGUUGUCUGAUUUAAAGUGUUUUUGAGUUGGUGUGUUGUAAUAUUUAUAGAGAAGCUAGCGACUUUCGUAACGGCUAUAUUUCUCUUAAAGGUUUGAGUCGGGUCUCGAUCGCCACAAAACGCGUGCGUUUUCUCCUAACGGUAAUAAUGUUGGAAUCGAACCGGUCUUGCAACCACCACCUAAACCGGUCUUCUUUAACGACUCUCCAGGCCCAAAUUCAAAGCCUUUGGCCCAACAAGUUAGAUACAGCCAUUGGGAGGCGGUGGAGGCUACAGACUAUACCAACAAUGAACUUGGGGGAGGAGUAAAGAUUCGAACUUUUUUCCUCUUUCUCCACAUCUUUGGAAAGAAACAGAGAAUGGAUCCAAUAGAGGAGGAGGAGAAGAAGGUGAGAGAGAGAAUCAGAAACAAAGUCAACCAAGUCAGUUCUGUCUCGCAGUCUCUUCUCUCUCCAUUACAAGACCACAUCAACUUCACCCUUCAGGUUACUUUUUAACUCUUUCUUUGUCGGAACAAAGUUAGUUUUCACAUACCCUUUUACUCUGUUUUUCUCCCCUGUAGUUGCUAAACGGUUAAAGUUAGAUUCUUUGUGUAUAUUUUGUUAGUUCUGAGAUUAUGUAAAAAGUGUGUUUUUUUGGGAUUGGUGCAGAAAGCUUACUUCAAAUGUGCGUACGAGUGCUUUGAUAGGACAAGAACACACGCUGAGAUUAGCCAAUGCGCAGAGACUUGCAGUGCUCCCAUCACAAACGCUCAGAAUCAUUUUGAUAAUGAGAUGUCUGUGUUCCAAGUAAAUCUCUUAUAUUCAUUCUAAUAAUUGCAUAAGGAUUAGUGAUUGAAAGUCUGAAACUUUCAAUGAAGAUAGUGUUGGUUGUUGUCUCUUGUUGAUAAUCACUUAACUGAUGAAUGUAGGAGAUGUUGAAUAGAUCACUUGUGGCUUGUCAAGAUAAGUUUGAGGCUGCGAAGCUCCAGAGGACGAGGAAUGAAGCUGUAGUUGGUUUGGAGCAGUGCGUGAACCAAACCGUUGACGACGCUGUGAAGACGCUGCCUAGUCUCGUGUCAAAGAUGAAGAAGGCUUUGUCUGUAUCAGACUGAGAAGCUCUGCAGAUUCUAUUAUUUUUAUCGUGACCAAGAAAGACUUUCCGAUUCUAUUAUUUUUAUCUGUUAUUGAUAUUUUUGAACUCAACUCGGCCAAAAUGCAAUACCAACUUCUUCAGAUUCUUUUUAUAUCUAGCAAAGAAAUGAGAUUAUUGUUGAGACAAAUGAGUCCAGGUUAAACUAUUCUCGACGAAUCCAAACUGUAUGGCUGUUGCUGAAUAAUUGUCAAGUGAGACAAUGAUGAGCGAGAUUGCGGUGCGGCCUGUCUCAUCCCAUUCAUCUUCUCUCAAAUAACUCGGGUCGCCAAGCGGUCCCAUUCUCAUCCUCCCCAUGUAUCUGAACUAAGGCCUUUAAGAAAAAAAGAUGUUAGAGAGGAGAUAUAUAAAUAGGGUAAACUUUGUGGAGAUUAAACAAGGUUCCGAUGAGUUUUUUUUGUGUGGGAAGCAAGCAAAUAAAAGUCAAACUGGAUUUAAAUAAGCCUGGAGAAUUGUGCUUAAAAUGACUCUUCCUUUGGAACUAGAACACUGUUACAGUUUCCUAUGUAGGUCUGGUAUGUAAUAAACACAACUUUUAGUGUCUUUCUUGGUCUGUAUAAACGAGCCAAGUUCUUGGGAAUUGAGAUUAAGAAAAAAUAAUAAACAAAGGGUUCCCAUUGUGCCCGUGAGGCUCAAGUCUUGAGUAUGUAACUUUGUAUCAAUUUCAAUCAGCUUUUGGUCUUCAGUUUGUCCUAUUACACCAUGCCAAGAUAACUUGCAGUGCAAGGUGCUGUGUUGGUGACAACAUAUGUAUGUAUUGAUUUGAAUAAUAUGUUCUCCUACUAAAAGAUUUAGUUCACAACUGAUGUAUGUAUUCUAAGAUUGAUUUCUCUUUAUAGAUGUCAUUCUAACUUCAUAAUUGAUAAGAAUAAAACUAGUAUUCUCAACUAUAUAUUGUGCCUUGCCACAAUAUGAAGCUUCUGAUUCUAUCACAAAUGCACAGAACUAUUUCAAUAACGAGGUGUUUGUGUUUCAAAUCAGUCUAUAUGCUACGUUUAGAGUUAAUAAAAAAGUAAAUUUGAAAACUUAAAUGAAUACUGAAAUAUUAGUGAUUGAUGUUUGAAACUUUGGUUUUAAACGAGUUUAUGAAGUUACCAUGUGUUGUCUCUUGGAUAAUUGAUAUAAGAAUAAUUGCUUAGUUUAAUUACUACAUAUCGGUAGACCAUAUUCAAGUUUUUGAAUUUUUUUACUUAAAACAUGUAGGAGAGGUUGAAUAAAUCUGUACAUUAGCGGUCUUCUUCGGACAUGGAUGUAAUCGGAGAAGAAAGAAGGUUUGUUGUCUGAUUAUAGAUAGUGUUUUUGAGUUUGGUUUGGUUUGUUGUCUGAUUUAAAGUGUUUUUGAGUUGGUGUGUUGUAAUAUUUAUAGAGAAGCUAGCGACUUUCGUAACGGCUAUAUUUCUCUUAAAGGUUUGAGUCGGGUCUCGAUCGCCACAAAACGCGUGCGUUUUCUCCUAACGGUAAUAAUGUUGGAAUCGAACCGGUCUUGCAACCACCACCUAAACCGGUCUUCUUUAACGACUCUCCAGGCCCAAAUUCAAAGCCUUUGGCCCAACAAGUUAGAUACAGCCAUUGGGAGGCGGUGGAGGCUACAGACUAUACCAACAAUGAACUUGGGGGAGGAGUAAAGAUUCGAACUUUUUUCCUCUUUCUCCACAUCUUUGGAAAGAAACAGAGAAUGGAUCCAAUAGAGGAGGAGGAGAAGAAGGUGAGAGAGAGAAUCAGAAACAAAGUCAACCAAGUCAGUUCUGUCUCGCAGUCUCUUCUCUCUCCAUUACAAGACCACAUCAACUUCACCCUUCAGGUUACUUUUUAACUCUUUCUUUGUCGGAACAAAGUUAGUUUUCACAUACCCUUUUACUCUGUUUUUCUCCCCUGUAGUUGCUAAACGGUUAAAGUUAGAUUCUUUGUGUAUAUUUUGUUAGUUCUGAGAUUAUGUAAAAAGUGUGUUUUUUUGGGAUUGGUGCAGAAAGCUUACUUCAAAUGUGCGUACGAGUGCUUUGAUAGGACAAGAACACACGCUGAGAUUAGCCAAUGCGCAGAGACUUGCAGUGCUCCCAUCACAAACGCUCAGAAUCAUUUUGAUAAUGAGAUGUCUGUGUUCCAAGUAAAUCUCUUAUAUUCAUUCUAAUAAUUGCAUAAGGAUUAGUGAUUGAAAGUCUGAAACUUUCAAUGAAGAUAGUGUUGGUUGUUGUCUCUUGUUGAUAAUCACUUAACUGAUGAAUGUAGGAGAUGUUGAAUAGAUCACUUGUGGCUUGUCAAGAUAAGUUUGAGGCUGCGAAGCUCCAGAGGACGAGGAAUGAAGCUGUAGUUGGUUUGGAGCAGUGUGUGAACCAAACCGUUGACGACGCUGUGAAGACGCUGCCUAGUCUCGUGUCAAAGAUGAAGAAGGCUUUGUCUGUAUCAGACUGAGAAGCUCUGCAGAUUCUACUAUUAUUUUUAUCGUGACCAAGAAAGACUUUCUGAUUCUAUUAUUGAUAUUUUUGAACUCAACUCGGCCACAAUGCAAUAUCAACUUCUUCAGAUUAUUUUUAUUUCAGCUCUUAUUAAACUCUUGAAACACAAUACAUCAUAAAAUUCAUAUCUAGCAAAGAAAUGAGAUUAUUGUUGAGACAAAUGAGUCCAGGUUAAACUAGAGUACUAAAAAAAUCUCACUACUCCUCAUAUUUAUCCUAUUCACACCACGUAAGAUGUAUCUCGCAUAGAAAUUAAUUGAGACCAAACGAUAAGCAUCAUAAUAUCCAAAGAAGCCAUCAAAUUCAUUGCGAUCAAGUACGUAGCUUGUAGUUCAAAGCACAGGAACAAAAACUUACGUGGUGUCUCAUGAGAAUCAAGCAUAGCAAAAGUCUGAAAUUACAUUGAAGAAACCUCAAGUCAUGCAUGAGCUAAGGAUGGGUCACUUACUCUUUGCUUUUGCGAGAAUAUCAUUUUACAAUUCCAUGCAUAAGUCUAAGAGGUUUUAAAGAAGCAAGUCAAGGUGCAUGGUUAUAAGCAUAUGCCGUAGUGAACAAUCAUUCAACCAAAACAAUUAGGUUAAACUGAAAACUGAUUUUUAUUAAAAAAAUGAAAAAGAUGAAAAACUCAUCCAUUAAAGUACGUAGCUUGUAGUUCAAAGCACAGGAACAAAAACUCAACAGUACCAAACGUCUUAGCAUGAAAGCAAACUAAAAAUAUUAAUCAAAGGUUAAUAAGGAACUGAAUAGCUUUAUUAAUCUUGGAGAGUAUACGGUCUUUGAGUUUGGACUUACAACGUCGGCUAGGCUUGACAGGAAAACCGUCGACAAUCUUCGGGGUUUGGUAAUGAAGUCUCGUGGUUGUAUGAUCCAGUGGUUCCAAAGGAAUGAGCUGGUGAUCAUAGGUAGCUCCAAACCUGGUUCUAGGGACUGCGUCAAUGCUGCUUCUAUUGUGAGAGACAUACAUGCCGAUUGAUCUAAGAUAGCAAUAUUUUUUCUCGGCGAAAGACCCAAAUAAACCACCAAACUCACUACGAUCACGUACCCCCACAUCAAUUUCUCUCUUGCAGUCUUUAAGAUGCUCAAAUUUCUUACAAAACGGUCCAUGCUUCCUCUUGUUGGUGUGAAAUGUCAAAGACGUGAUUCUAUGUUGAUAAUGGACUCCACUCAACGCUGUCACAUAUUCAUCGUGUUCCAGUCUCACCUGUAUAUAAGUUGCUUUAACUUCGUCAGAAUACAAAAAAAAAUCUGCGUAUUGUUAACAAGAUCCUACUAAAACUUACUCUUUUGAUGUGUUGACCACCGGAGUAACCGUGCUUUUGAGACUCGACAUGAGCUCCUUCAUGAAAAUAUAUAAACUGGAGAGAUUGUAUGCCAUAGUCGUCGAAAGUAACAUAUAUAUUAGAGAUCAUGUUUUUUCCCAUCUCGUCCCAACUCCUAUCGGUACUAAGACGAGUUGACCCCAUUGGUUCCAGUUUGAACAUCUCUGAAUACCUUUUUGUUUGAUAGUGGUAAAAUAAAUUGUUCUUGUGGGGGGGGGAUACAUAUUUAUAUACUUAUAGGUAAAAAGGCUUACAUAAUUUCUAUAAGAAAACUUCCCAAAUAAAAAAAAAAUGUAUAAAAAACUUCAGAAGAGUAAGUUUACUAAAUUUAAGAUCUAAACCAAAAAUGUAAUCUAAGUCAUUUCCUAAUCUCUUCUUGUUCAACUUUUUAAUUUAUUGUAAUGUAUUUUUUUUCGCUUUUUAUUCGUACCUUCCUCUUUACUUUUGAUUACAUAUAUUCGAAAGUAUUUUUAAUUUUCCUUUUUUCUGCGAGGUUCUUUGCAAACAAGCCAAUACGCCGAUUCUUUAGAAGAUUUGUGGGGAGCAAGCAAAGAAAAAGGUCUAAGUAAAUUCAAGAAUUAACCCUCGAGAGACUCUUCUGUUUAUGUAAAAAAAAAAAAAAAUCCAUAAAGAGAGUUUGUGAAACAAGAAAACUCUAUUAAGGGAAUCAUAUAAAAGAGUCAAGUAGAAAUCUAACUAAUAGCCAUGUCAUGAUCUGGAUUAUUGGGGUUUUACGAGUGAAUCUGCUUGCUAGCUCAGUAACCAUGCAGUACACCUUGUUCUAAAAAUUGGUCUAGUGAGCGUUUAUGCGUCUGCUAGGCCUAGGCAAAUCAUUCAUAACCAAAACGAUUUUUGAAAAAUGCUUUUAACAUCUUGAGUAAUAUACUAAUAUGUCAUAUCAUAUGCAUAUGGGUCAAAAACAACACAAAAGAUAAAAAAAUAAAACCCUUUUAAUUAGCUGAGAGUUAAGAAUUAAAAAGACAACAUUAAGACGACUUCCCUCCAGUAAAACUAAGAGUAAACUAAACAACAAAAUCGAAAAGGCUAACUAUUGAGCGUUGCUUGGUUUAUUGUUUUCACGUUUAACCACCGUGCCGGUCAUUGGAGUGGGACUAACGUAGAUACCAAUCGCUGACAAGUAGUGACUAUUGUAAGUCCCAAAGAAACCACUAAACUCACUUCUAUCACUUAUUGCCGGAUCAAUCUCUAUUGUGGAACAGCUUCUACCACAACCAUCGCUUGAACGUCCAAUAGGCCCGUGCUUCCCACGGUUAGUGUGGAACGUCAAAUUUAUUAUUCCUCCCAUCUUUUCCACUACGCCACUCAAUCCAGUUAUAUAUUCAUCUUGAUUCAGUUUCACCUGCAUGUGUUCAAAAAGAAAAUAAAAAAAAACUUCAUUAGAGGCCAAAGGAAAAGUAAAAGAAGGAUUUUUUUUUUAACGGAUACAAAAACUUACAGUUCGAAAGCUUCCUUCAGAGAAACCAAACGUUUCAGACAAGACUAGGGCUCCAUCCUUCAAGUAGCCAAACUGAACACAUGUAAUGAAUUCGCUGAAAGAAACGAAUAUAUGAGAGAUCAUGGUGUGUCCCUUCUCGUCCCAUCGAGAGUCGGAAGAUGGAACUUUCUUUCCCACUAGUCCUGCCCUAAUCAUCUCUCUGGCUAAUUAUUAUAUUGUCUUUGUUUAUCGGAUGAUGAACUAUUCGUAUGAACAUGUCUAUAUUUUUUUUUUGACAUCGAGCAUGUCUAUUUAUAAUUACACCUUGAGAUUUCGUGUUCCUAAUCUUAUCUACAUUAUGAUUAUUUUUUCUCCUAUUCCUUAUGUGUUUUGGCUCUAAACAUGUAAGUAUUCGUAGAAAAGGAAAGUCAUUAUUAUAACUAGUCAUUUUAUUUUAAAUUGAUAAUUCUAUGACUCAAGGAAUAAUUACGCCUUAUUGCAUUUAUUUUAUUAAAUAAACACCAAAUUGCGUUGCACAUUGUAAAAUGCAAAUAUACAGUUUGACAUAGUGAGAGGGAGAAAACAAGAAAGAAAUACAAAGAAGACGUUCCUUGUAGGUCAAGAAACUACGAGAGGAAAUUCAAAUCUCAGGCUGCAUUUUCUCGCACUCUUCUCGGAUCGACUGGAAAAGCAUUGUCGAGAGGUAACGUUCCCCAAAGCUCGGAAACACAACCUGGCAACAAAGAUUCAUCAACUCACAUAUCAAAGUUCAAUCAAAAUCUGUUCCUCACUCUUUUCACUCAAGAACAGCUAAAAAUUUCACUUGGUUCCCCACUUUGGGAUAAUACUAUAGACAUCUACGCUCCAUGAUCUCUCUUUUUUCCUUUCUGGUCAAAUGGCUAGGGUUCAGUGAGGCCCUUUCUGAUCAAAGGGUUAGUGAGGCAAAGAGAUGAAGCCAACACAAAGAGUAGGUAUCUAAAGGCCUUAAGUGACUAGACGUGUAAAGUACAUCAACUACUUGAGAAAGAAAACAAAGCUCAAGUGCAGUAAGACUAGGCUAAGGUUCCUUCAUGAUUUCUAUCUGCUGCUGUGUUGUAAAUAGAUAAUAACUCAAUAAAUCUAUUUAACUAGUGGUCGGUCACAGAUACAGGACAAGGGUUAGGUGAGGGAGAUGCGAUAUGCCAAACAGGGAAUCGAAUCCUUCUGAUGAAAAGACUUAACAAAUCAAUUCUUAUCACCUACUUCCAUCAAGAAAAGAAGAUAAAGAGCAAAGAUGGAAGCAUUGAGGACUUACAGCUAUGAGUUUCCCGGCAUUUUCAGGUCUCUUUGCGACCUGGAUUGCAGCUGCAGCAGCUGCUCCUGAUGAUAUACCAACCUGAAAAUAGUUCACUAGUCAUUAGAGGGUUUCUCGUAUGCAUUCAAAAGCUGUUAUCCCUCAGAGAUAUUAUGAACAGAAAAAAGACUAACCAACAAGCCUUCUUGUAGAGCUAGUUGCUUUGCAGUUUCAAUAGCUUCAUCACUAGAAAUCUGAUAAGAAAGCAAGGAAAACAUGUAAAUCUUUGUAUCUCAAGACCACAGCUCAGUAAAAGAUAAAAAACUAACAAGAAAAAUAGCACAUGUCUUGUUUUAGAGAACCAACAUAAACAAACAGAUCAUUACCGAUAUGUAUUCAUCUACAACAGUCUGAUCCAGAUUCUUAGGAAUAAAUCCAGCUCCAAUCCCUUGAAUCUUGUGAGGUCCUGCACUCCAAAACACAAGACAAAUCAAUCACAGGCUCAGAGAAUAAUAUCUCAGAGAUGCAAGUAAGCAAAAAAAUCAAAUGCCUCUCUUAACCUGGUUUUCCUCCAGCAAGUAUAGCACUUUCUGUGGGUUCAACACCAAUAACCUAAUACACAUAAACAUCAACUAAAUUAAACAUAAGUUUUCAUACUAUAUAGUUUUUAACAUCCACAUCCUUUGCUAGGUACCUUCAGUUCAGGCUUUCUUUCUUUAAUGAACCGACCAACACCAGUAAUGGUUCCACCAGUUCCAAUUCCAGCAACCAAUAUAUCCACCUUGCCUCUUGUAUCUUCCCAAAUCUCAGGACCAGUAGUCUCGUAAUGAAUCUGCAUAUUCUCCACAUUCAAAAACACUAACAAAUACUUGCAACUUAAAGAACAGGAACCACAGACCUUGGGAUUGGCUGGGUUAUCAAACUGUUGGAGCAUGUAGGAGUUGGGAGUGUUCUUCAAAAUCUCUUCAGCCUUCUGAAUAGCACCAGUCAUGCCUUUGGCAGGCUCAGUCAACACAAGCUCAGCUCCAAACGCCCUCAGAAGAACCCUUCUCUCCAAACUCAUGGACGCAGGCAUUGUCAAGAUAAGUUUAUAUCCCUUUGAAGCAGCGAUAAACGCAAGACCUAUCCCUGUGUUUCCACUUGUAGAUUCCACAAGAACACUCUAGCAAAAAAAAAAAUAUUAAAUCAAAUAAGAGGACUUAUAACACCAAAGAAUGAUGAGCUUUUUUUCACAAUACCUUUCCAGGUGUAAUAAGUCCUUUUUCCUCAGCAUCAGUGAUCAUACUAUACCCAAUCCUGAAACCACCAUAACAACAUAAGCUCAGAAUAAAUUUAUGUGAAGAUGUUAACCCAUAAAUCAAAAUUGGUUACCUAUCCUUGACACUGCAACAAGGCUCCAUGAUCUCAAGCUUAGCAGCAACACUUGCAACACAGCCCUUGACUAUAUUGUUCAAGUACACCAUUGGAGUUUUCCCAAUAAGCUGAAUCAAUACAAAGAUUAGACAAAAAAAGUCAAAGUCAGAGACUUUAUACUCAAUUUAGUUACUGUCUUCCCACAAAGUAAUAAACUUUAUCAACCUGAGCGGCAUUCUCGGCGAUGUUCAGACUUUCAACUCCAGCUUCUACCUUUGCAGACACAGCCUUGCACACAACAUCCUCACACCUCUGGCUCUUGCUCUUGAGAGCAGCCGGUAAAGGACAAAAAGUAGCCGCCUUUGUAGAGGAUAAGGAGAGAGAAGCUAGCUGUGGAGAGUAGUUGAAAGGACGGUGGCGAGAAGUCAACGGGUUAAGGAGGAAAGCAGAGGAAGAUGUAGCAGCAGCCAUGGUUUGAUGAUCUUUCGUCUCUCACUCACUUUCCCAAAAUUGUAUCCACAAAGAGAGAUGCUUCUCUCUCUCCUUUGAAGAGACGAUUCACUGUAGCUUCCAAAACGGCGUCGCUUUGGUAAAAAAACACAGAGGAAAUUAAAAAAAAGAGACUGAGUGACUGACAAUAAACGUUUGUGUUUUGUCUUAAUCUGAUUCUCUCUCACCAACCUAUUAGUCCAAAAAGAGAGGUGAUUGUGGAGCACAUGCUCUUCUUCUUCAUCAUCAUCUGUCCCUACCAAACCCCGAAAGGUCAAGUUCUAAUCUUUGGUUCUUUGCGAUGUUUUGUUGUCUGUGUAGCUGUUAAAGAGAGAAAAGUAUCAAAACUUUCAUUGUAUUAAGAUAUCUCUGUGUGUUCUGUGUUGUUCUGUUCCAUUAGAUCUUUGACUAAUUGUCUGAUUACUAGUUUUCUAUUGAUAAGUAAUGGUGUUUGUUGAUUGACUCUACAGUUUAGAGUUCGCUUGUACUCUCUCAUAAGAACUAAAAGAUGUCUUCAGAGGAGAAUAACCUUAUAGAAAUCUUGGAGGAAGGUCACAAAGUGGACAUAGCCAAGUACAUUGACUACGUCACCACCCCACAAGCCGGCGCCAUAGCAACAUUCUCAGGCACUACAAGAGACACAUUCGAGGGGAAAACAGUUAUGGAGCUGAGGUACGAAGCAUACGUACCAAUGGCAACAAGAUACCUCAGCUCCAUCUGCGCAUCCGCUAGAUCAAACUGGGACAUCCAUAAGAUCGCUGUCGCCCACCGUCUGGGGGCAGUUCCUGUUGGAGAAACCAGCGUGUUCGUGGCGGUCUCGUCUGUUCACCGUGGGGACGGUUUAGAUGCUUGCAAGUUCUUGAUUGAUGAGCUGAAGGCUUCGGUUCCGAUAUGGAAGAAAGAGGUGUAUGCUAAUGGAGAGGUUUGGAAGGAGAAUGCUGAGUUUCUGGAGAAGAGGUUGGAGCUUGCAGAGACAAGAGGCAGUUUAGUGAAGAAACAUGUGGCUGGAGAACAUAAGAGAAGUUGCUGUGGAAGUAAAGUUAGAGUACAAGAAGAUGAAGAUCAUACAGACAUAGCAGGAGAUAACAAAGAGUGAUGUUUGUUUUGCUUUCUCUAGUGUUUUUAAAACCGGACCGACCGGUGGUUACACCAGAUUCUUGAAAAUACAGUAAAACCUCUAUAAAUUAAUAAUGUCGGGACUUUGAAAAUUUAUUAAAUUAUAGAGAUAUUAAUUUAUAAAAAAAUUCUUAUUUAGAUUUUUUUAUUUUAAGAUAUAUGUAUUCUAAAAUAAGAAAAUUAUUUGAUUUUACUGUAUAGAAUUAAUUGUUAUUUUUUGAAAUUUGACAUUUGUAUUAAUUUUAUUAUAUUAUUUGGUGUAUAUACAUAAUAUAUAUUGCAUAAAGUUUAAAAUAUUAAGUGUGAAUAUAAUAUAAAGAUAAUUCCAUUGUGAAUAUAAAACAAACAAUAUAAUAAUAGGUUCUUAUUUAUAUAAAAUAUGUAUACAUAUAAAUUGUUAAUUUAUAAUUUUAAUGGGACUAUAUAAUUAUAUAAAAUAUGAUUAUCUUAUUAUUUUAUAAAUUUAUGUCUAAUUUUGAAUCGGUCUAAGUUGAGACUGGUGAAAUUUAUUCAUUUAUAGAAAUUAUUAAUUUAUCGAUUAUUAAUUUAUUGAGGUUCUACUUAAGCACCAACCUAGAAAUCAAAGGAAAAAAACAACUAGCAAACAAUACGACGUCGUUCACUGAUUCAGCUUCAUAAACUCAUCUUCAGUCAAUGGGCAGUCGGGACAACAUCUAUUCGGUGAUCCUUCCAUAUAUCAUAUCAAAAGCAUGUCUCUCUUCAGACAAGGAGUGAACGGGACAACGACAUCAUUAGCUAAUCCAUUUGCAUUAUUGCAAGAAGCCUGAGCCGAUCCAUUAAUCCUUUGCAAGACGAGAUUCACAUUGCGCAUUACAAUAUCGGUACAUGGUUUCUCCCUACUGCAAUCCAACAUAACCGCCACUUCCGUAUUCGAUGUCCCUUGUAUAUCUUCAUAUCUCACAUUUGAUAUUUCAACUCCAGAUUCCUGUAAUAAAAUUUACAAAUUAAUUGACUCAAUAUAUAUAAAUAAUUAGGGGUAAUAAGAUACGGUUAUUUAAUUUAAUUUUUACCUUUUUAGGGCAAGGUUUGUCAAGACAAUAGUGUUGGUUAAUGAUGAUAGGGUUCUUGACCAUCUUCAUUUUAAUAUGUUGGAAAACAAUGUUUCUAACAAAACUCUUGCUAUAUUUUCCCCAUGUCUUGAUCCUUACUCCGUUAUCCGUUGACGUGAAAUCCACGUUACUCACCAGCACGUUCUCCACUCCUUGCUCGUCCUCUGAUCUUCCAAGACUUCCAAUACUAUGUUGGAGGAUCCACAAACCAAAUUAAGUCGAGAUAUUAAGUAACUUGUGUCACACAAGUUGUGUGGCAAGAAAUGAAUUUUUUUGUUACCUGAUGCCAUGGCCUGGACCGCAUUGAAUGCCUUGUAUAGAAACAUGAGUGGAUCCUGGACCGAUGGAGAUGCAAUCGUCCCCGGUUCCAAUUCUUGAGUUAGUGAUAUUCACUGAGUGAGACUUCCCGAUGUGAAUCCCAUCGGUGUUAGGGCUAUCCGCAUCAGCAAAUCCCUACUGCAAUCCAACAUAACCGCCACUUCCGUAUUCGAUGUCCCUUGUAUAUCUUCAUAUCUCACAUUUGAUAUUUCAACUCCAGAUUCCUGUAAUAAAAUUUACAAAUUAAUUGACUCAAUAUAUAUAAAUAAUUAGGGGUAAUAAGAUACGGUUAUUUAAUUUAAUUUUUACCUUUUUAGGGCAAGGUUUGUCAAGACAAUAGUGUUGGUUAAUGAUGAUAGGGUUCUUGACCAUCUUCAUUUUAAUAUGUUGGAAAACAAUGUUUCUAACAAAACUCUUGCUAUAUUUUCCCCAUGUCUUGAUCCUUACUCCGUUAUCCGUUGACGUGAAAUCCACGUUACUCACCAGCACGUUCUCCACUCCUUGCUCGUCCUCUGAUCUUCCAAGACUUCCAAUACUAUGUUGGAGGAUCCACAAACCAAAUUAAGUCGAGAUAUUAAGUAACUUGUGUCACACAAGUUGUGUGGCAAGAAAUGAAUUUUUGUGUUACCUGAUGCCAUGGCCUGGACCGCAUUGAAUGCCUUGUAUAGAAACAUGAGUGGAUCCUGGACCGAUGGAGAUGCAAUCGUCCCCGGUUCCAAUUCUUGAGUUAGUGAUAUUCACUGAGUGAGAGUUCCCGAUGUGAAUCCCAUCGGUGUUAGGGCUAUCCGCAUCAGCAAAAACUUUAACGCCGUCAAUCUUAACGUUAUUGCUCUGGUCGAUAACUAUAUGGAACUUCUGGCUAUUGAUCGACGUUAAACCGUAGAUACUGAUGUUAUUCGAAUCAGUAAAUAACAAAGUCUGCAAAAACAGUUCACAAACAAGUAAAGUUAAUAUAUAAACUGCAUGUAUGUAUAUCAGGGAAGUUUAUAGUUACUUGUGGGUCAAGCGAACCUUAGCACCAGUAGGGCAUUUUUUGCCACCACUGUUCUUGCAUUUCCACAAACUAGAGCCUUGUGCGUCAAGUACACCACCGUAGAUUGAAACGUUAGUGACUCCAUUGAACAUGAUCCAUUGUAGUGAGCUUGCGAUAACUCUAAAAUCCUCCGGUGCAAUAAUUGAACCGGCUAUACGAAAAGAUAUUGGAGCAUUCGUACAUUUGUUGCCUUGGAAUACAAGGUUUCUGACCAAGAACCGUCCUUUUGGUACAAUAAUAGUUGUGGGAUUAGGAGAGGCACAUGCGACUUGCCAUGCGGCUAAGAAGGCUUUGGUUGAGUCUUUUAAGCCAUCUGGUUUAGCUCCGUAGGUUAAGACAUUGAGGGAUGUGAUUGGGGUCGGUUUGGCUAAUGAUGAGAUUAGGAUGAAAUCAAGAAAGAUGAGAGUCAGAGGAAGAAGAAGAAGACAUGAUGUUUUGUGAAUCAUUUUUGUGUUUUUUUUUUCAGAGAAGGUUAGUCUAUUGAGGAUGGAUGAUAUUGAGAAGAAGGUAUGUGAGAGGGGAAUUUAUAUGUUAGUUUAGUAACGUAAUGGUUUAAUUUGAGGCAAAAUAGAUUAUGAUUGUAUAUGGAAGUUUAUAUUUUAUUUUAUUAAUAUAUAAUUUCGUCAACUUGUACCCAGAUUCUGCAAUAUGGAUAUUAUUGAUUUAGUUCAAGAAAAUACUAUUCACGAGAUAAAUUUCCAUGUAAAACAGCAUUACCGGUAACCGUAACUGUGCACGAAAUUAUACUAGUCCAAUUAGACAAAGAUUUAUGAAUGAUUUGGGGUUUAUUGAAUAGUUAGUAUAAUUAAUUGGUGAAUAUUUGGUUGAAACUGAUUAGGUUCUAUAGAUUUAGUAGUCUUUCUCUUUUUAGAUUGAUUAAAGAUUGAGUAAAUGAAAAAUAUUUGGUAGAUCUUAUGAAUUAUGAUUGUACGUUUUCCCUUGUAUGUAUUUUUGUUAUUAUUUAUUUUUAAAUAUGAACUAAUGACUAUUAGUGAAUAGUGAUUUAAUAAAAGUUUCAUCAUGUAUACAUAUCUCACAUGCUUGUUCAAAUUCUUUGAUAAAGUAAACCCUAAACUCCCUGCUGAAUAACAGAAAAUCACAAGUCAUUUGAAUUGACAAAGAUAAAUAACAUACAAGUAAGCGGAAUUAAUUGAUGAUUAGUAGAAAACAUGUUAUAAAUUACAAGAUCAGUGGAUUAAUGAUCAGUCAACGUUUUGAAUAGAUUUCGAAACAGGUUGAUUGUUAAUUAGACCAAAGAGGAUUCUCCCAUCGGUAGAGAAUAUAGAAAUGUAGCAAUGCACAUUCACAACAUUUUACAGAAGCCAGAAGGUAAUGAAUAAAUAUAGAGUUGUGAAGUACAGGAAACAUGCAUGAAACCAAGGAUGUCCGUAGCUUUGCUUGCGUUAAAGUCGCAAUUCACUACGUAAGAUUUUGUUUCUUGAUUUCUUUAUGUAUUCAUAUGUGAAAUUUUAUAUAAAAAGUUAGUUCAUCUAUUACAUUUUUGGGUCGAUGACUAGUAUCUAAUCGUCUAUUACAUAACCCCAAAGAAAAAUCAUAGCUAAAACUCAUAAAGAAAACUACUAUCAUUUGAAACCUUUUAUAAUUUUAGAAAGUGCAGUUAACAUUUUGCUUAUGUUAGCAAAGUUUAUCCUUACGUUACUGAAAUAUAAUGAUCUGAGCCAAAACUUUAAUCAUUACUUUAAAAGUUCAUACCAUAAGUUCGAGUACAAAAAUUUUUAAAGAUCAAAAUAAGUAGCAACAUAGAAACCAAAGGAAAAAAAACAACUAGCAAACAAUAAAGCGUCGUUCACUGAUUUAGCUUCAUAAACUAAUCUUUAGUCAAGGAGCAAUCGGGACGACAUCGAUUCGGUGAUCCUUCAAUAUAUCAUGUCAAAAGCAAGUCUCUCUUUAGACAAGGAGUGAACGGGACAACGACAUCAUUAGCUAAUCCAUUUGCAUUGUUGCAAGAAGCCUGAGCCGACCCAUUAACCAUUUGCAAGACGAGAUUCACAUUACCCAUUACAAUAUCGGUACAUGGUUUAUCCUUACUACAAUCCAACAUAACCGCCACUUCCGUAUUCGAUGUCCCUUGUAUAUCUUCAUAUCUCACAUUUGAUAUUUCAACUCCAGAUUCCUGAAAUAAAGUAUACAAAUGAAAUGACUCAAUAUAUAUAAAUAAUUAAAGGUAAUAUAAGAUACGGUUAAUUAUUUUCUAUACCUUUUUAGGGCAAGGUUUGUCAAGACAAUAGUGUUGGUUUAUGAUAAUCGGGUUCUUGACCAUCUUCAUUUUAAUAUGUUGGAAAACAAUGUUUCGUACGAAACUUUUGCUAUCUUUUCCCCAUGUCUUGAUCCUAACUCCGUUAUCCGUUGACAUGAAAUCCACGUUACUCACGAUCACGUUCUCAACUCCUUGCUCGUCCUCUGAUCUCCCAAGACUCCCGAUACUGUUUUGAAGGAUCCACAAACAGGUUAAGAUAUUAAGUAACUUGUAUGGCAAGAAACGAAUAUUUUUGUUACCUGAUGCCAUGGCCUGGACCGCAUUGAAUGCCUUUGUAACAUCCCGAGUUGUGAUAUGUGAAAAAAGGCUUAAGAGAAUUGAUUUGGCUACCUAUGUCACCAAAGUUGACUUACCUUUUCCGGAACACAUCCUGAAAGAACUCCAGAGUUAAGCGUGCUUGAGCUGGAGUAGUGGAAGGAUGGGUGACCUAUCGGGAAGUGAUUCGCGAUAGCGUGCGAGUGAGGCCAAAGCAUGGGAAAAGGUCGGGUGGUGAUUGCAGGGUCAGUAAACAAUGAUUUCGAGCCUUGGAAAAUUAACGGACCGACCGUCAGACGGGAUGGGGCCCACGGGCCGAGAGAGCGUGUGGGUGGCCCAUUAGCCGUGGGCGGGUCGGGGCGUUAUAGCCUUGUAUAGAAACAUGAGUGGAUCCUGGACCGAUGGAGAUGCAAUCGUCCCCGGUUCCAAUUCUUGAGUUAGUGAUAUUCACUGAGUGAGAGUUCUCGAUGUGAAUCCCAUCGGUGUUAGGGCUAUCCGCAUCAGCAGAAACUUUAACGCCGUCAAUCUUAACGUUAUUGCUCUGGGACUUCCCGAUGUGAAUCCCAUCGGUGUUAGGGCUAUCCGCAUCAGCAGAAACUUUAACGCCGUCAAUCUUAACGUUAUUGCUCUGGUCGAUAACUAUAUGGAACUUCUGGCUAUUGAUCGACGUUAAACCGUAGAUACUGAUGUUAUUCGAAUCAGUAAAUAACAAAGUCUGCAAAAACAGUUCACAAACAAGUAAAGUUAAUAUAUAAACUGCAUGUAUAUCAGGGAAGUUUAUAGUUACUUGUGGGUCAAGCGAACCUUAGCACCAGUAGGGCAUUUUUUGCCACCACUGUUCUUGCAUUUCCACAAACUAGAGCCUUGUGCGUCAAGUACACCACCGUAGAUUGAAACGUUAGUGACUCCAUUGAACAUGAUCCAUUGUAGUGAGCUUGCGAUAACUCUAAAAUCCUCCGGUGCAAUAAUUGAACCGGCUAUACGAAAAGAUAUUGGAGCAUUCGUACAUUUGUUGCCUUGGAAUACAAGGUUUCUGACCAAGAACCGUCCUUUUGGUACAAUAAUAGUUGUGGGAUUAGGAGAGGCACAUGCGACUUGCCAUGCGGCUAAGAAGGCUUUGGUUGAGUCUUUUAAGCCAUCUGGUUUAGCUCCGUAGGUUAAGACAUUGAGGGAUGUGAUUGGGGUCGGUUUGGCUAAUGAUGAGAUUAGGAUGAAAUCAAGAAAGAUGAGAGUCAGAGGAAGAAGAAGAAGACAUGAUGUUUUGUGAAUCAUUUUUGUGUUUUUUUUUUCAGAGAAGGUUAGUCUAUUGAGGAUGGAUGAUAUUGAGAAGAAGGUAUGUGAGAGGGGAAUUUAUAUGUUAGUUUAGUAACGUAAUGGUUUAAUUUGAGGCAAAAUAGAUUAUGAUUGUAUAUGGAAGUUUAUAUUUUAUUUUAUUAAUAUAUAAUUUCGUCAACUUGUACCCAGAUUCUGCAAUAUGGAUAUUAUUGAUUUAGUUCAAGAAAAUACUAUUCACGAGAUAAAUUUCCAUGUAAAACAGCAUUACCGGUAACCGUAACUGUGCACGAAAUUAUACUAGUCCAAUUAGACAAAGAUUUAUGAAUGAUUUGGGGUUUAUUGAAUAGUUAGUAUACUUAAUUGGUGAAUAUUUGGUUGAAACUGAUUAGGUUCUAUAGAUUUAGUAGUCUUUCUCUUUUUAGAUUGAUUAAAGAUUGAGUAAAUGAAAAAUAUUUGGUAGAUCUUAUGAAUUAUGAUUGUACGUUUUCCCUUGUAUGUAUUUUUGUUAUUAUUUAUUUUUAAAUAUGAACUAAUGACUAUUAGUGAAUAGUGAUUUAAUAAAAGUUUCAUCAUGUAUACAUAUCUCACAUGCUUGUUCAAAUUCUUUGAUAAAGUAAACCCUAAACUCCCUGCUGAAUAACAGAAAAUCACAAGUCAUUUGAAUUGACAAAGAUAAAUAACAUACAAGUAAGCGGAAUUAAUUGAUGAUUAGUAGAAAACAUGUUAUAAAUUACAAGAUCAGUGGAUUAAUGAUCAGUCAACGUUUUGAAUAGAUUUCGAAACAGGUUGAUUGUUAAUUAGACCAAAGAGGAUUCUCCCAUCGGUAGAGAAUAUAGAAAUGUAGCAAUGCACAUUCACAACAUUUUACAGAAGCCAGAAGGUAAUGAAUAAAUAUAGAGUUGUGAAGUACAGGAAACAUGCAUGAAACCAAGGAUGUCCGUAGCUUUGCUUGCGUUAAAGUCGCAAUUCACUACGUAAGAUUUUGUUUCUUGAUUUCUUUAUGUAUUCAUAUGUGAAAUUUUAUAUAAAAAGUUAGUUCAUCUAUUACAUUUUUGGGUCGAUGACUAGUAUCUAAUCGUCUAUUACAUAACCCCAAAGAAAAAUCAUAGCUAAAACUCAUAAAGAAAACUACUAUCAUUUGAAACCUUUUAUAAUUUUAGAAAGUGCAGUUAACAUUUUGCUUAUGUUAGCAAAGUUUAUCCUUACGUUACUGAAAUAUAAUGAUCUGAGCCAAAACUUUAAUCAUUACUUUAAAAGUUCAUACCAUAAGUUCGAGUACAAAAAUUUUUAAAGAUCAAAAUAAGUAGCAACAUAGAAACCAAAGGAAAAAAAACAACUAGCAAACAAUAAAGCGUCGUUCACUGAUUUAGCUUCAUAAACUAAUCUUUAGUCAAGGAGCAAUCGGGACGACAUCGAUUCGGUGAUCCUUCAAUAUAUCAUGUCAAAAGCAAGUCUCUCUUUAGACAAGGAGUGAACGGGACAACGACAUCAUUAGCUAAUCCAUUUGCAUUGUUGCAAGAAGCCUGAGCCGACCCAUUAACCAUUUGCAAGACGAGAUUCACAUUACCCAUUACAAUAUCGGUACAUGGUUUAUCCUUACUACAAUCCAACAUAACCGCCACUUCCGUAUUCGAUGUCCCUUGUAUAUCUUCAUAUCUCACAUUUGAUAUUUCAACUCCAGAUUCCUGAAAUAAAGUAUACAAAUGAAAUGACUCAAUAUAUAUAAAUAAUUAAAGGUAAUAUAAGAUACGGUUAAUUAUUUUCUAUACCUUUUUAGGGCAAGGUUUGUCAAGACAAUAGUGUUGGUUUAUGAUAAUCGGGUUCUUGACCAUCUUCAUUUUAAUAUGUUGGAAAACAAUGUUUCGUACGAAACUUUUGCUAUCUUUUCCCCAUGUCUUGAUCCUAACUCCGUUAUCCGUUGACAUGAAAUCCACGUUACUCACGAUCACGUUCUCAACUCCUUGCUCGUCCUCUGAUCUCCCAAGACUCCCGAUACUGUUUUGAAGGAUCCACAAACAGGUUAAGAUAUUAAGUAACUUGUAUGGCAAGAAACGAAUAUUUUUGUUACCUGAUGCCAUGGCCUGGACCGCAUUGAAUGCCUUGUAUAGAAACAUGAGUGGAUCCUGGACCGAUGGAGAUGCAAUCGUCCCCGGUUCCAAUUCUUGAGUUAGUGAUAUUCACUGAGUGAGAGUUCUCGAUGUGAAUCCCAUCGGUGUUAGGGCUAUCCGCAUCAGCAGAAACUUUAACGCCGUCAAUCUUAACGUUAUUGCUCUGGUCGAUAACUAUAUGGAACUUCUGGCUAUUGAUCGACGUUAAACCGUAGAUACUGAUGUUAUUCGAAUCAGUAAAUAACAAAGUCUGCAAAAACAGUUCACAAACAAGUAAAGUUAAUAUAUAAACUGCAUGUAUAUCAGGGAAGUUUAUAGUUACUUGUGGGUCAAGCGAACCUUAGCACCAGUAGGGCAUUUUUUGCCACCACUGUUCUUGCAUUUCCACAAACUAGAGCCUUGUGCGUCAAGUACACCACCGUAGAUUGAAACGUUAGUGACUCCAUCGAACAUGAUCCAUUGUAGUGAGCUUGCGAUAACUCUAAAAUCUUCCGGUGCAAUAAUUGAGCCGGCUAUACGAAAAGAUAUUGGAGCAUUCGUACAUUUGUUGCCUUGGAAUACAAGGUUUCCGACCAAGAACCGUCCUUUUGGUACAAUAAUAGUUGUGGGAUUCGGAGAGGCACAUGCGGCUUCCCACGCGGCUAAGAAGGCUUUGGUUGAGUCUUUUGAGCCAUCUGGUUUAGCUCCGUAGGUUAAGACAUUGAGGGAUGUGAUUGGGGUCGGUUUGGCUAAUGAUGAGAUUAGGAUGAAAUCAAGAAAGAUGAGAGUCAGAGGAAGAAGAAGAAGACCUGAUGUUUUGUGAAUCAUUUUUUGUGUUUUUUUCAGAGAAUGUUAGUCUAUUGAGGAUGAAUUGAUAUUGGAGAAGAAGGUGUGUGAGAGGGGAAUUUAUAGGAAUGUUAUGUUAGUAAGGUAAAGGUUUAAUUUGAGGCAAAAUAAAUUAUGAUUGUAUAUGGAAGUUUAUAUUUUAUUUUAUUAAUAUUUAAUUUCGUCAACUUGUACCCAGAUUCUGUAAUAUGAAUAUGAUUGAUUUAGUUUAAGAAAAUACUAAUGAUCACGAUAUAAAUUUCCAUGUAAAACAGCAUUACCGGUAACCGUAACUGUGCACGAAACUAUACUAGUCAAAUUUGACAAAGAUUUAUGGGCAUUAAUGAUUUGGGGUUUAUUGAAUAUAGUUAGUAUAAUUAAGGGUACUAUAGAUUUGGUAUCUCUUUCUCUUUUUAGAUUGAUUAAAGGUUGAAUAAAUGAAGAAUAUUUGGUGUAUCUUAUAUUUUUUUUUAGCAAUGGUGUAUCUUAUAUAUGAUUGUACUUUAUACCUUGUAUGUAUUUUUGUUAUUAUUUAUUAUAUAAAGUUGACUAUUAGUGAAUGGUGAGUUAAUAAAGUUUCAUUAUGUAUACAUAUCUCACAUGCAUGUUCAAAUUCUUUGAUUUUCGGAUCACUAAAUUAAAUCCUGGACUCCCUGGUGAGUGGUGAAUAACAGAAAAUCAUUAGUCAUUUGAAUUCAAUUCGAAAUAUAACUAACUUAAAAUAUUAGUAAGCAGAACUAAAGAUAAUUAGUAGAAACCAUGUUAUAAAUUGCAAGAUCAGUAGAUUAAUGAUCAGUCAACGUUUUGGAUAGAUUUCAAAACGGGUUGUUUGUUAAUUAGACCAAAGAGGAUUCACCAAUCGAUAAAGAAUAUAAAAAUGUGACAAUGCACCUUCAAAACAUUUUACAAUAGGUAAUGAAUAAAUAUAGAGUCGUGAAAUACAGGAAACAUGCAUUAAACCAGGGAUGUCCUUAGCAUUGCUUGCGUUAAAUUCACCCUUCAUAACGUAAGAUUUAGUUUCUUGAUUUCUUUAUACAAGUUGUAUCGAUCGUUUUUCUUUAAAAAAUAACAAAGGCCUAAUUAUUUUUUUGUAUUUUUGGUCAGUCAGCAAGAUCAAAAUGUUUUUAAUUUAUUUGAGACCUAAAAUAAAUUUUGUGAACAAAAUAAUCUAUAAAUUUUUAUUUUGUAAAGAGUGGAAUGAUAGUGACUUAAAAACUGUUAAACAUCUUCUUUACAUUGAAGAAUAAAAUGAGGUACCAAAAUAAUGCAAGUGACAACCGAAACAAUUAGCAGACCUUUGUUAUACAAACAGAAGAAAAUUGCACGAAAUUGAUGAGAUCAUGAGACUUGUCUUUUUUUGAAACACUUUUUUUUUAAACACUGAUGAGACUUGUCUUUUAAUAUAUUUUCUCCAAGAACAAAUCACAACUGUAAAAGCCAUAUAAUCAAGAAAGUUAAAAAAAAAUCCCAAAUAGGUAAGUAAAAAUAAUAUUAAAUCUAACAAAUAACAUAACUUACGCAACACAUAUGAAAUCAUCAAUGCUUGCUAUGAACCAUAUCCCUACAAAGCAAGGCCAGGCUCUCGGCCUAGUGGACCGUCAACAGCCACAGGCUCAUGCAUCUCAAUUUACAAUACUUUUUAAUUUUAUGUAAGAAUAAUUAAAAAAGAGAGACAUAUAUUCAUUUCUGUCAUAGGCAGUUUGGCUGAAACAAUCCAGCUUCUAUCCCUCCGGCAUGAACACAAGCCGACGCAGCCGGUUUAUUACGGUACUUUAAUUUCACAUCCUUAAGUCGAAUUCCGGUACACGGUUUCUUAGGACUACAAUUAAGUCUCACUCCAACUUCAGUUGCCGAUGUUCCAUGUAUAUCAACGAACAACACAUCGCUGAUUUUGAUACCCGAAACCUGAUGUUUUUUUUUAAAAUAAAAUUAUUAUAUGAAUAAACUUCACUAGUAAGUACCAUUAUGUAUCUGUAUUACUUAAUCAAAUUAGGUAUAGUACCUGGCGAGGGCAAUUUUCGCUACGAGGACAGUAGUUUUGGUCAAUAAUUAUGGGGUUGUCUACGUUGUUCAUUACACAAUGUUGGAAGCGGAUGUUCCUAGCGAAUCCACUACUGGGCCUGGCCCAUGAUUUGAUCCUCGCUCCGUUUUGCGUCCCCGUAAACGUCACCGUUUUGACAGUCACGUUCUGUACACCUGACUCCACUGCAUCCUUUCCCAGGCUCCCAAUGCUAUGCAAUAUCCCAUCCAAAAUAUUGUCAAAAUUUUAAUUUUUCUUUUAUCAGAUCUACUGAUAUAUAAAAGCAUAUCAAUAGAAAUAUAAUUAUUAAUAGUAUUUUAUAUUCAUUUAUUCGAAAUAUUAUGUUUAUACGUGAUACUGACAUGAGUUAUAAAUUUUCACCAUAUGCCAGUUUUGUAAUUCAUUGAGAAGAAUCCAUAAUAAAUGUACAUAUACCUUAUGCCGUGACCGGGACCACAUGCUACAUUUUCGAUCCAUAGACCGUUGGUUCCGGGACCGAUGGAGACACAAUCGUCGCCGGUGGAAAUUUUGGUACUGAAGAUAGAGACGGUGGAGGAAGACUGAACGUGGAUACCGUCUGUGUUGGGGCUGUUUCCUGCGGCUAAUACUUUGACUCCUUGAAGCUUUACGUUGUGACAACCGUUGAUGACGACGUGGAACAUCUGGCUGUUGAGUGACGUCAGCCCGUAGACCACAAUGUUUCUUGAGCUCUGAAACCCUAUGGUCUGAUUCUCAUGAUAAACACCGUCUCAUUUAUUAAAUUACAUUAAAGAUGAUAUUGAUCUAUCUAUGCAUGGUGUUAUGGUUCCUCACUUGGUCCAUGUGAAUUAGGAAUGGUUGAAAUGUUUUUAAUAAAUCGUCAAAACUUCAUAAUUCAGAAAAGUGUGUCAUUAGUUAUAUAAUUCUUAUUUUGAAAUGAAUUUAUCGAAUGUUUAAUUAACUGAAUUGAAGGUUAAUUGGUCAAAUCUCUAGCACGUUACGUACCGUGGCUCCUCUAGGACAAUUCUUGCCGGAUGUUUUACAACCCCAUAGAGUAUGAAUAUUGUUGUUGUAUUGAUUAUUGAGUUUGGUUACACUUUGAAUAUAUACAGCAGAGACUCAUAGAACGUGCCUAACGUGCACCUAACGCGUUCCUAUAUCUCAGGGAUUACACAAGACUCAGUCUAGAUAUCUUAACAACCUAACAUGCCCCCUCAAGAUGGACGGAGGGUUGCGAGGCCAAUCUUGUCUGAAAUUGAACGAAACUUGGCGCGGGAUAGAGGUUUUGUUAGAGCAUCAGCAAGCUGAUCUGCGGAAGCAACAUGUGAAACGCGAAGAUAACCUGAUUGUACUAGAGCCCGGAUGAAGUGAAAGUCAACGGCAACAUGCUUCAUUCUGGAGUGAAAGACAGGGUUUGCACAGAGGAACGUUGCUCCUACAUUGUCACAAUAUAUAACAGGAGCUGUUGAUGGAGGAAGUCCGAUUUCACCAAGGAGAGUGACGAUCCAUUGGACUUCAGAUGCUGUAUCAGAAACUGAUUUGUAUUCAGCUUCAGUAGAAGAACGAGCCACUGUCUUUUGCUUCUUAGAGGACCAAGCAACUAGAUGUUUGCCAACGUAUACAAGAUAAGCUCCUGUAGAAGUGUAGUCAUCUUUGUCACCGGCCCAAUCUGCGUCGGAGAAGGCAUGAACUGUUGGUGGAGUGAUUGCAGAGAAGUGAAGACCAAGAUAUUUUGUGCCACUUAGAUAUCGGAGAACUCGUUUGGCAGCCGUCCAGUGAUCUGUACGAGGCUGAUGCAUAUACUGCGAGAGUUUGUUUACAGCAAAAGCGAUGUCAGGCCUUGUGAAUUGGAGAUAUUGUAAGCUCCCAAUAACAGAGCGGUAUUCACUCGGAUCAGGGAGAAGAUCGCCAGAGAGAACUGUUAGGGAGGGCUGCUCAGCCAUGGGUGUGGCAACAGGCUUCGUCGUGAUCAUGUUCGUACGAUAGAGAAGAUCAUUGAUGUACUUUGUCUGUGUAAGCGUAAGACCGGCCUGAGUUCUGGUUACUUCAAUGCCCAAGAAAUAGCCCAACUCUCCCAUGUCUUUGAUAGAAAAUCGACGAGCUAAGAGAUCAAUAAAUGCCUGAAUGUGAGCAGGAGAGUUACCCGUAACGACUAUAUCAUCUACAUAAAUUAGAACAAACACUGCAAUCCCAGACUUGUGAAGCACAAACAGAGAGGUGUCUGAAACAGAGUUGUAGAAUCCCAGCUCAAGAAGAAAGUCACGAAGAGCAUUAUACCAUGCGCGCGGAGCCUGCUUGAGUCCAUAAAUAGCUUUGUUAAGUUUGCAUACAUAAUCAGGUUUGUCAGUAUCCACAAAGCCUGGUGGCUGCUCCAUGUACACAUCUUCCUGCAAGUCACCCUGAAGAAAAGCAUUAUUAACGUCAAGUUGACGUAAGACCCAACCUCGUGCCACUGCUUGACCAAGAAUCAGACGUAUUGUUGGCUGCUUAACCACUGGACUAAAUGUCUCAAAAUAGUCUAUCCCUGGUCGUUGGUGAAACCCUUUGGCAACUAAUCUGGACUUUUUGCGCUCAGGUUUGCCGUAUUGAUUUCGUUUGAUGCGAUAUACCCAUCUACAACCAACUACAUUGUAGCUAGGAUCACGAGGUACCAGAUUCCAGCUGUUAUUUUCAGCUUGAGAGUUCAUCUCUCCACACAUUGAGCCGCGCCAUUGAGCAUCUUUAAGUGCCUGAAUAUGUGUGCGCGGUUCAAUCUCAUCAUCUAAAGCUGCAACAGUAUGGAGAGCAAAGCGUGGAUUUGGUUUGAUGAUAUGAUUCUUCGAUCGUGUUACCAUUUGGUGUGUGUUGGCGGGUGGAGCAUCAGGGACCGAUGUAUUUGGUGGUGGUGCAGUGAUGAGAGGUUGCUGUGAUUGUGCAGGCGAUGUUGUGUCCUGAGCCAAAGCAGAUGAGGUGUCAGGCGCAGGAGGCUGGACAGUAGCCAUAGGAGUGAGUGAUUGGGGAAGUGGAGAAACCAGAGGACUGAGGUCUGGUUCGUUUGUUGAAGUAGGAAGUGGAGUAGCUUUGUGUUGGAAUGGAAAUGAAGAUUCAAAGAAUUCAACAUGACGGGAAGCAUAUAACCGAGAGGAUGAUUUAUCAAAACAGAGAUAAGCACUUUGAGAUAGAGAGUAACCGACAAAGACGCAAGGAGUAGAGCGAGUGUCUAGUUUGUGGGAAGAAUAUGGCCUUAGCCAAGGAUAGCAUAGGCAGCCAAAAACCCGAAGUUUUGAGUAGUUGGCUUUUUCUGCGAAAAGCUUUUCAUAUGGAAUGGAGAAGUUGAGUGAUGAGCUUGGAAGGCGAUUUAUAAGAUAGACAGCAGCAGCGAAAGCAAACGACCAGUACUCUGAAGGCAUAUGAGCAUGAGAUAAGAGCGCUAAGCCCGUUUCGACAAUAUGUCUAUGUUUUCGCUCAGAGAUACCAUUGUGUUCAGGAGUAUGUGGAGGUGAAGUUCUGUGUGAAAUGCCAUGUUGUGAAAGAAAGGAUCUCAUAGCGAGGAACUCACCGCCAUUGUCUGAAUAGAAGGUGACAAUGCGUGUUUGAAACUUGUUUUCAACAAGCUCUUUAAAGCGAAUAAACACAUCAAGAACCUGAGAUUUUCGUUUGAGAGGAAAGAGCCAAGUGUAUCGUGUAAAAUGAUCAACAAUAACAAGAUAGUACUUGUAGCCAUCGAAGGAAAACAGUGGGGAUGUCCAAACAUCUGAAUAUAGAAUUUCAAGAGGACGAGAUGAAGAGAUAGUGUUUGUACCAAAAGAGUGUUUGUGACUUUUAUUCAUAGAACACGAGUUGCACAACAGAGGAGGCAUAAUUUUAUGUGAAAAAGGCAAGGAACAUUGAGACAAAACACGUUUCAAAAGAUCAAGAGCAGGAUGGCCAAGGCGUGAAUGCCAAGCAGUCAUUGAGGUUUUUAUUGCAGAAAGAGCUUGAAUUUGGAUCGAAGAUGGAGCAGAAUCCAACCACUCAUACAUCCCGUUGCUAGUUUGUCCUGUUUUGAGCAGCGCCCCCGUGACUAGAUCCCUCACCUGAUAAGACCAAGGAUCAAAAGUAAUGGAAACAUUAUUAUCAGCACAAGUUUGUCUCACUGACAUGAGAUUCUUCUCAAUAUUUGGAGCAUAAAGGACAUUAUUCAAGUGAAUAGAUCGAGAUGGCAAGGAGAGAAUGGUAGAACCAGUGUGAGUAAUCGCGUGGCCUGAUCCAUCGCCGAGUGUCACAGCUUCAUUGCCUUGGUAAGGAGAGUGAAGUGCUAAGUUGUUGAGAUCGGAGGUGAGAUGGUGAGAAGCUCCACUGUCAAGAAGCCAUGAAGGUGUAUCUGAUGAAGGAUACAUAGAAGCAACAUGAGCUCUGGGUUGCCACAGUUGAGCUGCGUGUUGUUGAGAACCAUCAGCUGAAAUGAGACGAAACUGAGAACAUCGCUGGGCGCUAUGCCCCUGAACACCACAAGCUUGACACUUUCCCAAGUAUGGUUUGGGUCCACGUGGUGCGUAUGUGCCAAAGGUUUGUUGUUGGGGACGGUUAUUAUAUGAGUGAUGUUGCUGGCGAUUGUCAAAGUGAGGUGAUGACGAAGGACGAAAUGACGUCUUUGGUUUGUGUGUAACUGCGUUUGCAGAGACGGGGAAGAUAGGAGCAGGUUGUACACAAAGAAGAGCUGCUUCCCUGUUGACCAGUUUGUCACGUAUCUCUUCAAAGGUUGGAGGAACAUCUCGGCCAUUGAUCUGUUCAGCUACACCACGGUAAUCAUCAUCUAGUCCAUCGAGAAUGUACUCGAUGAUAUCCUCAUGAUCAAGUGGCUUGCCUAAUAAGGCUAGUUGAUCAGCCUUUGUUUUGAUUGACUGCAGGAACUCAUCAAUAGAGCGGUUUCCUUUGGUGCCCUUCUUCAGCUGAUCUCUGAUUUGUUUCAUGUGACCUCUGGAAGGACGACCAAACGUUGAUUGCAGAGUUGUCCACGCCUCAAGUGUUGUUGUUGCCGUGGAAACAAGAGGUUGCAGGGCCACAGAGAUUGACCCAAGUAUUGCCGCAAAGAGCAAUUUGUCUUGUCUUUGCCAAGCUGAAUACGCCGGAUUUGGCAUAGUCAGAUCAUUGUUUUGGACCGUCGGUGAUGGAGGAGCAGUAUCGUUGGUGAUGAAUUGUUUGAGGUUGAAGCCAUCGAGAAAUAGAGAAACUUGUAAGCUCCACGUUAUGUAGUUUGAGGCUGUGAGUCUAGUCACAUUACUCAUGUUCACCGAGAGUAUAGGAUUUUGAGGAUCAUUAGGGUUAAUGAUAGUUGCAGAGCCAGGUGUGGCUGUUGAUACAGGAGAUUGAGACGCCAUUGUUGCGUAAAAGAAAAAGAAAAAUAGAGUUUUAGGUUUGAUCAGAUCGUUGCUCUGAUACCAUAUGAAUAUUGUUGUUGUAUUGAUUAUUGAGUUUGGUUACACUUUGAAUAUAUACAGCAGAGACUCAUAGAACGUGCCUAACGUGCACCUAACGUGUUCCUAUAUCUCAGGGAUUACACAAGACUCAGUCUAGAUAUCUUAACAACCUAACAUAGAGAAGUUCCUUGAGCGUCAAGAACUCCGCCGUAGCCGUAGACGGUGACUCCGUCAAGAUGCUGGAAAAGAAUCCAGUAAUCUUCAUUACCGAUAACUCUAUAAUCAGCCGGAGCCACCAAUGUACCGUCGAUACGGAACGUGAUGGGCUUGGGCUUGCACUUGGAACCGUCGAAAUUAAGGCUCCUUAACAAGAACCGGCCUUUAGGAACCACAAUGGUCACGGGACGAGACGAGGCACAAGCCGUUUCCCAAACCGCCAUAAACUCUUUGGUUGCGUCUGUUUUUCCGUCCGGUUUUGCUCCAAAGGACAAGACGUUGUAGGAAUGAGCAAUGCAAGAGGAGAUGGAGAAGAAGAAGACGAAGAGGAAAAGAAGUGAAGCCAUUGUAUGUCGCUAACUUACACUUGUUCAGAGAUAAUUAAAGAGGGAGAGAGAGUGGAGUAGUGCUGUAGUGGUGGUGGUGGUGGUGUUGGAAGCUUUAACGGUUAUGGAAUGUAUUUAUAGUGCUUGUCUUGUAUAUGAAGAGUGUUUUGUUUUUUUCUAUAUUGGUUUUGGCAUGUAUAAAAAAUUAGGUGGAAUUUGUUUUGCAUGAUUGUUAUCAAUACUAUUAAAUUAGAAACAUGACCAAUUGAUAAUAGUUGAGUCCAACUAUUUAUUUAAACAGUCACUUAUUAUUUUCUUUAUGUAACUGUAUUUAAUUAUAUUUAAACACUAACCACAUAUGAUAAUAUCGUAACCUCUCCUUAAUUCCUAUAUUUUCGGAUCCAUAGUUCUCAGUUAUACUAACUAAAAUCCACGGUUAUGAAAAUAAAUGACAGUAUAUGUCCGACUAAAUAUAAACGUGAUCUCUCAUUUGUAUUGUUUUGUGAUCAAUGUUUACAAUAAGAAACACAUUGAUCUUUGCGUGAAGUUAGCUCUUGGUAUGGUCAGAGAAAGGUGAAGAUAGACGGAUGGAUUCAUGUCGUAUUAUGGGUUUAUGGUUCUCGCUGGUGGUGUAAUGGGUAAAUCAAACGGAAAAAAAUCAGAAGCGACUGAAUUAUUGGAGAAGACAACCUCAAGCUUCAAGAGUUUUGUUUAUGUGGAGAAUAAAAUAGUAUACUAUAUAUAUAAAAUAUUUUUCACUUUUAUUCUCACCCUUAAUAUUACUAAAUAAAAUAAAUACUAUUUUCACCAACAAUUACAGUAUAAGUUUAGAUUAUAAUUAACUUUGAUAUAUUUCAAAAAAAUCAUUAUCACACUACAACAACAUAACUUACAUAUCAGCUCAAGAAGUUAGAAUUUAUUGGACUAGACGUUAAUUUGUUCUAAUUCUGAAAGUUUUACACAUACACUAAAUCUAUCAAUUAACAAAACACAUAAUGUUAAAAUGGAGUUUAACGGGUUUAAGUGGAUUUUUAAUAGAACCUAUAUUUUGACGGGUAUUUUUUGUUUUAUUUUUUUUGUGAAAUUUAGUUUUAUAUUUGUAUUUUUUGUUAUUAUUUUGUGUUUGAUAUUAAUUUAAUUGAUAGAAUAGAUACAUAGAUUUGCUAAAAUAAAUUAAAUUUUAUAUUUGUGUAUAAAUUCAAAAUUGAAUUAUUUUUACCAAAUUUAUGUAUAUAUUCUAUCAAAUUAAAUUAAUAUUAGCACAAAUUUUAUUACAAAAAAAUUAUAAAAACUAAAAUUUUUUAAACAAAAAAUAUACCCGCCCUUUCAAAGGGCGGGUCAAAAUCUAGUUAUUCAUUUAAAACGCAUCACAUGUAAGUUGAAUACUAAGCUCAUAAAAUAUUUUUAAGAAAGUUUUGCUAUAGGUGUGAGAAAAAUUAGAGCAAUGCUGAGCUAAAACUGACAAAAAAACAAAUAUCAUAAUUGAAUAGCACUUUGGCAAAACAUUUAAUUUUAGCUUCGGAUUUUACAGAUUUCAAGGAAUGAUUCGAGUUUAGUCCUGAAUUUAUAAAAAUAAAAAUUGUUGUUAACAUGAUAAACUUUUAUAUAAAUCUUCUUAGUUCAUUUGUUUGCAAUUGUAAGAGAUUAGAUUAAAAAAACUCAUCUUUUUAUUUAUUCUGAAAAAAACUAUGUAUGCCGCUUUUGUCAAAGAACUACGUAAAGGACAAAACGUAUUCCUCAAUUUUCUUUACACCAAAAUAGGAUGUGAAUGCAAAAGCAGGAGAAGUAGAAUAAAAUGUUGAAAAGUGAAACUGCAAUGGUCAAUAUAUUUUCAUUGGAGAGAUACAUGAAACAAUGUACGUGGAAUUGCGGGGAGUUAGUUAAUUUAUGAAAAGAACACGCAAAGUCUAUGCACUUUUGGCUACACCUCCAACGUGAUCAAUGCCGCAAAAUUAAUCUACUUUUGUUUACUUUAUCAAAUCUAACUUUCAAAAAGUUGUAUUAGCGCAGAUCACGUAGUGUGGAUAGAAUCAAUAUAUCACAAAUUCAUUUUAGACCUUUGGGAAAAUGGUAUUUUUCGUGAAAUGGUUUAUGCUUAGUGUUUGUCUAAUUACGCCCAAUUAUCUAAAGUUCCCGUACUUAAUAUUGUCUGCACAAUGUGAUUAUUCUAUUAAGACUUUAAAAGUAUAUCGUUGUAAGUAUUUUUGUGAUUAUUCUAUUAAGACUUUAAGAGUAUAUCGUUGUAAGUAUUUUUUUGUCAAAAAUUCGUUUGUAAAACUUUAGUAAAAAAAGUAUUUUGUGUAAUCUGACCCGUCAUAGUCCGUGGAGGAAAGGAAGAGUUGAAUUCCAUGUGAUAGAAGAAUUCGUUUAUUAUAUGUUUGUCUAUCUAACCAAACAAGAAGUUUUUGGAUUCAGUACUGCUGACUAGCCUGACUCCGAAGUCCGAAGUCCAAAGUCCAAACAAUGAGUUUAUUAUAUUUUUCAUAUUAAUUGUCGUUUUAGUUUUUAAAUUUUAUUUUAUUAUAAGUGUUCUUUUACAUUUUUAUGGUAAAUAUUAAAUAUAUAUUUUUUCAGUUUUUACUUUUACUCUUAGCUCAAUAAUCAAUAAAAUUAAACACAAUCAUGUAUUAAAUAGAGGUAAGAGAACACAUUUAAUUACUUUUUUUAAUUCAUGUACAAAAAUCUUAAAUGAUAUUUAUAAUAAAACGGAUGGAGUAUAUGUUUUGUUAAUAAGGGAAGACUAGGUGACACAUUGAAAAAAGAGAAACCAUUUUCCAUGUAUUUGAUUUUCUCUUUGUUGUAGGGAUCUGAGAUCAUAAUUUAUGUUUUUUUUUCCUUUCCUAUUUAAAGAAAAGGAUUAAUAAAUGAAUACUAUUUUUUUUGAACAACUAAUAACUGAAUAAUUAAUCCAUCAAAAACAACGGCUAUGGUUCUCUUGUUUAUACUUUUACUGUUACGUCAAGGUAGCAGCCAAGUGAGUUAAGCCUCUUGCGCAUUGAUCUUUGACAAUAUUGUGGAUUCAAAUUUGUGACUUAUUAAGACAAAAGUUUAAUGGUUGAAAAAACGAGGAAACUAACAUUAAGUGGACAUGAUUCACGUUGGCUAUGCUGCCUGGUGCCUAUCAGCCUAUGCAAUAUACACAAGAUCAACGCAUGUGGCUAUGUAUUUUAGUAAGCGAUUGGCUUUAAGGGGCAUCUCCAUCUCUACUCCAUUUAUUCCUAUAAAAUAGAGUAAAAGUGAAUAUGGAGUAAAAAAUUUUACAACCCAACUUCAUAUCUAUUCUAUAAUGAAAUUUACUACAUAAAUAGAAUAAUCUAUUUUUUAUUUGUUCAUCAGAGUAGUGUUAAAACAAUUUUAUUCAAUUUUUAUUUUUAUUCUAUUUUAAAAGAAAAAAAAUAGAGUUUUACAUUGGAAAUACUCUAGUGACAAAUUUUUUUUUGUCAAAAAUAAACUGGGUAAAUUACUAGUCAAAGUUCAUUAAUGAAAAUAUGCUGCUUACCGUGUACCUAUGUCACAUAUAUAUUGCAAAUGAACAAAAAAAAGUUUGUGCUAAGGUAAAAAAAU